GGCGUCCUCAAGAUCUUCCUCGAGAACGUCAUCCGCGACGCCGUCACCUACACCGAGCACGCUCGCCGCAAGACCGUCACCGCCAUGGACGUCGUCUACGCGCUCAAGCGCCAGGGCCGCACCCUCUACGGCUUCGGAGGCUAGAUUCUUGCCGUGCUGUGCUGUUGGCAGCUGUAUGCCCUGUGUGAUAUGCGCCCUGGUGGAUGGGAUUUACUUCUCUGUCGUUCGUUUGUGCUCAGUACGCUGUAGUAACAGUAUAUGCGUUCAAUGAAACUACUCCGAUCCUGAAUUCUGAUGAAACUCUUCAGUUAUGAAUCGUGUUACCGUUUUUCCAAGACUUUCUGAUUUGAUCUGUGCAGCUAGAAUUUUACACAGUUGCAAUCUGAUCAGUCUUUUCUUUUGUCACGCAUUGCAAUCUGGACCAGUGCUUCUGCUAUAGUUGCCAUGUUUUAAUUUGGGUUAAGUGGGAAUGAAUCCUUUUCUUUUCUGCAGUAUUGUGGGUAAAAUCCCUUUCUUCCGCUGUAGUAGUACACAAGGAUCAGGAUUCGGCAUCUAAAGAUGCUGAGAUGGUGGAGUGCUGCAAAUAUUUCUGAAUGAAACCAAUGAAGCAUCUAUCAGUUGAAAUGGUACAUGCUACAUUUAUAAGUCUGUAGAAUGCGGAACAACUAUCUGACGCUCUGCACUAAGCAGAAUUUUUCUUCUUAGUAAUAUUCUCAUUCCUCAGAGGAUUAUACUGCAGAGAUUAUCUUCUUUUCCUAAUAACCUUGUUCCUAAAAGGGAGCCAACUCACAAGAUGGUUUCCAUUUUUCUUUCUUCGAAAUUGCAAGUUGCUGUCACUAAUUCUCUAGAGCAGUAAAUGCUUACCGGUGUAUGUUUUGCCAAAUUCCCAAGCAUCGGCCACAGCACUAAAAUUGGUCACUGAUCAGGCUGCGCGGUCGCUUGAGGCCUGUUCGAAAGCAACCUACCCUAUGUGAUAAUUUCGGCCAACAAUCUCACAUCUGUUUAUAUGUUCUUUCAACAGGCUAUUACCAGUGGAUUUAUUACCUGACCACGUGAAUUUUUGUUGCUCUGAAACAGUGGUGUAGCUGGCUCGGUGAACGAGGGUGGUACAAUAAUAAAAAUUUCAUUUAAUUUCAUGCAUUGUUAAAAAAUAUAUAUCUUUUUUUUACCCUACAUAUUGGCUAUGAUGGAAUUUCAGGAUGGUCCAUGGACCACCCUGUCCACCCCCUAGCUACGCCACUGCUGUGAAACAGCGGUUCAUUCUGUACAUCUACUCUCUCUUUGUUGAGCUUGAUGUGCCAUCGGCGUGAGUGGGUUGUACCCUGGAUGUUUUGGUUUUCGCUCGGUUUUCUGUAAUUAACCGAGCAACUCUUUUCUUGUUAAUUAAUGAAAAGGCAAAGCUUUUGCCCUGGUUUCAAAUAAAAAGCUUUCCAGCUGAUGAAGUUGAAGUCUAACAUAAUUUAGACCCAAAGCGCAGAAGGUUGGAUAUUUCUGCCAUUUCCUUCAUGCAAAUUCUUCUCUGAAACAUUAAAUCUAGAGGAUAGAAAGACGACAAUAACAACAUAUUUAUUAAACAAUUUAUUCAUGGAACCAUCUAGAAGAUACAUCUAUUUAAGUAUGCCAUAGCAGUACUUGCCAAUUUACUGAAUUUGAGUGUGAAGUAUUAUAAAAUCCUAACACGUGCAUUUGGAAUACUGUUCUCUUUUCACCCAUUUUUCAGAUUAUUUGUAGUCAUAGCUUUGCCUCAAGUCAAAUUUCUCAACAUUUGACCAAGUCUAUGGAACAAGUUGUACUAGAGCCGCGACCAGUGGCGAAGGACCCGAUAGGGCAAGGCCUGGCGGCCGCCCUACCUUGAUUUCGCUGGUGCAGGCUGCAUGAAAGGCGACGCAUCGGCGCAACGGCGUUGUCGAUGACGAGUGAUCAAAGCCCGCCCUACCUCAACUUUUGUCCGUCCUCCGUCACUGGCCGCGACUAAUUUAGAUUGAAGGGAGUACUAGUAUCUACAACAUCAAAUAUACAUAGCACGGAAAUAUAUUUUAUGACAGAUCUACUGAAACUAAUUUGGUGCCGUAAAAGUAAUACUAUAUUUUUCUGUAAACCUCGUCAAACUUAAUAAAUUUGUCUUAGGACCGAGUUAGAAAUUUGGAUAAUUUGGAAGACAUGGAGUAAUACUCAAUGGCAAAUAGUAAGCUAUUAUGUCAUUAUUAAAAUCCCCUUUUAACACAAUUUUAGCAACACGAAUUACUAACAAAAUAGCAAAGCACGCCCACAAUCCCAUGCACUCCUAGGGGACGCCUUCUAGAAGGCCCACGAGGCCAUGACGCUCGGCCUAACAUGGCCAGGGUUUUCACCUCAGGAAUUGGGGAAGGACGAGGGAUUUUGAAUGCCCCCUCAUAAGGGAGAAUGGGGCAAGAACGCUAUUGUCAACUUUGACUUUGACGUGAAAUCAACCAGGGAUCCCCCCGGUGUUUGGACUCCCACCACCACAACGUCGGUUAAAUGCAUGUGGUGGCUGCAGGCUUUGGGGCAUUUAAUGUCCUAGUUGGUGGUAAUAGGAGUAUCAUAGUUAGUAUCAUGCAUGCCAACUAGACAAUCUUGAUGAUGUGACAUAAAAUUAAAUGAAGAAAGAGAGAGUUGAGUAUCAUACUAUUAUCAUGAUACUGUAUCAUAUUAAAUAGUGUGUUGCUAUGUGUCAUGCAUGAUAAUAAUGAACUAUCCUAUGAUACUAACAUAUGAUACUAUGCAUUACGAAUGUAGUAUCAUAUACUAGUACCAUAUGCAUGAUAUACUAGUACAUGAUACUCCCCAUUACAACCAGCCUAAGUUUGAAGCCAAUCCCCAGACCUCAUCCAUUCCUUCUCUUAUGCCUGAGCGAAUGAGCACAGACCGACCAGAGGCGGCUAGGGUUUACAGUGGCCAGUCGCCCCCGUCGAUGACCAUUCCCGACUUGCAUUUUCUGGACACCUCCUUAUCCCCUUGCGGAGAACUAGGCUGCAGCCUAGUGGCAGAGGGUCGCAGUGGCGAACCCAACACCUAGAGUUCGACUCCCGCCGGGAGCGAAUUUCUGGUGCCUCACCCCGGGUGGGAUUCCUCUAUAAAAGUAUGAACUUUCCCUUUGUCAUUCGACCAUUAGAUGUCGACAUCCCUAGCUAAGUUUCUUCAAAAGUUUCCGCUACCACCUCCAAGUUGUCACAAAUGGAUAGGCAAUAAGCAUGCAAAACUUCUUGACUUGGGUGGCUUUGUGUAAGUUUUGCUUCAAAGAACAAUAAGGUGUUUGCAAAUAAUAAGUGCGAGAUGCCGGGAGCACGAUGACAAUCUUUAAUUGGAGAGAUAUUUCCAACAACAAUUCCUUUAUGAAGGAGAGAAGAUAGACCAUCAACAACGAAAAUGAAUAAAUAUGGGGACAAUGGAUCACCUUGUCAUACCCAUGUGACAUUGCAAAUGGAUUCGAGCAAGUUCCAUUAAACUGGAGUAUCUCACAUCUGUGAGACACAUCAUUAUCCUGUUAAUCCAUGUGUGAGCGAAACCACACAUUUUCCUGUUUUAAAGGUAGCUUCAUUCUAUCCUAUCAUAUGCCUCAAGAGAUCAAACUUAUAAGUACCAAAACUCUUAUUCGAAUCGUUCUAUUUUUUAAUGUGGUGGAUGCAUUCAAAGACAAUUUGAGCAUUAUCACCAAUCAUCCUUGUAGGGAUAAACACACUUUGUGUGGGUGAAAUAAUAUAAUCCAAAAGAGGUUGAAGCCUAUUGACCAGUCACUUUGCAAUAAUUUUGUAUAUGAAAUGGCACAAAUUGAUAGGUCAAAAAUCCGUUUCCCGAAGUGGGUUUACAAUUUUUAGGAUAAUAACGAUGAUGGUGUCAUUAACAUGUUUCGGCAUGACGUGUGCGACAAAAAACACCUUCAAUGCAGCCACCACCUACUUUUAAAAUCCCAUCUUGCUUGUUUGUAAAUGUAUUAAAGAGCGAAACAUCACAUCUCCAUAAAACCAAAAAACCCGUGAAAAGGAGAGGGAGGGCUUGAUGUGCCGGAUCUCAUCGCUCGCCGUCACAAAGGAGGUGAACGUCGUUGCCCCGAGGCAGAACAAAUAAGUGUAGCAAGAUUUUCGUGAUAAAAGGUGGAUUUUAUUCACUCAAAAUAAAGCAUCAAGUGGAUACAAACACAAUGGAUACACACCUAGUCACUACAUAGCUAGGAUGCACAAUGCCAACACCAACACAUGCACACUAAAAAACACACCGACAAAAAGCAAAAUCAUACAAGACCAAGUGAAAGGACGUGGAUGUCGCCUAGAGGGGGUGAAUAGGUGCUUUGAUAUAAUUACAAUUUAGGGUUGAACAAAUGCGGAAUAAAACUUACGUUUAAUUAGUCAAGCACAUAACCUAAAACAGCUAGGCUCACAUAUGUGCACCAACAACUUAUGCUAAGCAAGAUAAACAACUAAGUGGUAGCAAGAUAUAUAACAAGAAACAAUAUGGCUGCCACAAAGUAAUGUGGAUAAGUAAAGGGUUCGAGUAAGAGAUAACCGAGGCACACAGAGACGACGAUGUAUCCCGAAGUUCACACCCUUGCGGAUGCUAAUCUCCGUUUGGAGUGGUGUGGAGGCAUAAUGCUCCCCAAGAAGCCACUAAGGCCACCAUAAUCUCAUCACGCCCUCGCAUAGUGCAAGAUGUCGUUUAUUCCACCAAGGGAACCAUGAGGGUGGUUAUCGAACCCGUAGAAACAAGGUUGGUGCAAUCUCCACAAUUUAACUGGAGGCUCCCAACAACACCACGAAGCUUCACCACAAUGGAUUAUGGCUCCGAGGUAACCACGAAUGCUCGGGCAAUCUCCACAACCUAAUUGGAGACCUAGACGCUUUCCCGAAGCUUUACACCAUAAUGAUUGAGCUCUGAGGCACCACCAAGCUUCUAGGACACCAAAGCACCCAAGAAGAACAAGCUCUAAGGUACCAAUCACCCAAGAGUAAUAAGCUUCUCAAACUUCACUUCCACGUAUCAUCGUGGAGAACUCAAACCUAUGCAACAAAUGCAAUGACAAGGGCACGCGGAGUACCCAAGUCCUUAUCUAUCAAAUCCCACCACAACAACUAAUGCUAUGAAAGAAAAUGAGAGGAAGAACGAAGAAGAACACGAAGAACUCCAAGAUUUAGAUCCAAGAGGGUCCCCUCACAUAUAGGAGAAAGUGAUUGGUGGAAAUGUUGAUCUAGAUCUCUCUCUUUUCCCUCAAGAACUAGCAAGAACCAUUGGAGGGAUCGAGAUAUAGAAAGCUCGAAGAAGGUCAACAAUGGGGUGGCAAAAACAAGGUCAAAGGAUCGGGUUCAAUGGGCGAGAAGAACCCCUUUUAUAGGAAGGGAAAAAUCCAACAGUUGCCCCCUCAACCCGCACAUGAGCGGUACUACCGCUCCAGGGAGCGGUACUACCGCCCAUUAGAGAUAGUACCGCUCCAAUGGGGAGCAGUACUACUGGUGGGGUAGAGGGAAACAAUCAACGAGGGAUGCACAUGCUGGUAGUACAGCCGGAGUGGUACUACCGCCACCAGGAGCGGUACUAACGAUCAUAAGAGGUAGUACCGCCUCCUAUAUCCGCUCACGACAUGCUGCAGACCUAUCCCAGAAAUACCAAACGGUUCUAGCAUGGUAGUAACAAGCGGUACUACCGCUUGCUGGGCUGUACUACCGUCCUACAUUACCGCUCGAGAAAUCGCUCGGUCUAACAUGAAAAGUGUCGAGACCCACGGGCAGUGGCACUAGCUAGCGGAACUAGCCAAAUCACUUACGCCCUAGAACGGUACUACUGCAGCCAGGGCGGUACUACCGAUCAUAAGAGGUAGUACCGCUCCAGGGAGCGGUGCUACUGCUUGGAUCUUUCUAGGCAGGGCUCGGGCAACAAAUGAAAAGCAAGAAUACCAAAAGUGCCAUAUCUCUCGCAUAUGAGCUCCAAAUUGAGCAAACUCAAGCUAGUUGGUUAUCUUAAGCAGAGGAAGUAUAAAAAUGCCAAUGAUAUAGAGAUGUGAAACCUCUAUGAGUGAAGAGCCGGCAAAAACUCCAACAUAAAAAACAUCAUAGAAGAUACAUAUGAACUCCAUUUUCGAUGAACUUGACCUUGUCAUAAAGAUGACCAUAAGCUCUAAAACUCAAAAAGAGAAACACCAAACAAGAACCAAGAAAGACGAUGCAAGGAUGCAAAUGGUUUGAGCUCUCAACGAACAAUAUAAUCAAGCUACUCACUUGAGAGCCCCCCUUGAUAGUAUGACAAUCUAUCCAAAAUAGAAAACCUACCAAGGGAAACCUAUAACUUGCACAUAGUCCACUUGAGCUAGAUGAUGACGAUCUUGACUUACUCAAGAUGGACCACCUUUCUUGAUUGUGUUGGCUCGAUGAAGACUAUUUGAUUGCUCCACCAUACUCACUAUGGGUGAGCCACUCUUCACCACAUCUUCGCUAGUCCAUUGCCACCAUAAUGGACGACAAGCUUCAAGCAUGAUGUCUUCGUGAUGCUCCAGUUGAAGUUGCACACCACAAUCUUGAUGACGAUCACCACUUUAUGUCAUCCUUAAUGGGUUGUAUGACAUAUUCCUCUUGACGUAAGCCCAUGGAAACACACCUAACCCCACAUAGAACUCUCACGAAGAGCAUGUGUUAGUACACAAAGCGUAAUGGACAAUUGUUACCAUACCAUGGGAUCACUUGAUCCCUCUGGUACAUCUUGCAUGCUUUGUGUGUUGAUCAACUUGAUUCACUCUUUGACUUAGUCUUAAUCAACCUUGUGUCUUUAUGACCAAUCUUUGGAUAAAACCUUGAAUACCACCUUGGUCAUCAUAUAAACUCCUUGAAAACCAACAUAUGGACUUCAAGAAGUGCCCAUGGACAAAUCCUUCAAAUAUAACUCAAGGUAACCAUUAGUCCAUCCAUAGGGAUCACCAUCAAUUACCAAAACCACAUAUGGAGAAAUAUUCUCUAACAAUCUCCCCCAUUUUAGUAAUGGAUGACAAUCACUUUCAAGAGAGUUUAUAUAAGGAAAUAAGCACAAGCAAGCACACACAUGCAAAGCAAUAAUGCAUGGGUAUGAGAUGCAAAUGCUUACAGAAAAAAUGCAAAACUCUUUAAAAACUACAAACUAAACUCUCUAAACUUCUCCCCAUUGGCAUCGAUUACCAAAAUGACGAAAAGCUUAGAAAGCCAAUACAAUAGGUGUUCCUCCAAAAAGUGUGUAUUUCUCAAAAUAUGAUUGCAAUGAAAUACACAUAUCCAAUGAUAAAUAGUUGGAGGAAGACAAGCUAUAUUGAGGAUUCAAAGAUUGUAAAAAGAAUGAUAUGUCACAGAGACUUACCAAAGAGUGAAGCAAGCAAUCAAAAGAUACCAAUUGAAACAAACAAUCACAUGGUCCUAGGAGCCACAUGAAUAAAAGACAUUAGUACAUGGGCAAAUGAGUGUUUUAUCGAAACUCGAGAAGCUCCCCAUGAUUUGUGCACUAUUAAGAUUUUUUGUAUUUGAUACAAGUGAAAAAAGGAUCAUUACUCCCCCAAAAUCAAUAAAAACACACAAGUGAAAGCAAGUAGAUAAGACAAUAAGCAUAGAACUUGCACGAAACAUAUGGUUGAGCAACAUCUAAAAGAGGCAACUUAAGAAUUGGCUGAGCCAAAAUGAUGUGUGUGAGUCAUGGCAAAGCACUUUAAGAAGACUAAUAUAAGGACGAGCGUUAAGCAUCAACAUAGUCUUGAUGAAAUGAGCACAAAGUGCAAGACAUAUCCUUCCCACACACACACUACUAUCAAAUGGGUUCACAAGCUUACUAAUAAACAAAUUAAGAACCAACGCUUGUGACAACCCAUGGUGAAGAUAGGAAAUAAUAGCGUUUUCAAGAGGAGGGGUACCAAUCGAAUGGCAAACCCUCGUCAAGAAAAGCAUGAGGAAAAAUAAUCUUCACCGUCAAUGAGUGCAUCAAGAUGCAAGGAUAUGAGAUCCGCACUCAAAACAAAUCCUUUCAAAAAACCACCAAAGACUGAAAAAGGAAAUGCAACGGUGGACGUGAAAGAAAAUAGGAUGUCAACUACAGAUGUAACUUCUCUCAUGUGUACAAAAUUCUAGGUAGAAGACAAUCAUGAUGAUAUAUAUCCACAAAGAAGGUUGUACACAUGAACUAGUUACAAGACGGAACGAACAAGAUAUACAAAAGGAAGUCACAAAUAUACCAAUAAGAGCUUUGCCUGAAAGUAUAGCACAUGGCCUAAUAUUUUCUUAUUGUACAAAAGUGAACUUCCAACACACGAACAUCCAAUACAUCACAACUAGCAAUAAGACUUCAUCGUUGGGAUGCAUUGAGAAAGGAAACAAGUACCGCAAGAAUGCAUCAAUAAAUCCAUGUCAUGAUGCAACCUACAAAAUGUUGUAUGCAAGAAAUGUAUGCAUGAAGUAGAUACUUGUUACCGAGAUAGUAUUGGACUGAUGUAGUAGAUAAAUGUUCAUUGAUCAUCCUAUCUCGGCUCCAAUAAGCGCAUGGUUUCAACACCUUCCUGUAAGUGAGCCGAGCAUACAAUGCAUCUCCACUUGUUCCUAGAACAACAACGCAAACAAAAUGGUACCCAAACUCAUUGGGACCAAAGAGUUACAAAACCAACAAUACAUAGGACAAACUCCACAUAAAUAUGUGGAUAUAGGUAUGAAACUGAAUUUCAUGCACAAUUUAGCCAGUUUAUGACAUGGUGGAGUUUCCCCUAUAUAUUGGGUCAAAGAAAGAAAGCAUGCCAAAGAAGUAAAUAUAGUAAAUAUGCAUGCUCAAGUCUUUCAAGAAUCAAAUCAAGAGACAAUUGAUAAUAUACCAAAAGACAAGGUAUGAAGUGAGAAUAAAAUACCAAACGAAAAAUUAUCACUUGAAGGAUACCAAUCAAAAGAUACAUCAAUGAAUGUGAUAUCCAUUAACAUAUUCCAAACAGGAAACAAUAUACCAAUUGAAGGAAAACAAACAAGAGGUAUCGAGUUCCCGAAGGAGAGCUAGGUUCCAAACAAACCAAAUCGUCGACAAAUUUUCAUGAUGGCACAAAGCACCAUAAAGAGAAAUACUUGGCUCCCACCAGCACACACUUGACGGGGAUCAAAAGAUUUUAAUGAUAAACACAUACAAAGAGUGUUCUAAAGAAAAUAGGAUAACUCCCCCAAGAUAUGUGCAUUAGAUAGAAUUUGCAUUUGAAUACAAAAUGCACAUGAUGGGAUCAUCACUUUCUCUAUAUCUAUAAAAACACUAGACAUGUUCAAAAAGAUCAACGAGGGGCAUGGAAGACAAAUGAUAAACAAAACCCACUUUAGCAAUUUCUACCACUUUAAAGGGAAUACCAAUUGUCACAGGACAAGAAGUAUUUGGAAAUAAUUCCCAUUGGAAAAUUGCAAAAAGAUUCAACAUCAUCUUUACUCCUAAAUCAUAAACAAAUGACACUUGUAGAGCUAACAUGACACCUAGGAACAAGGUAAUUUACAAUAUGAACACUAAGUGGCAAUACCUCAAAUAUACACAUUUUCUAGGCUUGUAAUAUGCAUAUAGCAUAUUACUCCCCAGUAAUGUGAUAACCCAACAUUAUUGACAAGUGGCAAAUGAAAACCAACAAUAGAUAAUUAACGGAACAUUCAUAAUUUGAAUUUCUCAUGGGUAAGACAUACCACAUAGUGACUAGAUAAUCUUGAAAUAUCAAUACUAAGUGGUAUUCCUCAUGUAUACACAUUUAUAGGAUUGUGAGGUGUGCAAAGCACAUCACUCCCUCAAAAUGGGAUAAUCCAUUAAUCUCUCAAAGGAGCCAACAAAGAUACAAACAAGUUGCAAAAAGGCUCAACACAAGACUCACAUGUACAUGAUGUGCAAAAUAAUAUACACAUACUUAAUUACUCAAGAUAAGCAAGUUAAAAGCACAACAUAUACACACACACAUGCAAGGUACAAAACCACAACAUGCAAAGGGGCAAGUAACUAACAAUGUAAACAAUCUAAGUACAAGUUACCGCAAGGAGGAACAUUGGUUAUAAGAUAGAAACUUGAUGAUCCAAAUGACUUGGUUGGGACAAUAUGAAUGGUGAAGACCCCUUAAUUCUUCAUAAUGUAGCCAACUCUCCAAUGCCCUCCACCAUCACCUAUUGAUCAAGUUUGAGCUUGUUGGUCCCCAACCACGUUGGGUCCCAAAUGGAUCUUUUGUUGACACCACUUUGAGUACCAACAAACUUGGCAAACACAUUGCCAACCUUAUACUUCCCAAGAGAAUAAAUAUCAUAAAUUAGAAUAGGGUUAGAUAAGGUACCGUUCGUGCAUGAAGAAGCAAAGUGACCCUUCUCAGGCAUAAGUAGCAACAUCUACCAUUUACUUUCUUCUCAAUUGAUUUAUCAACUAGAGGAGCGUUGGACUCGGUAUUCUUGGGAAGGGCCUUUCUUCAACUUGUAGUUGAGUAUGUGAUUGAACUUGUGGCCGCUUCCCUUGUUGCUUGUGACUAUGGGGCUUCUUCAUUAAUGGGAAAGAUUUGUUGGAAAUAUGCCCUAGAGGCAAUAAUAAAUUAGUUAUUAUUAUAUUUCCAUGUUCAUGAUAAUCAUUUAUUAUCCAUGCUAGAAUUGUAUUGAUUGGAAACUCAAAUACAUGUGUGGAUACAUAGACAACAUACUGUCCCUAGUGAGCCUAUAAGGACUAGCUCAUUGAUCAAAGAUGGUCAAGGUUUCCUGACCAUAGACAUGAGUUGUCAUUUGAUAAUGGUAUCACAUCAUUAGGACAUUGAUGUGAUGGACAAGACCCAAACUAUGAAUGUAGCAUGUGAUCAUGUCAAUUUAUUGCUACUGUUUUCUACAUGUCAAGUAUAUGUUUCUAUGACCAUGAGAUCAUGCAACCCCCAGGCACCGAGGGGAUGCCUUAUGUGUAUAAAACAUCACAACGUAGCUGGGUGACUAUAAAGGUGCUCUAGAGGUAUUUCCGAAGGCGUCUGUUGGGUUGGUGUGAAUCCAAACUAGGAUUUGUCACUCCGUAUGAUGGAGAGGUAUCUCUAGGGCCCACUCGGUAAUACAACAUCACAAUGAGCUUGAAAGAAAUGUGACUAAGGACUUAGUCAUGUUAUCUUGUAUUACGGAACGAGUAAAUAGACUUGUCGGUAAUGAUAUUGAACUAGGGAUGGAGAUACCAACGAUCGAAUCUCGGGCAAGUAACAUACCGAUGGAAAAAGGGAACAAUAUACAGGAUUGAUUGAAUCCUUGACAUCGUGGUUCGACCGAUAAAGAUCUUCAUAGAAUUUGUAGGAGCCAAUAUGGGCAUCCAGGUCCUGCUAUUGGUUAUUGACCGGAGAGUGUCACGGUCAUGUGUGCAUAGUUCUCGAACCCGCAAGGUCUGCACACUUAAGGUUCAGUGACAAUUUCGUAUUAAUGAGUUAUGUGUGAUGGUAACCGAAAGUUGUUCGGAUUCCCGGAUGAGAUCCCGGACGUCAUGAGGAGCUCUAGAAUGGUCCAUAGGUAAAGAAUUAUAUAUGGGAUAUCAUAUUUUGGCUACCGGAAAAGUUUCAAGUUUUUUCGGCAUUGUAUCGGGAAGCUUCUAGAAGGUUACGGAAACUUCCGGGGGAGUACGAAAGUCCACCAAGGGUUCUACCACGUUGCAAGGAUUUGCAUGGGCUGAGGGGAGACGUCGUGGCCUAAUUGGGCCAAGCGCAUGAGUCCCUCAAGGCCCAUGUAGUUGGGAAAGGUGGAAAGUCCACUUUUGUAUGGAAGGGAAGGAAGGGGGAGUAGGAUUCCACCUCCUCCCCCCUUGAAUGCGCCCUAGGGCUUGGAGGGGUUGUUCCCGACGCCCAUCCACCUAUAUAUAUAGAGGGGAGGGGGCGCCCCAAGAGGACGCACGAAGCCCUUGGCACCCCUCUCUCUCUCCCUAGAUCGUUUUCUCCUUCGUUUGCGGUUUUGGUAGCGCUAGGCGUAGCCCUGCAGGGGUAGCACCACCACAACGGCCACCACACCGUCGUGUUGCCGGAGAACUCAUCUAUUACUACUCCCUCACUUGCUGGAUCGAGGAGGCGAGACGUCAUUGAGUUGUACGUGUGCUGAACGCGGAGGUGCCGUCCGUUUGACGCUUGAUCGGGAGUUCAUGGGACGGAACGUGAUUGGAUCGUGAAGACGUACCACUACAUCAACCGCGUUCUUUAACGCUUCCACUUAGCGAUCUAGAAGGGUAUAUGAAUCCGAUCUCUCCUCACGUAGAUGAUCAUCACCAUGGAUAGAUCUUGUAUGUACGUAGGAUUUUUUUGUUUCCCAUGCAACGUUCCCCAAUAGUGGCAUCAUGAGCUAGGUCUAUGCGUAGAUGACAUCACGCGUAGAACACAAAGGUGUUUGUGGGUGUUGAUAUUCAAAUUGCUUCCUUCCUUAGUCUUUUCUUGAUUCAUCGGUAUUGUUGGAUGAAGCGGCCCAGACCAACCUUACUCGUACGCUUACGACAGACCGGUUCCAUCGAAUGACAUGCAACUGUUGCAUAAAGAUGGCUCGCGGGUGUUUGUUUCUCCUACUUUAGUUGAAUCAUAUUUGACAAAGGUGGUCCUUGUAGAAGGUUAAAUAGCAACUUGUGUAUCACCGUUGUGUCUUUGCAAAGGUAAGAAUCGUUCUUGCUAGAUACCCAUAGUAGCCACGUAAAACAUGCAACAACACAUUAGAGGACGUCUAACUUGUUUUUGCAGGGUAUGCAUGUGAUGUGAUAUGGCCAACGACAUGAUGUGAUAUAUUUGAUGUAUGAGAUGAUCAUGUUGUAAUAGUUAAAUAUCGACUUGCAUGUCGAUGCUACGGCAACCGACAUGAGCCAUAUGAUUGUCUUUAAUUAUUUUGCGUUUGGUGAUGCUUUACUUUAUCACUAAGAGGUAGAAAUAGUAGUACAAGCAUAGUUGGCGUGACGACCUCAAUGGCAGCACGAUGAUGGAGAUCAUGGUGUUGUGCUGGUGACGAUGGAGAUCAUGCCGGUGCUUUGAAGAUGGAGAUAAAAAUCACAAGUUCAUGGCCAUAUCAUGUCACUUAUGAUUUGCAUGUGACGUUAAUAUUUUUAUGCACCUUGUUUGGCUUAGGACGAUGGUAGAAUUAUAAGGUGACCCCUCACUAAAAUUUCAAGAUAAAAUUGUGUUCUCCCCGAGUGUGCACCAUUGCGAAAGUUUUUCGUUUCAUGACACCACGUGAUGAUCCGGUGUGAUAGACUCUACGUACAUAUACAAUGGGUGCAAGACAGUUUUGCACACGUGAAAUACUCGGGUUAAACUUGACGAGCCUAGCAUGUACACACACGGCUUUGGAACACAUGAGAUCAAAAGGUCGAACAUGAGUCAUAUAGUAGAUAUGAUCAACAUGGAGAUAUUCAACAUUGAAGCCAACUCAUCUCACGUGAUGAUCGUACUUGGGUUGGUGAAUUUGGAUCAUGUGUCACUCGAAUGACUAGAGGGAUGUUAGUUUGAGUGGGAGUUCUUAAGUAAUAUGAUCAACUGAACUCAUUAUCAUGAACAUAGUCACAAUGUCUUUGCAAAUUAUGUUGUAGAUGAUUGGCUUGCACUAUAGCUCCCGUGUAUUUUGAUAUGUUCCUAGAGAAAACUAAGUUGAAAGAUGAUAGUAGCAGUUAUGCAGAUUGGAUCCGUAAACUAAAUAUUGUCCUCAUUGUUGCGCAGAAAGUUUAUGUCCUCAAUGCACUGCUCGGUGAGCUAUUUAAGACAAUGUGGAAAUUGUUUCACAACUAAUGCCACCUGGAACACCCUAGUGUGAUGGUGCGUCCGAACAUCGUAGUCGCGCCCUAUUAGAUAUGGUGCCUACUAUGAUGUUUCUUAUCAAAUUACCACUAUUGUUUUGGGGUUAUGCAUUAGAGUCAACCACAUUCACUUUAAAUAGGGCACCAUUUAAAUCUCUUGAGAUGACACCGUAUGAACUAUGGUUUAGUGAAACCUAAGAUGUCGUUUCUCAAAGUUUGGGGCUGCGAUGCUUAUAUGAAAAGGCUUCAUCCUAAUAAGCUCAAACCCAAAGCGGAUAAAUGCAUCUUCAUAGGAUACCCAAAGGAAUCAGUUGGGUAUACCUCCUAUCUUAGAUCCUAAAGCAAAGUGUUUGUUGAUGAAAACGGGUCCUUUCUCGAGAAAGAAUUGAGUGGGAGGAUGGUGGAACUUGAUGAGGUUGUUGAACCAUCACUUCAAACAGAGUCUAGAGGGCGCAUGAAGUUGUUCCUGUGGCGCCUACACCAAAUUUAAGAGGAAGCCAAUGAUGAUGAUCAUAAAUAUUCAAAUUAAGUUACUUCCAAACGUAGUAUGUCGACAAGGACAUGCACUACUCCAAGAUGGUACAGUAAUCCUGUCUUGGAGGUCAUUUGUUGGACAACAAUGAACCUACGAGCUAUGGAGAAGCGAUAGUGGGCCUCGAUUCUGACGAAUGGCUGGACGCCAUGAAAUCCGAGAUAGGAUCCAUGUAUGAAAAAAAAGUAUAGACUUUGGAAGAACCACUUGAUGGUCGUAAGGCUAUUAAGUACAAUUGGAUCUUUAAAAGGAAGACAUACGAUGAUGGUGAAUGUCACCAUUUAGAAAGCUCGACUUGUUGCAAAGAUCUUUCCAACAAGUUCAAGGAGUUGACUAUGAUGAGACUUUAUCAACCGUAGCGAUGCUAAAGUCUGUUGGAAUUAUGUUAGCAGUUGCUGCAUUUUUCAAUUAUGAUAUCUUGCAGAUGGAUGUCAAAACAUUGUUUCCUCGACGGUUUCCUUGAGGAAAGGUUGUAUGUGAUACAACCAGAAGGUUUGUCGAUCCUAAGGAUGCUGACAAGUAUGUAAACUCCAGCAAUCCUUCUAUGGACUGGAGCAAGCAUAUCAGAGUUGUAAUAUGUGCUUUGAUAAGAUGAUCAAAGCUUUUAGGUUCAUACAAAGUUUAUGAGAAACUUGUAUUUACAAGAAAGUUAGUGAGAGCACUAUAGAAUUUCUGAUAAGUAUAUGUGGUUGACAUACUAUUGAUCGGAAAUGAUGUAGAAUUUCUGAAAAGCAUAUAGGGUUGUUUGAAAUGAGUUUUUCAAAAGAAAACCUGAAUUAAGCUGCUUGAACAUUGGGCAUCAAGAUCUAUAUAGAUAGAUCAAGAUGCUUGAUAAAACUUUCAAUAAAGAGAUGCCUUGACAAAUUUUUUGAAGGAGUUCAAAAUGGAUGAGUCAAAGAAGGAGUUCAAAAUGGAUGAGACUCAAAGCCCGACCAUGGCAGAAGAAAGAGAAAGGACGAAUGUCGUUCCCUAUGCCUUAGCCAUAGGCUCUAUAGUAUGCCAUGUUGUGUACACACCUGAUGUGUGCCUUACCAUGAGUGUGUCAAGGGGUACAAAGAGUGAUCUACGAAUGAAUCACUGAACAACGGUCAAAGAUAUCCUUAGUAACUAGUGGACUACGAAUUUUUUCUUGAUUAUGGAGGUGAUAAAAGAGUUCGUUGUAAAGGGUUACGACGAUGCAAGAUUUGACACCAAUCUGGAUGACUCUGCGUAGCAAACCGGAUUCGUAUAGUGGAGCAGUCAUUUGGAAUGGUUCCAAAUGGCGCGUGGUAGCGACAUCUAUAGGAUGACAUAGAGAUUUGUAAAGCACACACAGAUCUGAAAGGUUCACACCCGCUGACUAAAACCUCUCUCACAAGCAAACAUGAUUAAACCCUAGAACUUAUUAGGCGUGAAUCACAUAGUGAUGUGAACUGUUGGAAAUAUGCCCUAGAGGCAAUAAUAAAUUAGUUAUUAUUAUAUUUCCUUGUUCAUGAUAAUCGUUUAUUAUUGAUGUCUACUACACAACCUUCUUCUUGUAGACUCGUGUUGGGCCUCCAAGCGCAGAGUUUUGUAGGACAAUAGCAAGUUUCUCUCAAGUGGAUGACCUAAGGUUUAUCAAUUCGUGGGAGGCGUAUGAUGAAGAUGGUCUCUCUCAAGCAACCCUGCAAUCAAAUAUCAAAGAGUCUCUCGUGUCCUCAACACACCAAAUACAAUGGCAAAUUGUAUAGGUGUACUAGUUCAGCGAAGAGAUGGGGAUACAAGUGUAAUAUGGAUGGUAGAUAUAGGUUUUUAUAAUCUGAAAAUAUAAAAACAGCAACGUAACUAAUGAUAAAAGUGAGCACAAACAGUAUUGCAAUGCUUAUAAACAAGGCCUAGGGUUCAUACUUUCACUAGUGCAAGUUCUCCCAACAAUACUAACAUAGUUGAAUCAUAUAUAAAUCCCUCACGUGCGAGAAAGAGUUCACUCCAAAGUCACAAAUAGCAGAGAACAAUCGAAGAAAUUAUUGUAGGGUACGAAACGACCUCAAAGUUAUCUUCUCUGAUCAAUCUUAUGAGCUAUCCCUAUAAGUGUCACGAACAACCCUAGAGUUCGUACUAAAAUAACACCUUAAGAUACACAUCAACCAAAACCCUAAUGUCACCUAGAUACUCCAUUGUCACCACAAGUACCCAUGGGCUUGAUUAUACGAUAUGCAUCACACAAUUUAAGAUUCAUCAUGUUCAAUCCAACACAAAGAACUUCAAAGAGUGCUCCAAUGUUUCUACCGGAGAGUCAAGACGACAACAUGUGCCAACCCCUAUGCAUAGAUUCCCAAGGUCACGAAACCAGCAAGUUGACCACCAAAACAUACAUCAAGUGGAUCAAUAGAAAACCCAUUGUCACCAUGGCUAUCCCAUCGCAAGACAAACAUCAAGUGUUCUCAAAUCCUUAAAGACUCGAUCCGAUAAGAAAACUUCAAAGGGAAAACUCAAUACAUCACAAGAAGAUAGAGAGGGGAAAACUCCAUAUGAUUCAUCUAUAUUAAUAAAGCUCGCGAUACAUGAAGAUCGUGUGAUGACCCACAAGUAUAGGGGACCAAUCAUAGUCCUUUCGAUAAGUAAGAGUGUCGAACCCAACGAGGAGCACAAGGAUCUGACAAGUGGUUUUCAGCAAGGUAAAAUCUGCUGGCACUGAAAUUGUCGGUAACAAGUGAUUGUGUGGUGAGACGAUUCGUAGCAAGCAACAAGUAACAAAACUAGCAACGGUGCAGCAAAGUGGCCCAAUCCGUUUUGUAGCAAGGGACAAGCCUGGACAAAGUCUUCUAGGAGGAAAAACGCUCCCGAGGACACACGGGAAUUUCUGUCAUGCUAGUUUCAUCAUGUUCAUAUGAUUCGCGUUUGUUACUUUGAUAGUUUGAUAUGUGGGUGGACCAGCGCUUGGGUACUGCCCUUACAUGGACAAGCAUCCCACUUAUGAUUAACCCCUCUCGCAAGCAUCCACAACUACGAAAGAAGAAAUAAUACAAAGUCUAACCAUAGCAUUAAACUAGUGGAUCCAAAUCAGCCCCUUACGAAGCAACACAUAAACUAGGGUUUAAGCUUCUGUCACUCUAGCAACCCAUCAUCUACUUACUACUUCCCANNNNNNNNNNAUAAUGGUGAAGUGUUAUGUAGUCGACGUUCACAUAACACAACUAGAGGAAAAACAACAUACAACAUAUCAAAUUACCGAACGAAUACCAAAUUCACAUGACUACUAUUAGCAUGACUUAUCCCAUGUGCUCAGGAACAAAAGUAACUACUCACAAAGCAUAACCAUAUUCAUGACCAGAGAGGUAAUGAGUAGCAGCAAGGAUCUGAACAUAAACUCUUCCACCAAGUAAUCCAACUAGCAUCAACUACAAAGAGUAAUCAACACUACUAGCAACCUUACAAGUACCAAUCGGAGUCGCGAGAUGGAGAUUGGUUACAAGUGAUGAACUAGGGUUUGGAGAUGAGAUGGUGCUGAUGAAGAUGUUGAUGGUGACGAGUCCCCUCAGAUGAGAGGAGUGUUGGUGAUGACGGUGGCGAUGAUUUCCCCCUCCGGGAGGGAAGUUUCCCCGGCGGGAUCAUCCUGCCGGAGCUCUAGAUUGGUUCUGCCCAAGUUCCGCCUCGUGGCGGCGGAGAAUACACGAAAAAGCUCGUCCCUGAUUUUUUUUUCCUGGACGAAACCCUUCAUAUAGCAGAAGAGGGGGGCAAGUGGGCCAGCAGGUUGCCCACAAGCCCUCAUGGCGCGGCCUGGGGGUGGCCGUGCCGUGCAGGCUUGUGGCCAACCCGUGGCGCCCCUCUCACUUCUUCGGCCCAAUAUUUUUGAUAAAUCCGAAAAAAAUCCUCGUUGAUUUUCACGGCGUUUGGAGUUGCGCAGAAUAGGUAUCUCAACUUUGCUCCACUUUCAGGCCAGAAUUCCAGGUGCCGGCAUUCUCCCUCUUCAUGUAAACCUUGCAAAAUAAGAGAGAAAAGGCAUAAGAAUUGUACCGUGAAGUGAAAUAACAUCCCAAGAAGCGAUAAAUAUCAACAUGAAAACAUGAUGCAAAAUGGACGUAUCAACUCCCCCAAGCUUAGACCUCGCUUGUCCUCAAGCGAAAGCCAAGCUCAAUAAAUAUGUCCACAUGUUUAGGGAGAGAUGUGUCGACAAAACAAGAUACGAACAUGCAUGCAUCAUGAUCAAGAUCAGAACAACAAUACCAACAUAUAAUCUCUCAUGCUAAAGUGAUAAUUCCUUCACAAAGUAAAGCAUGGAUCAAGNNNNNNNNNNNNNNNNNNNNNNNNNNNNNNNNNNNNNNNNNNNNNNNNNNNNNNNNNNNNNNNNNNNNNNNNNNNNNNNNNNNNNNNNNNNNNNNNNNNNCCGUGAGCCAUGGUUAUAGCACUAUAGAUGGUGCGGAAUGUAGUGGAGGUUGCAAGACAAAAAGGAGAAGAUAGUCAAAUUAAUUAGGCAUAUCAAUGAGCUAUGGAGAUGCUCAUCAAUAGAUAUCAAUGUGAAUGAGUAGGGAUUGCCAUACAAAUGAUGCACUAGAGCUACGAGUAUGUGAAAGCUCUUAAAGAAAACUAGUGGGUGUGCAUCCAACUUGCUUGCUCACGAAGACCUAAGGCAAUUUUGAGGAAGCCUAUCAUUGGAAUAUACAAAGCCAAGUUAUGUAAUGAAAAUUUCCCACUAGCUAUAUGGUGGUGACAAAACGAGAGACUCUCAAUCAUGAAGAUCAUGGUGCUUAAUAUGCACAAGUGUGGAAAAAGUGGUAGCAUUGUCCCUUCUCUCUUUUUUUUAAUUUUUUUUUGUGUGUGGGCUCUUUGGCCUUUUUUUAUUUUGGUGGGCUUCUUUGGCCUGUUUUAUUUCCUCACAUGGGACAAUGCUCCAUUAAUGAUGAUCAUCACACUUUCAACUCAAAACUUAGAGUAACCAUGACUCUAUAUGGAACGCCUUUGGUAGUGUACCAUGACAAUGAUCUAGCAUGGCAUAGACAUCAAUGGAAACAUCAUGCUAGCUAUCUUACGAUCAUGCAAUGGCAAUGUAGACGUGGUGUCACAUGUCAUGGUGGUAGUUGCAUGGCAAUAUAUCUCGGAAUGGCUUUGAAAAAGGCAUGGUAGGUAGGUAUAGUGGCUGUUUUGAGGGAGGCUAAUGGUGGGUUUUCUGCACCGGCGAAAAUUGCACGGCACUAAGAAGAUAGUGAUGGUGGAAGGUGAAAGUGCAUCUAAACCAUGGACUCAACAUUAGUCAUGAAGAACUCAUAUACUUGUUGCAAAAGUUUUAUUAGUAAUCGAAACAAAGCAUUCAACGCAUACUCCUAGGGGAAGGGUUGGUAGGUAUAAACCAUCGCGUGAUCCCGACCGCCACGCAAAGGAUGACAAUCAAUAUACUAAUCAUGCUCAGAUUUCAUCACAUAGCGGUUCACCAUACGUGCAUGCUACGGGAAUCACUAACUUCAACACAAGUAUUUCAGAUCCACAACAUCUUACUAGCAUGACUUCAAUAUUACCAUAACCACAACUCAAAACUAAUUGAGAUGAAUCAAACUUCUCUAACUAUUCAAUGCACAUGAAGGUGGAAUUUUUCGUAUCCCUUUGGAUAACUACCACUUUUGAGACUACUUUCAAAGCAUAGAUCAACUACCAAGCCACACACCUCUGUGCUCUAAAAGAUAUAAGUGAAGCACAUAGAGCAAAAGUAUCUAGCUCAAAAGAUAUAAGUGAAGCGCAUGUGAGCUGAAUUUUCUACCAAACAGUAUAAGUGAAGCUCGACAAAAUCACGGUGUGUGCAUGUAUCUCUAUCUAGGUGUGCAUCAAGGAUUAUUGUGACACAACAAAAAUAAAAGACUCCUACGAUACAAGACGCUCCAAGCAAAAACACAUAGCAUGUGGUGAAUAAAAAUAUAGCCCCAAGUAACGUUACCGAUGGAUUGNNNNNNNNNNGUUUUCGUAUCCCUUUGGAUAACUACCCCUUUUGAGACUACUUUCAAAGCAUAGAUCAACUACCAAGCCAUGCACCGUUGGGCUCUAAAAGAUAUAAGUGAAGCACAUAGAGCAAAAGUAUCUAGAUCAAAAGAUAUAAGUGAAGCACAUGUGAGCUGAAUUGUCUACCAAAAGAUAUAAGUGAAGCUCGACAAAAUCACGGUGUGUGCAUGUCUCUCCCUCUAGGUGUGCAGCAAGUAUGAUUGUGACACAACAAAAUAAAAGACUCCUACGAUACAAGACGCUCCAAGCAAAAACACAUAACAUGUGGUGAAUAAAAAUAUAGCCCCAAGUAACGUUACCGAUGGAUUGAAGACGAGAGAGGGGAUGCCUUCCCAAGGCAUCCCCAAGCUUAGGAUUUUACGGCAUCCUUGAAUCUCUUGGGGUUCCUUUGGCAUCCCCAAGCUUGAGCUCUUGCCACUCUUUAUCUCUUUGUCCAUAAGANNNNNNNNNNNNNNNNNNNNNNNNNNNNNNNNNNNNNNNNNNNNNNNNNNNNNNNNNNNNNNNNNNNNNNNNNNNNNNNNNNNNNNNNNNNNNNNNNNNNNNNNNNNNNNNNNNNNNNNNNNNNNNNNNNNNNNNNNNNNNNNNNNNNNNNNNNNNNNNNNNNNUAUGAGAAAGAAAACCACCACUUCCUUAGGUACUGUAGCAAACUUAAAUUAUACUUGUGCUGAUGUUGGGUUACUGUAUUUUCAAUCUUCCAUGGCUAAUACCCCCCGAUACUAUCCAUAGUUUCAUCAAAAUAAGCAACCAACACAANNNNNNNNNNNNNNNNNNNNNNNNNNNNNNNNNNNNNNNNNNNNNNNNNNNNNNNNNNNNNNNNNNNNNNNNNNNNNNNNNNNNNNNNNNNNNNNNNNNNCCUCUUAACAAGGGCACAAGCAUGAAAUCACAAUUUCAUCUCUUUAGAACAUCACUUAUGUUCCGUGACGUUUUACAAUGUUUUCGGUGCCUUGCUUCUAAGCCAUUAAGUAUUUUGCACUGAACUAUCGUGUAGUCAUCAGAAACGUGUAUGUCGGAUGUUCAUAGCAUCCACAGACGACGCUCGAGGUGCAGCACACCGAGUGGUGCAUUAAGGACAUAAGCCUUCUGCGCAGCAAUGAGGACAAUCCUCGGUUUUACAAACUCAGUCUACAAAGUUUGCUACUAUCAAUUUUCAACUAAAUUUUCUCUAGGAACAUAUAAAAACAGUAGAGCUAUAGNNNNNNNNNNCGAGGACAAUCCUCUUCAAAGCUUGCUACUAUCAACUUUCAACUAAAUUUUCUCUAGGAACAUAUAAAAACAGUAGAGCUAUAGCGCAAGCUACAUCGUAAUUCGCAAAGACCAUUAGACUAUGUUCAUGACAAUUAGUUCAAUUAAUCAUAUUACUUAAGAACUCCCACUCAAAAAGUACAUCUCUCUAGUCAUUUGAGUGGUUCAUGAUCCACUUACACUAGCUCAAGUCCGAUCAUCACGUGAGUUGAGUNNNNNNNNNNNNNNNNNNNNNNNNNNNNNNNNNNNNNNNNNNNNNNNNNNNNNNNNNNNNNNNNNNNNNNNNNNNNNNNNNNNNNNNNNNNNNNNNNNNNGAAAAUAGUUUUGAAUUAUUUAUUCAAUUUCAAACACUUUUCAUUUUCGUAGUUUUGUCAAAUUCUCAAAUAUGCAAAAAGAAUUUUAAUAAAAAUAGUUUUUAUUUGAAAAUAACAAAAUAGUUAAUAGUUUGGAUAGUCAAAAUAAUUAAUUUUGAAAAUAGAAAAUAGUUUUGAAUUAUUUAUUCAAUUUCAAACACUUUUCAUUUUCAUAGUUUUGUCAAAUUCUCAAAUAUGCAAAAAGAAUUUUAAUAAACAUAGUUUUUAAUUGAAAUAACAAAAUAUUUAAUAGUUUGGAUAGUCAAAAUAAUUAAUUUUGAAAAUAGAAAAUAGUUUUGAAUUAUUUAUUCAAUUUCAAACACUUUUCAUUUUCAUAGUUUUGUCAAAUUCUCAAAUAUGCAAAAAGAAUUUUAAUAAACAUACUUUUCAAUUGAAAAUAACAAAAUAGUUAAUAGUUUGGAUAGUCAAAAUAGUUAAUUUUGAAAUUAGAAAAUAGUUUGGAAUUAUUUAUUCAAUUUCAAACACUUUUCAUUUUCAUAGUUUUGUCAAAUUCUCAAAUAUGCAAAAAGAAUUUUAAUAAACAUAGUUUUUAAUUGAAAUAACAAAAUAUUUAAUAGUUUGGAUAGUCAAAAUAAUUAAUUUUGAAAAUAGAACAUAGUUUUGAAUUAUUUAUUCAAUUUCAAACACUUUCCAUUUUCAUAGUUUUGUCAAAUUCUCAAAUAUGCAAAAAGAAUUUUAANNNNNNNNNNNNNNNNNNNNNNNNNNNNNNNNNNNNNNNNNNNNNNNNNNNNNNNNNNNNNNNNNNNNNNNNNNNNNNNNNNNNNNNNNNNNNNNNNNNNAGACCUUGUGCACAUCCGGGGCAGACUGGUGCCGCCGCCCUCUUCCGGCGAGCUGUUGUCGUCGCUCGCGUCCCGAUCGGGAGCGGAGUCGACGAGCAUAGCGCCCCGCCUGGCCUUCCCGCGUUGACCGCUCGGCUGGGCCCCGAGCCGGCCCCUCUUGAGUGCCUCGUCGCGCCUCCCCGAGGCCCAGCUUUGGCCUCCCCCAAGGCCCACUCCACCUCUGCUGCACCAGGCCGGCCCACAAGUUGAGAAUCCCCCCUGAGACACUAUUCCACGCCCACGCAGUUGAUAGGUAUCUCGCACCCGUGUUUUGUAGGCCCGAUUGGUGGAUUUAGGCCCGUUAGUAAUUUAGGAGUUUUCGGAAUAAUUAAAUUCCAGAAAAUAACCGUAUAUUAGAACGGUCGUAUCUUUUUAACCAUGUGUCGAAACGAGGCGUGUAGUAUAUGGUUUCCGUGUAGUUUUGCGCGUAGAUUACGUUGGUGCNNNNNNNNNNCGUAUGCCUAGGUUUCCGUGUUGUCUAGAUAGGUUAGUGCCCGUAUUUAAUUUUCUCGCAAGUCCGGAUUGCUUGUAUGCCGUAUUAGAAAUGUCCAUGAUUUAGGAACCCUCUUGCCAUGUAUUUUAGAGUAGUCAUCCAUAUUUUUGCGUGUAGGGAUUGCCGCUAGUUUAUUUUUCCGUGCUUAGGUUAUUAUCUCGCAUUUACGUGNNNNNNNNNNUCGUGAUGCCCUUUUGUUUAUUUCGUAGGAUUUAUUCCGUGCUUCGUUUGAUUAAGUUGUCAACUAGAGAGUUGAUCUUUGAUGUNNNNNNNNNNUGGCAUUAUUUUGUGUUGCAACCCCACAUAUUUUAUAUGUUUUCGGGGUAGAAAAAUCAAUGGGAUUUUUCUGUGCAAUUAGUUUUAGCUUUCGAGUAAGUUAGUUCGCGCGAUAUUUUGCCGUGAUGCCCUUUUGUUUAUUUCGUAGUUUUUAUUUCGUGCUUCGUUUGAUUAAGUUGUCAACUAGAGAGUUGAUCUUUGAUGUNNNNNNNNNNGAUUAAGCUUUGCUAGUCUUGAUACCUUUGGAAAUGAGAUUGUUGAGUCCCAUGUGGCUCACAGAUUACUACAACACCACUUGCAAGUACAGGUAAAGGUUACUUGACGCGAGCGCAUUGAUUGUUCAUUUGGAGUUGCUUCUUCUUCAUCGAUCUAGGAUGGGUUCCAGGCCGGCAGCCUGGGAUAGCAAGGAUGGACGUCGUUCUUCUUUUGUCAUUUUUUUUCGUCCGUAGUCGGACCCUGCUCUUACUCUUGAUGAUUAUGUAAUGUACUGAUGUGACUCUGAUGUAGCUUGUGGCGAGUGUAAGCCAAUUCUAAAUAUAUAUAUCUCUUCUUUUUAGUACAUAUACUUGUAACGAUAUCCAUUCUUGCGACACGCCGAGAUGCGCUUCUAGCCCUGACGAGGCCUUCGUGCCAAAUUGAGGAUAGGGUCGCAUCUUGGGCGUGACACUAGGUUUAGAUAUCUGGGAAGGAACGUGUUCGAGGUCCACUUUGGUAGCGAGGGAGAUUGGAGACAUGUUCUGCACAAUGGACCAUGGGAGUUUGAUUUCAGUGUUUUGAUUGUGAAGGAAUAUGAUGGGGGUACCAGGCCCUCGAAGAUGGUGUUCGAUAAGGUGGAGAUGUGGGUUCAGGUGCAUGAUCUCCCACCGGAUAAGAGGACGGAGGAGUUUGGGAAUGCCUUGGGCAACUGGCUCGGGAAGGUGGUGAGGAUGGAUGUUGACGAGGAAGGAAAAGCUAAAGGUCAACACCUUAGGGUUCAUGCUCAGAUCUCUGUGUUUGAGCCGCUGGUGAGGGGCUUUUUCCUGAGAUCAUCGCGGGAGGAGAAGAGUAAGCUAUGGUUUGAUUUUCACUAUGAGAAGGUUCCACACUUUUGCUUUGAGUGUGGUAGAUUGGUACAUGUUGAUGGGGUCUGCGACCCACCUGUGGACUCUUCGUCUUAGUGGGGAGGAUGGCUCCGGGCGUCGUCAGAUAAGCAUGGUGUAUCAAAAGGUGGCUCACAAGGAGGAUGUGGUGGUAGUAACAAUAGUAUGGGCAGUGGAAGACAAGGUGAUAGUGAUCAGUAUGCUCAUCAGAUGACUAGGGUGCGCGAUCUUCCUACCAAGCGUAAUCUGCACUCAGAAUUUUCGUGUACAGGUGACUCCCGCACUGGCGAGGAGAAUAGACCUGGGGGGAAAGAUGUGAGGAGCCCAAUUAAUAGCAGAGGCAUAGCAAAGGAGCAGCACGAGCGGGACUUAAGAUAUGAUCUGGAGCAAAGGAGAGAGGAGGUGCUGAGGGGCAAGUUGGUCGAACAACAGAGACAGAGAGAGAGGGUUCCUACUGACUGCAUGGUCAGGGAGGAUAGGGGUUUCCGUACUCUCCCCAAAGCUUUUCCUGUUGAUGAAUCGGGAAGGAGGAUGGAGGGUAUCUCAACAUCGGGUCAUGGAGGAACAACGGAGAGGAGGAGGGGGCACUACGUAAGGAAGCCGAGAUAGGAAUAUCGUCCAAUUACAAAGAGUUCUUCUAGGAGACUGGGAGAGGAUGGCAAUAGGAAAAGGCGGCCUAAGCAACUAUGGGUAGCAAAAGAUGACCCAGAUAGACAGUUUAUUCAUGAUGCCUUCAUUCGUGAUACAAGACGCAAGACGUCUUCAGUGUUUGAUCGUAUCUCGAAAUACAAUGAUAUAGCGGCGGACCCUGCGGAGCAGGGCNNNNNNNNNNNNNNNNNNNNNNNNNNNNNNNNNNNNNNNNNNNNNNNNNNNNNNNNNNNNNNNNNNNNNNNNNNNNNNNNNNNNNNNNNNNNNNNNNNNNUUCAAAACUAUUUUCUAUUUUCAAAAUUAAUUAUUUUGACUAUCCAAAGUAUUAACUAUUUUGUUAUUUUCAAUUAAAAACUAUGUACAAAACGUGCAUUUAAUUUUGUUUUUUUGGGCUAGUUGACCCUAAAAUUGAAAAGCACUACAAANNNNNNNNNNCGUCACAAAUUUUUAACAAUUUCUGACUUAAUUUGGUAUUUUUCGUGCAUUUACUUUUGUUUUUUUGGGCUAGUUGACCCUAAAAUUGAAAAGCACUACAAAUGAACUCUGAAAAUGUUGAAAGUUGGCAUGCUAUCAUCAUUUCACCCACAUAGCAUGUGUUAAAAAGUUGAGAGGGCUACGACAAAAACUGGAUGCACUUCGUGUACAAAACGGACAAUCUCUCUCGAAGUAUGAGCGUUUCAAACGAGAACUCAUCUCUUACAAAGGGAUUUCAUUUUUUGAACUUAUUUGAACUCCAUACUUUUUGUGUGUUUAAAAUNNNNNNNNNNUAAAACGGCCAAUCUCUCUCGAAGUAUUAGGGUUUCGAACGAGAACUCAUCUCUUACAAAGGGAUUUCAUUUUUUGAACUUAUUUAAACUACAUAUUUUUUGUGUGUUAAAAAUGCACCAUUGAAAGGCACAUCACAAAAUUUCAACAAUUUCUGACUUCAUUUGGUAUUUNNNNNNNNNNCAAAACGGACAAUAUCUCUCGAAGUAUGAGGGUUUCGAACGAGAACUCAUCUCUUACAAAGGGAUUUCAUUUUUUUGAACUUAUUUAAACUCCAUACUUUUUGUGUGUUCAAAAUACACCAUUCAAAGGCACAUCACAAAAUUUCAACAAUUUCUGACUUCAUUUGGUAUUUUUCGUGCAUUUACUUAUUUUUUUGAGCUAGUUGACCCUAAAAUUGAAAAGCACUACAAAUGAACUCUGAAAAUNNNNNNNNNNUAUCAAAAAAUUUCAACAAUUUCUGACUUAAUUUGGUAUUUUUCGUGCAUUUACUUUUGUUUUUUUGGGCUAGUUGACCCUAAAAUUGAAAAGCACUACAAAUGAACUCUGAAAAUGUUGAAAGUUGGCAUGCUAUCAUCAUUUCACCCACAUAGCAUGUCUUAAAAAGUGGAGAGGGUUACGACAAAAACUGGAUGCACUUCGUGUACAAAACAGACAAUCUCUCUCGAAGUAUGAGCGUUUCAAACGAGAACUCAUUUCUUACAAAGGGAUAUCAUUUUUUGAACUUAUUUGAACUCCAUACUUUUUGUGUGUUUAAAAUNNNNNNNNNNNNNNNNNNNNNNNNNNNNNNNNNNNNNNNNNNNNNNNNNNNNNNNNNNNNNNNNNNNNNNNNNNNNNNNNNNNNNNNNNNNNNNNNNNNNGGGGGGUUCAGAGGAUUGGGUGAAUCCCUUCCUUCCACCCAAUCCUCUCAAAUCCCCUCAAUUGUCAAAUCCCUGAGCCAUGAGACAAGGUUUCUGAACCGCAUGGAUAGGAAGAAAUCAAGGGGGAUUCGAGAGGAUUGAAGGGGUUUGCUCAUCACAAACCCUGUCCACCAAAUGGACAUGCGGGGAAACGCGGGGUUUCUGAUUCCCUCGGGGAUAAUCCCCUACAAUCCUCCUCAAACCCUCCGCACCAAACAAGGCCUAAGGGUUAGAUCAAUACAACACAACAAUACACAAUAUUAGUCAUCCUUCCACAAUUUCCACAAUUAGAGGCCCACUUAACGGCCUAUUAAAAUGCAUGAUUUGUGGAAGCAGUUUAUAUAGGCUGGAUUCUGUACAUACGAAAUUAACUGCCCUUUUAAGUGGGCCAACGAACACUUCAGAUUAGAUUAGUCGUAGGGCACAUAAGUGGUCUGAUGGGAGGUUGGGCAUCAGUAGUCUGAUGCCUAGCGCUGCCCAUAAAUACGAAUCAUGUUGAUUGAUCGUGCUGUUUAAGAAGGAUGCUUAUAAGGAAGAUCAUAAGAUACUGCUUCCCUCUGUUCAUUUUUAUAAGACGUUUUAGACAGCCGAAAUUGAACUGUUUUGGGUGUUGCCUUAAAUGUCUAAAAGGUCUUGCAAAAGUGAACGGGGGAAGUAUCAAAUGACAUACAUACAGAACUGCCCUCGAAGUGACUUGAAGAUAGCAGCAGGCUGGACAAAGCAAAGCACAUUGCAUAAGUGUCUUCCUGAAUGUUUUAGAAACCAGAGACAUGAGAGCCAAACCAGAGAGCGCUUUAGUUAUGGUGUAGUACCAGUACCUCCUCUUCUUCUGGAGGUAGAAUUUGGCUACAUCGGAAGCUGAAAUUUGUCCUGCUUCCUUCCUGUGACGCCUCCGAUGAGAACUAGAGGUGCAAUAAGUCGGAACAGUGGCCAGCAGAACUGAAACAGUCUUGAUAAAUCUGCUGGGAUUCAGAUUCGGAAUACGAGUGAGGGUUUAAGUACAGGAAGAAGUAAUAGCAUAUAUACCUGGUGCAGGAUCGGAUGUGUAAAAUGUUGUGUGGCUUACCUCGGCUGUUGGCCAACCACAGCAGGUCACUAAACUCGGGAGUAUUGGCGAUCUCCGCAGCCCUGUUCCUCACGAGUUGCCAGUCGAUGGCGGCCCUGUAUCAGAGGAAGAGAUAUUCAAAACCUGGAGAUUUAUUUAUGCUACCCGUACUGGCAUGCAGAAUCCCUCGGAAUAAUGGAACACGGUACAUGCAUGCAUGAUGUGUCCUAGGAAAAGAAAAGAAAAAAGAACAGUCACCUGAGCUUCUCGUUGCGGUGCAAGGCCGAGAGCAAGCGGGUGCGCCUGACGGUGCCGGGUGUGGCGUUGCUCAUAAACCAUGGUGAUAAUGGCGCCGUGCGGCCUGCUGAUGGAGAUGGAGUGGAUGGUUCUGUGCAGAUUGGGGAAGUUGAAGAGGAGCCUCCCCUCCUCGCCGAGCAUCGCGUCGACCUUGGGCACGAAGCGGACGACGUACUUGACCGCGUCGCCCAACUGGCCCUGCCUCGCGAGGCGCUGCAGGUGCUCCACGCUGAAGAACACGGUCGUCUCGUGGAGCAACCUGAAGAACACGGUCGUCUCGUGGAGCAACCUGAAUACAGUGACAAAGGACGUAUCUUAUGAUAGGACGCGAAGAAGCCAAGGGGAUUUAGGCGUGAUGAUGAUAGUGCUGAUAUGUACGCUUGGAAGGUGGAGUUGAAGCCGUGGCACGAGAGGAAGUACGACACCAAGAUUUGUUAACGAGGUUCAUCAAUAUGGUUAUAUCCCCGGGGCUUGACUACGACGCUCCUUUCCGUGACACCAUCACAAUACCGCACCCCGGCCGUCCGUAUGCCGGCACACACCGUCGGCUCUCCUGCGUGCCUGUGUUAUUAUGUUGACAUAUGUUACAUCGUGUGUCUAACCCGCUAUAUAUGAAAGGCCUAGGGGUACAUGUGUCCUAAUAGGACACGACUCCUACCUUGUCUACACAUCGUACGACUCCAAGUCCAACUGUAACCUACCUUGUACGAUAAUAUUCGACACAACUCUAACAAACUCCACCUUGACGAAUAUUCUCCACCACCUUGGAUUCAUCCAUGCGUCGAACCUUCAUAUACAUUGGACUUUAGAUUAUACCAUGAGCACCGCUGCUACUCCCAGACUCCACAUGACUCCACCUGCAACUAUAGUCCCUUCUCGUCUUCUUCACAAUCAACCCUCGAGCAAAGUUAAUUUCCUUAUUACUCUAUAUACUUUGUGCUUCCAAUUUCUGGAGUAUCCAUUCAAUGUCAUCACACACAUAUCACUGACGUGCGUGAAAGUGAACAACCCACAUAUUGAAUGCCACAUAUAAAGGUUACCUGAGCUCAACAUCCUCACUCUUCUUUGGCCGUCGCUUUGAAACUUGAAGGAAUUUCACCAUCUCCUUGUGUCACCCUGAGUCAAAUUCGCAGUUGUCUCACCCUUUUCCCGGAUAGUCUCUGACAUGUCCCACAGCUAUAGCACCCCGCCUCCUUCUGUACUUGUCAUCCGCACUUUGUCAUGUGCAAUGAACACCACAGAAUAUACGACCAUGUACUCUCUCUGCUUUUGACAAUUUCGUACUUUCCAUCACUUUUUCAGAUUCUCUAUGGUCAACUCAUGUCCAUCAACUUGCACCGAUAGACCCAGUCACCAACUUGAAUCUGGUAUUCAUUAACACUGCUUCAGUACCCGUUUGCGCAAUUUAUCUGACCACAUGUCUGACCACCAGUACCUUGGUCUGUCGCUAUGCUUACCACACGCCUCGCCGCUAUCAUUGCGUCGAGCCUCUACUGUCAUGGCCGAGUCUCCCAAGGUCGCGAACCAACACCACUCAACCCCCACUUCAGAGUACCACCGAUCAUCACCGACCGAUGCUGAGUAUCACGUCUCCAUGAGACCACUGGUACCCAGUCCAAUCCACGUGUCUCUCGUUAACCCAUUGAAAUAGGCUACGAUUCUCCGAAUUCUUAUGUUGUAGCCCCUCAUCAGCACAGAGUGAUGUCUUCCGCUAGACUCCAGCUCCACCUUCCACAUGACCCCAUGUAGCCGGCCGUGCUACCCCAUGCCCUGUCGACUUCAAGAUCUCACGUGUACACAACCUUGAAUCAACCUCGCGUCAUAGUCCGUCGAAGCCGCACAAGCCCUCAUGCCUGCACCACGUGUUUCCACGCCCCAGAAGUUGGCCACCAUCAGCAUCACGCUCCUAUGUCGUCGUCGCUGAAAUCACCGCCGUCUUCUGCUUUGCCCGACAUCCCCGUCGAUCCGUCAGACUGUCCAGUCCGACCCAGCCAAAAAUAUCCGACUGCAACCACGCUCCACCUUGCGUUAUGUCCGCGCUGCACAUCUUCGUGCAUUUCUUUAAUGCCCUAUGUAUGCAUGAUCAUGUCAUGACGCACGUGAGACUCCUCUCAGCCUUAUGCGUCCAUCCUUGUCGCACACACUCCCAGCACUUUCGGCAAACUUGACCCAUAAAAAAACAUCCUUGCAGACUUGACCGCUAUGGAUACUUUCUGCAGAUUUUUCUUUCCCUUGUCUCUUUCUGCCAGUACUUAUGUGGACGAGUAGACUAUUUUUUUCACCAACAAAUCUCAUGCCUUGCAGCUUCCCACGCAUUUGGUCUUCCGUGACUCCUCCAAGCAGCCGCUGACCAUACAUGUGCUCUGUUCAAAACAAAAUAGUAACAACCAAGAAAUAGUCCCCCAUAGCGUGCACGUAUGUGUAGCAAAAAAGAUCAACAAAUAGUUGUCCACAAGCUUCCCAACACGAAGUAGCUAUUCCAGACUACUAUUCUGUUGUUUCCUUUGUUUAUCCAACGUGCACAGCUGGUCUACCGUCAUCUCAAACGGUGCAAUUUUGCAGCAACCCAGCGCAUUGCUGCCUUGGGCCCUCCACGAUGGAAACUCCUGCCAUCCAUCAGCUGCAGCCCACCAAGCCUUGAGCCGCACGCCCCUCAGGAUCGAGCAGAUUGUUGCAGCUCUGCAUGCCACACGCAUCAUCUUCCCCUGCACGUGUAAGGGGCCGCCGUAUCACGCUUUCCAAAUCGAUCAUCCAGCUUUGAGUCGAUUACAAAUCUCGCACAAUUGGUUUCCUUUAUUAUACCAGACUCGACGAGUUCUAUUGAUCAACCACGCAAACUUAAGACUGCUGAUGCCGCCACCUGCUUCCUGAUUCUUUUUCUGAUUCACCCGAUCACAACCAGACAACUUCCAUGGAAUAGCUUCUCUUCGAUCAGCCUCUUCCGCGUGUCGUCUUUACACCGAACGAUUCAACCUUUAGAUCGAUACAACGCAGACUCCGAGCAACCUGGCUCAUGAUACCACUUGUUAGAAUAAUCCAAGGCUUUCCAUCGAUCUACCGAGGACCAAGUAAUCACACGAGCGCGACACCGAGAUUUGUUAACGAGGUUCAUCGAUAUGGCUACAUCCCCGGGGCCUGACUACGGACGCUCCUCCCCGUGACACCGUCACAAUACCGCACCCCGGCCGCCCAGACGCCGGCACACACCAUCGGCUCUCCUGCGUGCCUGUGAUAUUAUGUUGGCAUAGGUUACAUCGUGUGUCCAUCCCGCUAUAUAUGAGAGGCCUAGGAGUACAUGUGUCCUAAUAGGACACGACUCCUACCUUGUCUACACACCGUACGACUCCAAGUCCAACUAUAAUCUACCUUGUACAAUAAUAUUCGACACAACUCUAACAGAGGCGACGCUGACGGAGCUGCGACACGCAUGGGUGCUCCAUGGAACGCCACAUGGAGGAGGGAUUGCGCUUGCUGGAGCCGCACCGGUGGUCGGAGAACUUCAUAGCGGGAAGCACCGUUUUGUGGUGUGGGCCUGAUAAUAGCGCCCACCCACGGUAUAAAUCUUGGGGUAUGUACCCCGUCCUUCCACUCCCCUCUCUCAAGUUCAACGGCUCGGUUCGCAAAAAAAGGGUUAGGCGCCUCGGCAACACCUUACCACAAGAACAAAGAAAAAAGAAAAUAAAAGAAAAAAUGAAAAUGAAAAAACAAAAAGGUAAUUUUUUUGUCUCUGAAGGUUCUAUAACAUGGUAAAUUGUCAAAAACUACCACAAUUACGCCCGACGGUGCCGAAAACCACCGUUUCCAUAAAAGUUUACCAAAAACACCUAUUUUGAGUAUUUAUUUGCUGAAUGCACUAAAAUUGAUGUUUGACCAUAUUUUGACACAAAAACUGACAGCAGGACCCAAUCCGUCAGGACCACAUGGCAUGGGAUAACGACUAGGUAAGACCGUCUAUCAUUGCUGGCAUAUGAGGGCCAUUUGUCAUAGAAAGAAAAAAGAAAAAAGAAAGUUCCCUUUACCUUUCCUCGUGAAGCAACCUUUACGCAAAGAAAGCCAACGCCUCGGCCAGGAACAACAUACAGCGAACUGGAGCUCACCGUUGCCAUGAUCGUCGCUGCCACCGUAAGCACUGGCAGCGGUGUGGUACGUGGACCCUUCUUCCGUGUCCAAACGUAUGCCUCAAUCCUCUUCCCUACUCUUGUCGUCGCUACCGGCCAGUCGACCACCAUGGCCUCCGUGGGCUUGAGCUCGACGAGAUCCUGUUUGCCCCGCCCACGUGCUUCCUAGUCGUGCCCCAUGGUGAGCUGCACGCCACGUGCUCCUCCUUUCGCACAUGCCUAGACCAAUGUCCGUCUGGCGAGCUCUGACGUCGUCUACACCCGCAGAACGAGCAGGAUUCGGCCAUGGUGAAUAGGCAAUUUUUAUGAAUUCUUCACUCAGAAAUUUCCCUAUGAAAAAUUUGCUAAGUAACAAACGACUUGCAGCGGAAGAAAUACUCAGGUGUAAGUAUAACAUGGCACAAGCAUGGUCAUUAUGAUGGAAUGGAACAAACACGUAGUGCGAGUGGCGUGACCGAUAACCCACAAGUAUAGGGGAUCGCAACAGUUUUCGAGGGUAGAGUAUUCAACCCAAAUUUAUUGAUUUGACUCAAGGGGAAACCAAAGAAUAUUCUCAAGUAUUAGCAGUUGAGUUGUCAAUUCAACCACACCUAAAAGAUUUAGUAUCUGCAGCAAAGUAUCAGUAGCAAGUUAGUAUGAUAGCAGCAGUAGCAACAGUAACCAGUAGCAGCAAAGUGACAGUAGUAGCAGCAAAGUAACAGCAGUAGCAACAGAGUAACAGUAGCAACAGUGUCAGUAGUAGCGACAAAGUAACGUAGCAAGGACCAUUAGGAAAAACUCGUAGGCAUUGGAUCGGUGAUGGAUGAUUAUGCCAGAUGCUAUUUAUCAUGCAACAGUUAUAACACGGAGAGAUAUGUAACUAGCUCCAGUUCGUCAAUGUAAUGUAGGCAUGUAUUCUGUAUGUAGUCAUACGUGCUUAGGGAAAAGAACUUGCAUGACAUCUAUUGUCCAUCCCUCCCGUGGCAGUGGGGUCCUAAUGGAAACUAUGGGAUAUUAAGGUUCCCCUUUUAAUAAAGAAACGGACCAACGCAAUAACACUUGGUGAAUACAUNNNNNNNNNNCAUAGCGAGUCACAACCAUUCAUAAGUAGCCAUACAUGAGUUUUAUCCAUUACAUUAAAUCUCCAAAGACUAAAAAUGACGAUAAUAAAAAUUUAACUACGAUACAUUACUCCCCCUUUGNNNNNNNNNNNNNNNNNNNNNNNNNNNNNNNNNNNNNNNNNNNNNNNNNNNNNNNNNNNNNNNNNNNNNNNNNNNNNNNNNNNNNNNNNNNNNNNNNNNNNNNNNNNAAAAAGGGAGGUGUCAACAGCACCAAUCAAACUCAAAGCUCAUCACCAUCAUCAUCAGCAUUAUCAGCCAAGCCACUGCCCCCAGCCUCGUCAAAGAACUCAGACCACUCAGGACCAGACGGGAAGCCAAAAUCAGUAGGAGGAGCAGCAGGAGGGGCCUCAUCAUCACUCACAUCAAGAGCGCCCAAGGCUCUCAGACGAGCCUUUAGGGCAUACUUGGAGGAAACUAGGCGGGAAACUUGGGCUACAACCGUUUCAGACUCAUAACCAUGAAAAGGAUCAGAUUCGACCAGAGUGAUUAACUCAGGGUUGACAGAGAAUNNNNNNNNNNNNNNNNNNNNNNNNNNNNNNNNNNNNNNNNNNNNNNNNNNNNNNNNNNNNNNNNNNNNNNNNNNNNNNNNNNNNNNNNNNNNNNNNNNNNCUCUUGAAGAGAUUUCAUCAUAGCAUCUACGAUAUGCGCGGUAAAGGCUUUACUUUGGCUAUAAGCAUGUGGAGAGUUUGCAAUGGAUUGCAUCAAAGAAAUGCAUUCAAACAAGGAGCAAUUAUCAUAAUUGAAUUCCUUGAAAUCCAAAGUGGGAGUUUCAUUACUACCCAAAAUUUUGACUUCUUCUACUCCACUCUCCACGCCUUUAUCAUCAAGAUAGGUGGACUCCGAAUCAUUGGGGCGUUUUUCAACCAAAGUGGAUUCAUAUCCAGCCCCUCCAUAAGUAGGUUUGACACGCAAAAACAAAGAUUCAAGAGGAGACACACCAAGCAGUUUAAGAUCUUCGUUAUUUGGAUCACAAAUUUCAGGUUUAGCUGCCAUCUUAUUGACUAAGGUAGCCUGCUUGUCAGAAAUUUGGCCCACCAAUUCUUCAAGAUGAGCAAGCUGGGAAUUAAGUGCAAGGACAUCAUUGGCCAUAUCAUCAAUAUCUUUAUUCAAAUAGACCAAAAAGGAAUUUUGCUCUUUUAAUUCCCUACGGAAGUAACUAUUUUGGUCAAACUAUGAAGACAUGAAACCUUUGACAUUAGUUUCAAUCUCCUCCAAUUUUCUGAAAUAGUUUGGUUUGGCCAUGAGGGAGGGUAUCUCACGAACAAACCUAAGAGCAGGCGGGCAAAAAGGAAAGGCAAAAAGAAAAAGAGAACGGCAAAGGAGAAAGGCAAAUGAAAACAGCAAAUGUGAAGUGGGGGAGAGGAAAAUGAGAGGCAACUCGCAACAAAAGUAAAUGUAAGAGAAGAGUUUGUGAGACCUACUUGGAUAGAUCUUGAUUUCUCCUCCCCGGCAACGGCGUGAGAAAUGCUUCUGAUGUCAACUGUACUAAUGCACAAAAGUCCUUCCAAUGGCGCCAGAAACAGGUGUGUCGACGACACCAGGAAUCCUUCAGUUGCGGCUACGCCUUAAGGGACUUCCUAGGCAAGUAUUCAAAGGAUUCCCCCGUGGCCUUGGAGCCUUGCAUUGGUGUUCCCUUGAAGCGGAAAGGGUGAUGUAGCACAGUGACGGUAAGUAUUUCCCUCAGUUUGUGAACCAAGGUAUCAAUCCGGUGGAGGAGUAUCACAAGAUCCUGCACAAACACAAAAGCUUGCUCCCAACACCAUGAAGGGGUUGUCAAUCCCUUAUAGAUUGUUUGCCAAGUGAGAACUGAAAGCAACAAAGUAACAAAGCAAAGUAAAAGCGGAGGUGUAAACGAUGGAUGUGAAUAGACCCGGGGGCCGUAGUGUUUAGUAGUGGCUUCUCUCAUGAAAGCAAGUAGACGGUGGGUGAACAAAUUACUGUCGAGCAAUUGAUUGAACCGCGCAAAGUCGUGACGAUAUCUAUGCAAUGAUUAUACCUAUAGGAAUCACGUCCAAAACAAGUAGACCGAUACUUUUUGCAUCUACUACUAUUACUCCACACGUAGACCGCUAUCCAGCAUGCAUCUAGUGUAUUAAGUCCAUAAGAACAGAGNNNNNNNNNNCUCGAGCAAUUGAUAGAAUCGCGCAAAAUCGUGACGAUAUCUAUGCAAUGAUUAUAUCUAUAGGCAUCACGUCCAAAACAAGUAGACCAAUACUUACUGCAUCUACUACUAUUACUCCACACGUCAACCGCUAUCCAGCAUGCAUCUAGUGUAUUAAGUCCAUAAGAACAGAGUAACGCCUUAAGCAAGAUGACAUGAUGUAGAGGGAUAAUCUCAAACCAAUGAUAAAACCCCCAUCUUUUUACCCUUGAUGGCAACUACUUGAUGUGUGCCUNNNNNNNNNNAAAACCAUUGAUAAAAACCCCAUAUUUUUACCCUUGAUGGAAACUACUUGAUGUGUGGCUUGCUGCCCCUACUGUCACUGGGAAAGGUUACCACAUGGUAGAACCCAAAACCAAGCACUUCUCCCAUUGCAAGAAUCAUAGUUAUAGUUGGCCAAACAAAACCUAAUACUCGGAGAGACUUACAAGGAUAUCAAAUCAUGCAUAUAAGAAAUCAGCAAAGACUCAAAUAUGUAUCAUAGAUAAUCUAAUCACAAAUCCACAAUUCAUCGGAUCUCGACAAACACACUGCCAAAGAAGAUUACAUGGGAUAGAUCUCCAUGAAGAUCAUGGAGAACAUUGUAUUGAAGAUCCAAGAGAGAGAAGAAGCCAUCUAGCUACUAACUANNNNNNNNNNNNNNNNNNNNNNNNNNNNNNNNNNNNNNNNNNNNNNNNNNNNNNNNNNNNNNNNNNNNNNNNNNNNNNNNNNNNNNNNNNNNNNNNNNNNGGAACCUACUAUCAAAAUCAAAAUCAAAAACUAUGAAUGCAAUGCUUUGUGUGAUUUGGGUGCUAGUGUUUCCGCAAUUCCAAAGUCUUUAUGUGAUGUUCUAGGCUUUAAUGAGAUUGAGGAGUGUUCUCUUAAUUUGCAUCUUGCGGAUUCUACUGUCAAGAAACCCAUGGGAAGGAUCAAUGAUGUUCUUAUUAUUGCAAAUAGGAACUAUGUACCCGUGGAUUUCAUUGUGCUAGAUAUUGAUUGCUGUCGUGGUAACGAUUCCGACAAUAGAAAGAGGGUAGGAUAACGGAGCAGUGGAGAUGCACAUGGGUGACACGGUGGUUUUUGCGAGUUCAGGCCUCUCACAGUGGAGAUAACAACCCUACGUCUCGUGCUCCGGAGAGGCUUUGUUUUAUCUGUCAUGGACAUGAGUUACACGGUGUAGAGAGAGAGCCAGAGCUCGAGGGAAAUAAUGAGCCUGAAGGAGGAGAAUAAGAAGAUGUCCUUAGCUAUGUGGAGGGGGGUGGCUUAUAUAGAGUGCGCCACCUCCUCACCUCUUAUCUUACAAGAUGGGGCAUUGAUGCCAUAAUGUCAGCCCACUACAGAUGUCCUGCCGACUGUUGGUAUUUGCAUGACCGAGUGAGUCAUACGGCCGAGUGGUUGACUGUCAUCCGAGUGGAUGGAAUGUACUUGUCUGAGUGGAUCCGUACCGAGUGGAUUAGAUGUUGUCACGAUCCAGUAGGAAUUUCCCUUAUAGUCCUUAAACUAAUAAUGAGGUGCCCUUGGGUAGGACGUAUUGGUCAGACCUAUGACCCUACCCUAGGGCUAUAUCCCCGUCAUUAGCCCCCGAAUGGAUCAGGGUCCGAGUGGUGAAGGUGUCGAUGUAAAUCUUGUAGCAGCAGACCGAACUUGAACGUGCUUCAGGGUCUUGCAAAAUUAUGCGUUGAUUGAAGUCUUCAUCAUUCGCCCUGAUCGAUUCCGCUGAGUAGUACGUCCGAGUGAACUUAAGAAUUGAAGUAGAUCCGAGUGACCAACAGGAUCUUGAGACUCUAACUGACUGCUGGUAGUCGGUUGGAAUCUGUUGAAUCUGUUGAACUUGGAUGUUGUUCGUGGACCUGACCAAGCAGAAUGUUUCUUUUUUUGUUUUUCUCUUCUAGUGGGGGCACGCUAAGUGCACCCACUGGGUGUAGUCCCCGAGCCUCUGUCGGACUAGAUGAGUCCGGCAGAGGGUUUAAGUCAUCCAAUGCUCGUCAUGUUGAAUGUUUGUUGUAUCUGCAUUAUAUGAUUUCUAGAUCAAAGUCAAGUCUCUAAGAGUUGUUUUUAACUUAGGCGAUACGGAGUCGCAGCUAAGUUUCCGAGUGUGGAGCGUGUCCGUACUCGGAGUUGUUUUAACUUAGGCGAUACGGAGUCGCAGCUAAGUUCCCGAGUGUGGAGCGCGUCCAUACUCGGAGUAAUUUUAACUUAGGCGAUACAGAGUCGUAGCUAAGCCCCCGAGUGUGGAGCGUGUCCGUACCCGUAGUAGUUUUAACUUAGGCGAUACGGAGUCGCAGCUAAGCUGAGCGGUGGCGCGCGGGGCAGCCGAAUCAUGAAGACGUGCCACACAGAGUGGCGAUGUGCAUGGCAUCUGACUGAGGUAGACGAUUCUGGCUGAGUGGCAACGCGCGGGGCGGCCAAGUGAUGUAUGUCGAGGAGGCGUCCGACCCACUGACGGCACGCAGGGCGGCCGUGUCCACUACGUCAUUGCGGGGGCUUCCGAACACGUGAAAACACAUGAAUGAUUGUUGCGGCGACUGAGCCUGAGCAGCGACGAGAAUGGCGCACGGAUGCGUCGAGUAACCUGUGUAUGAAAAAUAGCACAAGCCAGCAUAAAAAAAUAUCAAAGUAAUAUGAUCUUUUCUAAAAUAGUUCGUGUAAAUUGCACCCAGACACCCACUAGGUGUGCCACGUGAUUGCUGGUUCGGAACCAGCAAGAGUCUAAAAGAGUGAAGGAUCCGGCUGAACUCGUUUGAGUACUGGACCCAAACGAAGCGGAAGUGAAGUGUUCCCACAUAAAAAUAAACAACUGAGUGCAAAGGUACACUAAGUGGCGUGGCCUCCGAGUGAACGUCAUGUGCGACUUCCUCGACACUCGGUACUGUAGAAAUGAUUAUUUAAUAGAAUGGAGUCUGUGAAAAAAUGACUUAGCUGCCUCACGACGCGCGGGGCGGUCGAGCGAAGUAGACACGUCCGGCUGAGUGGCGUCGUGUUGGGCGGUCAAGCGAUGAAGACGCGUCUAGCUGAGUGGCGACACGCGGGGCGGCCGAGUGACGACGCGCAGAGCAACCAGGUGACGAAGGAGCCUCCAGCCGAGUGACAGCGCGCGGGGCGGUCGAGUGACAAAGGCGCGUCUCGCCGAGUGGCGGCGCGCUGGGCGGCCGACUGAUGAAGGCGCGUACAACCGAGUGACGAAGAUGUGUCUCGCCGAGUGGCGGCGCGCGGGAGGACCGACUGAUUAUGAUGCGUCCGACUGAGCGACGGCACGCAGGGCGGCCGAGUCACUGCAUGUUGGUCAUCUGUAUGCAAAAUUCAUCUGGAAUAAUUUAUGUGUGUCAUCGUGUUAGUAGCUCGAAUGAAUGGUCCGUCCGUAUAAACUGUUGUUCGGAGACGAUGACGGACGAGUGACCCUGCAAGUUAGUAGCAAGCGUAGCUACAAAUAUUUUUGGGUGAACUAAUUGUCCUGUAUAGUUGCUAAUUUGCAAUGAAUAAAAACCACAUUUGGUGUUGCCCGCAUGCAUGCAAAAUUUACUGGUGUGGGGAAUACUUACGAGGAGCUUAACGAGGCAAUUACCUCAGCCGAAACGGUUAGUCCACGUUUAAUGCAUGGAAUUGAUCCUCCACCCAAUUAACCCGACGUUAAAGGCCUGGCCACCACUACCUUCCGUUUCAUGUUCUUGAAUACAUGCGGUUUAAUAGAUCGUGGACCACCACGCCCUAUCGUUUCCUUGAUGCAUGCAGUUAAUUGAUCCACGGACUGGCCAGGUUAUGCAUGCACUUACGAGGCAGGCCGGUCAGCGCUGGCGCGUCGUCGACCAGGUCCUGGAGAUUCCCCUCCAAGGCGAAGCAGUGGCGCAACGCGGUUCUAUCAAUUGCUCGACAUUGAUUUGUUCACCCACCGUAAUAUUUGCUAUUUUGAGAGAAGCCUCUAGUGAACACUAUGGCCUCCGGGUCUACUCCACACCAUAUUUUCAGCCUUACUCUUUUACUUCGUUGCACUUUGUGCCUUCAGAUCUCACUUUGCAAUCAAUCUUGAAGGGAUUGACAACCCCUUUAUAGCGUUGGGUGCAAGCUCUUUUGUGUUUGCGCAGGUACUCUGGACUUGACGAGAUUCUCCUACUGGAUUGAUACCAUGGUUCUCAAACUAAGAGAAAUACUUACUGCUCAUGUGCUACACCACCCUUUCCUCUUCAAGGAAAAACCAACGCAAGCCCAGCCUCCGUCAACGUGUCAAUCCCUGGCGCUGUUGUCUGUUGUCGUAGCACCUACCAACCCUUCCCCUAGGAGUAUGCGUUUAGCACUUUGUUUUGAUUACUAAUAAAAACUUUCGCAACAAGUAUGUGAAUUCUUCAUGACUAAUGUGAGUCCAUGGUAUAGAUGCACUUUCACUUUCCACCGUUGCUAGCCUCUCUAGUACCGUGCAAUUUUCGCCGGUGCACAAACCCACCAUAUGCCUUCCUCAAAACAGCCACCAUACCUAUCUACUAUGGCAUUUUCAUAGCCAUUCCGAGAUAUAUUGCCAUGCAACUCCCACCGUUCCGUCUCAUGACUUGUGCAUUCACUCUCAUAUUGCCAUUGCAUGAUCGUAAGAUAGCUAGCGAGAUGUUUCAACGUCAUACGCCAAGCUAGAUCGUUGCACAUCCCGGUACACUACCGGAGGCAUUUCCUAUAGAGUCAUCAUCGUUCUAAGCUUUGAGCUGUGAGUAAAUAAAUGUGUGAUGAUCAUCAUUAUUAGAGCAUUGUCCCAUGUGAGAAAAAAAAGAGGCCAAAGUUGCCCACAAAAAAAAAAGAUACAGAAAGAGGUCAAAGAGCCCAAAAAGAGAGAGAGAGAAAAAGAGAGAAGGGACAAUGCUACUAUCUCUUUCCACACUUGUGCUUCAUAAUAACACCAUGUUCUUCAUGAUUGAGAGUCUCUUGUUUUGUCACCACCACAUGCUAGUGGGAAUUUUAAUUAUAUAACUUGGCUUGUAUAUUCCAAUGAUGCGCUUCCUCAAAAUUGCCCUAGGUCUUCGUGAGCAAGCAAGUUGGAUGCACACCCACUAGUUCUCCUUUUGAGCUUUCACAUACUUAUAGCUCUAGUGCAUCCAUUGUAUGGAAAUUCCUACUCAUUCACAUUGAUAUAUAUUAAUGGGCAUCUCCAUAGCCCUUUGAUACGCCGAGUCAAUGUGACCAUCUCCUCCUUUUUGUCUCACAACCUCCACCACACUCUAUUCCACCAUAGUGUUAUAUCCAUGGCUCACGCUCAUGUAUUGCGUGAGAGUUGAAAAAGGUUUGAGAAAGUAAGAGUGCGAAAACAGUUACUUGGCCAAUACCGGGGUUGUGCAUGAUUUAAAUUAGUUGUGUGGGGAUGAUAGAGCAUAGCCAGACUAUAUGAUUUUGUAGGGAUAACUUUCUUUGGCUUUGUUAUUUCGAAAGUUUAUGAUUACCUUGCUAGUUUGCUUGAAGUAUUAUUGUUUUCAUGCCAAUAGCAAACUAUUGUUUUCAAUCUUACGGAUCUGAACAUUCAUGUCACAUGAAAGAAGUUACAAAGGACAACUAUGCUAGGUAGCAUUCCACAUAAAAAAUUCAGUCUUUAUCACUUCCCUACUCGGGGACGAGCAGGAGUUAAGAUUGGGGAUGCUUGAUACGUCUCCAACGUAUCUAUAAUUUUUGAUGGUUCCAUGCUAUUAUCUUGUCAAACUUUGGAUGUUUUGUAUGUCUUUUAUAUCUUUUUUGGGAUUAACUUAUUAACUCAGUGCCAAGUGCCAGUUCCUGUUUUUUCUGUGUUUUUGACCCUUUUCAGAGGAGGAUAUUAAACGGUGGCCAAACGGAAUAAAACUUCCGAAAAGAUUUUUUCCGGAACAAAAGAUACGCACGGGACGUGAGAACCAAGGCACAGGCCACCAGGUGACGCCACAAGCCCCCUAGGCGCGGCCAGGGGCCCCACGCCUAGCAGGCUUGUGGGCCCCCUGUGGCUCGUCUGACCUACCUCUUCCGCCUAUAAAUUCCCAAAAAAAUCCAAAACUGCGAGAGAGAUCCACGAAAAUACUUUUCCGCCGCCGCAAGCUUCUGUCUCCGCAAGAUCCCAUCUGGGGCACGUUCUGGUGCCCUGUCGGAGGGGGGAUUCAGAUACGGAGGGCUUCUUCAUCAACACCAUGACCACUCGAUGAUGCGUGAGUAGUCCACCAUAGACCUUCGGGUCCAUUGCUAGUAGCUAGAUGGCUUCUUCUCUCUCUUGGAUCUUCAAUACAAAGUUCUCCAUGAUCUUCAUGGAGAUCUAUCCGAUGUAAUCUUCUUUUGUGGUGUGUUUGUCGAGAUCUGAUGAAUUGUGGAUUGAUGAUAAGAUUAUCUAUGAAUCUUAUUUGAGUUUCUUCUGAUCUCUUAUAUGCAUGAUUUAAUAUCCUUGUAAUUCUCUUCGAGUUGUAGAUUUUGUUGGGCCAACUUGAUCUGUGAUUCUUGCAAUGGGAGAAGUGCUUGGUUUUGGGUUCAUUCCGUGCGGUGACCUCACCCAGUGACAGAAGGGGUAGCGAGGCACGCAUCGUGUUGUUGCCAUUAAGGGUAAAAAGAUGGGGUUUACAUCAUUGGUUUGAGUUUAUCCCUCUACAUCAUGUCAUCUUGCUUAAGGCGUUACUAUGUUCGUCAUGAACUCAAUACACUAGAUGCAUGCUGGAUAGCGGUCGAUGUGUGGAGUAAUAGUAGUAGAUGCAGAAAGUAUCGGUCUAAUUGUUUCGCACGUGAUGCCUAUAUGUAUGAUCAUUGCCUUGUUAUCGUCAUGACUUUGCGCGGUUCUAUCAAUUGCUCGACAGUAAUUUGUUCACCCACCGUAAUAUUUGCUAUUUUGAGAGAAGCCUCUAGUGAACACUAUGGCCCCCGGGUCUACUUCACAUCAUAUUUUCAGCCUUACACUUUUACUUUGUUGCACUUUUCGCCUUCAGAUCUCACUUUGCAAUCAAUCUUGAAGGGAUUGACAACCCCNNNNNNNNNNNNNNNNNNNNNNNNNNNNNNNNNNNNNNNNNNNNNNNNNNNNNNNNNNNNNNNNNNNNNNNNNNNNNNNNNNNNNNNNNNNNNNNNNNNNNNNNNNNNNNNNNNNNNNNNNNNNNNNNNNNNNNNNNNNNNNNNNNNNNNNNNNNNNNNNNNNNNNNNNNNNNNNNNNNNNNNNNNNGAGGGAAAUACUUACUGCUCCUAUGAUGCAUCACCCUUUCCUCUUCAAGGGAAAUCCAACGCAAGCUCAAUAGGUAGCAACACCCUGCCGGAGGGAGGAUUCACCUCCGGGAGCUUCUCCACCGCCAUGGACGCUUACCGGAUGUGCCGUGAGUAGUCCUCCUUGGACCAUGAGUCCAUGACCAGUAGCUAUGUGAUGUCUUCUCUCCAAUCUUGUGCUUCAAUGGUUAGUCCUUGUGAGCUGCCCUACAUGAUCAAGGCAUAUAUGUAAUUCUUUAUCUUUUGCUAUGCUCGGUUUGUUGGGAUCCGAUGGAUUAUGAGAUUAUGUUCAGAUUGUUAUGAAUUAUAUAUUUGAUUAUCCUUUUAUAUUAUGUUCCUUAGUGAUUCUUGCAUGUUCUUCGUUGCUUUUUAUUGCUUUGGCCAAGUAGUAGAUUUUAACUCCAAGAGGGAGCGUUAUGCAUGAUUGCGGGUUCGGGCCCCUCGAUGUCUAGCUUGAGUGACAGAAACAUGAGACUAGGGGAUGUGCUUUUUGCCACCAGGGAGAAAACAACGGUGCUUGUGACCAUGGUUGCAAGGAUUGUUUACCUUACGCGUAGUUCGUUAAUGCAGUUGUCCGUUGCUUUGAGUUUACACUUUAGGUGGGGCUCGCAAGUUAAUACCGGAGAGAUGUUCUGGAUAGAUAUCUCAAGGUGGAUGAUUAGUAAGUAGAUGCUGAUGAAUAAACGGUCUACUUGUCUUGGCGUACUGCCCAUUACUAUUGAACCUUUAACUAUCAAGGAGCAUAAUUAGCAUUGCGGUGCGAUCAUAAUUCUGUCAAUUGCCCAACUGUGAUUUGUUUACCCAAGCAUAGUUGUUUAUCAUCUUUUGGAAGAGAGACAUCACUAGUGAACAUCAUGUGACUCCGGUCCAUAUCACCAUCAUUGUUUACAUCUCCAUCAUUUACCGCUUUCAUUUACUUUUCCGUUGCAAUCACUGUUACCUUCCUGCUUGUGUUUUGAUCCUUUGAAAACUACAAGGCCGGAGAGAUUGACAACCUCUCUAUACUUGUUGCGAGCAAAGUUAUUUACUGUGUGUGCAGGUCAACGUCUUCUUCUAGCGCCAGGGUGGAAGACACCUACUUGUUGAGCCUAGGAGUCCUCCUGGUUCAAUAAACCUUACAGUCUCCGUGUAAGGGAAAUUUGCUGCUGACUACAUCUCCACCUUCCACUUGGGGUAACCAACGAGGGGCGAGAAGUAUAUUGGUGUUUGUUGUGUAUCCCUUGCAACAGUGCCAGAAAUAGUUGUGUCGACGGCACCAAGAAUCCUUCAGCUGCGGCUACGCCUUAAGGGACUUCCUAGGCAAGUAUGCAAAGGAUUUCCCCACAUGGCCUUGGAGCCUUGCGUUGGUGUUCCCUCGAAGCGGAAAGGGUGAUGUAGCACAACGACGGUAAGUAUUUCCCUCAGUUUGAGAACCAAGGUAUCAAUCCGGCGGAGGAGUAUAUCAAGAUCCUGCACAAACACAAAGGCUUGCACCCAACGCUAUGAAGGGGUUGUCAAUCCCUUAUAGAUUGUUUGCCAAGUGAGAACUGAAAGCAACAAAGCAACAAAGCAAAGUAAAAGCGGAGGUGUAAGCGAUGGAUGUGAAUAGACCCGGGGGCCGUAGUGUUUACUAGUGGCUUCUCUCAUGAAAGCAAGUAGACGGUGGGUGAACAAAUUACUGUCGAGCAAUUGAUAGAACCGCGCAAAGUCGUGACGAUAUCUAUGCAAUGAUUAUAUCUAUAGGCAUCACGUCCGAAACAAGUAGACCGAUACUUUCUGCAUCUACUACUAUUACUCCACACGUCGACCGCUAUCCAGCAUGCAUCUAGUGUAUUAAGUCCAAAAGAACAGAGUAACGCCUUAAGCAAGAUGACAUGAUGAAGAUGGACAAUCUCAUAUCAACGACAGAGCCCAUCUUGUUACCCUUGAUGGCAACUACUCAAUGUGUGCCUUGCUGCCCCUACUGUCACUGGGAAAGGUCACCACAUGGUAAGAACCCAAAACCAAGCACUUCUCCCAUUGCAAGAAUCAUAGAUCUAGUUGGCCAAACAAAACCCAAGACUCGGAGAGACUUACAAGGNNNNNNNNNNGUCAUGCAUAUAAGAAAUCAGCAAAGUCUCAAAUAUAUAUCAUAGAUAAUCUGAUCACAAAUCCACAAUUCAUCGGAUCUCGACAAACACACCGCCAAAGAAGAUUACAUCGGAUAGAUCUCCAUGAAGAUCAUGGAGAACUUUGUAUUGAAGAUCCAAGAGAGAGAAGAAGCCAUCUAGCUACUAACUACGGACCCGUAGGUCUGAAGUGAACUACUCACGAUUCAUUGGAGGGGCGAUGAUGAUGAUGAAGAAGCCAUCCAACUCCAAAGUCCCCUCCGGCAGGGCGCCGGGAAGGUUCUCCAGAUGAGAUCUCGCGGAAACGGAAGCUUGCGGCGGCGGAAAAGUAUUUUCGNNNNNNNNNNAACCCGUAGGUCUGAAGUGAACUACUCAGGAGUCAUUGGAGGGGCGAUGAUGAUGAUGAAGAAGCCCUCCAACUCCAAAGNNNNNNNNNNCUGCGGAAUAUUUGGGAAUUUAUAGGCCAAAGAUCUAGGUCAGGUGGCGGCCAGGGAGGCCACAAGCCUGCCCACUACCGCCUCCCCCUGGUGGCGGAGUGGGGGCUUGUGGGAUCCCUGGAGCCCACCUGGCCUGGCCCAAAGGCCCCGUGAUCUUCUUCCGUUCGGGAAAAAAUUAUUUCAUGAUUUUUCUUCCGUUUGGACUCCGUUCCAAAAUCAGAUGCGAAAAGAGUCAAAAACACGGAAAAAACAGGAACUCACACUUGGCACUGAAUUAAUAAGUUAGUCCCAAAAAAGAUAUAAAAGGUACAUAAAACAACCAAAGAAGACAAGAUAACAGCGUGAAACCAUAAAAAAUUAUAGAUACGUUUGAGACGUAUCAAGCAUCCCCAAGCUUAACUCCUGCUCGUCCUCGAGUANNNNNNNNNNNNNNNNNNNNNNNNNNNNNNNNNNNNNNNNNNNNNNNNNNNNNNNNNNNNNNNNNNNNNNNNNNNNNNNNNNNNNNNNNNNNNNNNNNNNACCUAAAUAAUUGUUAUUUGGUGCUUGCGUUAAGCAUGAACAUGAUUGGAUCAUGUUUAUUGCAAUAUGAUUAUUCAUUUAAAGAGAAUAAUGGUUACUCUAUUUGCUUGAAUAAUCACCUUCAAUGGUUUAUUGAAUCUCGAUCGUAGUGUUACACAUGUUCAUGAUAUUGGUGCCAAAAGAUACGAGGUAAUGAUGAUAGUACCACUUGCUUGUGGCACUGACACUUGAGUCUUGUUAGUAUGAAUUGCAUGAAGAGGCUCCAUGCUGAUGGAUCUUUAUAUUCACUUGAUUUUGAAUCACUAGUGACAUGCUAAUCAUACCACAUGAGCGAGGCCUUGUUUUCAUUGAGAUGAAACAAGAUAGUAACUUGUUGGAAGUGAUACAUUUUGAUGUAUGCAGUCCAAUGGGUGCUGAGGCACGCAGUGGAUAUCAUUAUGUUCUUACUUCAAUGACGAUUUAAGUAGAUACAAGAGUAUGUACUUAAUGAAUCACAAGUCUGAAAUAUUGGAAAGUUCAAUUCUGUUUCAGGGUGAAGUUCGUCGUAACAAGAGGAUAAACUGUCUACGAUAUGAUCAUAGAAAUGAAUAUCUGAGUUACGAGUUUUGGGACGCAGUUAAGACAAUGUGGAAAUUGUUUCACAGUUCAUGCCACCUGGAACAUCAUAAGUGUGAUGAUGUGUCUGAACGUCAUACCCACACACUAUUUGGUAUGGUGCAUGCUAUGAUGUCUCUUAUCGAAUUACCACUAUCGUUUAUGGGUUAUGCAUUAGAGACAACCGCAUUCACUUUAAAUAGGGCACCGCGUAUUUCCGUUGAGAUGACACAGUAUANNNNNNNNNNAUUUCUUGAAAGUUUGGGGCUUCGACACUUAUGUGAAAAAGUUUCAGUCUGAUAAGCUCAAACCCAAAGCGGAUAAAUGCAUCUUCAUAGGAUAUCCAAAACAGUUGGGUACAUCUCCUAUCUUAGAUCCGAAAGCAAAGUGUUUGUUCCUAGAAACGGAUCCUUUCUCGAGGAAAGGUUUCUCUCGAAAGAAUUGAGUGGGAGGGUGGUAGAACUUGAUGAGGUUAUUGAACCAUCACUUCGACCAGUGUGUAACAGGGCACAGGAAGUUGUUCCUGUGGCGCCUACACCAAUUGAAGUGAAAGCUGAUGAUGGUGAUCAUCGAGCAUCGGAUCAAGUUACUACAAGCCUCGUAGGUUGACAAGGUCGCGUACUACUGCAGAGUGGUACGGUAACCCUGUCUUGGAGGUCAUGUUGUUAAGCAACAGUGAACCUACGAGUUAUGGAGAAAGCAAUGGUGGGCCCGGAUUCCGACAAAUGGCUGGAAGCCAUGAAAUCCGAGAGAGGAUCCAUGUAUGAAAACAAAGUGUAGACUUUGGAAGAACUACNNNNNNNNNNGGUGAUAAGUCACUAUUAAAAGCUCGACUUGUCGCAAAGAUGUUUCCGACAAGAUCAAACAGUUGNNNNNNNNNNAUACUACUACAGAGUGGUACGGUAACCCUAUCUUGGAGGUCAUGUUGUUGAGCAACAGUGAACCUACGAGUUAUGGAGAAAGCAAUGGUGGGCCCAGAUUUCGACAAAUGGCUGGAAGCCAUGAAAUCCCAGAGAGGAUCCAUGUAUGAAAACAAAGUGUAGACUUUGGAAGAACUACUUGAUGGUCAUAGGACUAUUGAGUAAAGAUGGAUCUUUAAAAGGAAGACAGACGAUGAUAGUGAUAAGUCACUAUUAAGAAAAGCUCGACUUGUCGCAAAGAUGUUUCCGACAAGAUCAAACAGUUGNNNNNNNNNNGUGUUAGAAUUAUGUUAGUAGUUGCUGCAUUAUUUAUGAAAUAUUGCACGUAGGAUGUCAACACAUUGUUUCCUCGACGGUUUCCUUGAGCAAACAUUGUAUGUGAUACAACCAGGAGGUUUUGUCGAUCCUAAAGAUACUAGCAAGUAUGCAAGCUCCAGUGAUCCUUCAAUGGACUGGUGCAAGCAUCUCGGAGUUGGAAUAUACACUUUGAUGAGNNNNNNNNNNCUGUUAGAAUUAAGUUAGUAGUUGCUGCAUUAUUUAUGAAAUAUUGCAUGUAGGAUGUCAAAACAUUGUUUCCUCGACGGUUUCCUUGAGCAAACAUUGUAUGAGAUACAACCAUGAGGUUUUGUCGAUCCUAAAUAUACUAGCAAGUAUGCAAGCUCCAUCGAUCCUUAAAUGGACUGGUGCAAGCAUCUCGGAGUUGGAAUAUACACUUUGAUGAGAUGAUCAAGGAUUUUGGGUUUGUACAAGUUUUAUGAGAAACUUGUAUUUCCAAAGAAGUGAGUGGGAGCACUAUAGAAUUUCUGAUAAGUAUAUGUGGUUGACAUAUUGUGGAUCAGAAGUAAUGUAGAAUUUUCAAAGGUUGUUUGAAAGUAGUUUUCAAAGGAAUACCUGGAUUGAGCUACUUGAACGUUGAGCAUCAAAAGAUCUAUGGAGAUAGAUCGAAAGCGCUUAAUGGAAGUUUCAACAAGAUGCAUUCCUUGACAAGUUUUUGAAGGAGUUCAAAAUAUAUCAGCAAAGAAGGAGUUCUUAGUUGCGUUGUAAGGUGUGAAUUUGAGUAAGACUCAAAACCCGACCACGGCAGAAUAAAGAGAAUAGACGAAGGUCGUCUUCUAUGCCUUAGCCGUAGACUCUAAAGUAUGCCAUGUUGAGUACCGCACCUGAUGUGUGCCUUGCAGCAAGGCUGUUAAGAGGUACACAGAGUGAUCCAGGAUUGAAUCACUGAUCAACGGUCAAAGUUAUCCUUAGUAACUAAAUAGACUAAGGAAUUUUUCUCGAUUAUGGAGGUGCUUAAAGAGUUCGUCGUAAAGGGUUACAUCGAUGCAAGCUUUGACACUAAUCUGAAUAACUGUGAGUAGUGAAACAGAUUCGUAUAGUAGAGUAGAUAUUUGGAGUAUUUCCGAAUAGCACAUAGUAGCAGCAUCUAUNNNNNNNNNNUUAUGCCAUGCUGAGUACCGCACCUGAUGUGUGCCUUGCAGCAAGUCUGUUGAGAGGUAUAGAGAGUGAUCCAUGAUUGAAUCACUACCAGCGGUCAAAAAUUUAUCCUUAGUAACUGAUGGACUAAGGAAUUUUUCUCGAUUAUGGAGGUGGUUAAAGAGUUCGUCGUAAAGGGUUACGUCGAUGUAAGCUUUGACACUAAUCCGAAUAACUAUGAGUAGUGAAACGGAUUCGAUAGUACAGUAGAUAUUUGGAGUAUUUCCGAAUAGCACAUAGUAGCAGCAUCUAUAAGAUGACAUAAAGAUUUGUAAAGAACACACGGAUCUGAAAAUUUCAGAACCGUUGACUAAAACCUCUCUCAUGAGCAAGACGUGAUCAGACCCCAUAACUAUAUGGGUGUUGGAUUCGUUGGAAUCACAUGGUGAUGUGAACUAGAUUAUUGACUCUAGUGCAAGUGGGANNNNNNNNNNNNNNNNNNNNNNNNNNNNNNNNNNNNNNNNNNNNNNNNNNNNNNNNNNNNNNNNNNNNNNNNNNNNNNNNNNNNNNNNNNNNNNNNNNNNGCCCGCCCGCUGUCCCGCUGCUCUCUCUCUCUCCUCUCGCCAGUCGCCUCCCACUUUGGUUUGGUUGGCGUCCCCUGUACGCCGUCCCCUGGGGUUUAAAGGAGGGAGAGAGAGGGGGGGUGGGGUGGGCGUCGCUUCAGCCCGCAGUCGGGCUAUGACGAGUGGGGCCCACGCCCGAUGCUUCCAUUGAAGCGGAGAUACACUGCCCGUGUUAGUGGUCCCACGUGCUGUACCUGCCCACCCGACCCCGAGCGCGCGAUGGGAAAAAGAAUUCAUCGGUGGGAAAAAUAUCAGGGUGCUCCAGCAGUUUAGGUGCUAUCGUGAUACGAACACUUGGACCGUUGGAUUUUAGAUCGGACGGCACUUGAGAAUCUGUUGAAAGUGCUAGAUUUCUGUGCAAUUUUCAGACUUUCAAAGGGCUCUUUUUGCAAAAGAAAGCACGAGCUCCUGGGUGCCGUUGGAUCUUAAAUCCAACAACUCAUAGAUGCUCGUAUCACCGUAGCACCCAAGGACCUGGAGCACCUGAAACUUCCCCUGCGUUGGUGCUAGCCACACCCAGCUGGAGGAGAAGGUCCUCUUUCCCGUCCGCGACUAGAGGAGGUUGCCGUUUCACCCAUCCGCACCGGAGAACAAGCAUCGAGAGCGGUAGAUAGAUGGGGAUGGGAGGGAGAAGAGAGGGAUGGGGCGGAUGGGAUAUGGGGAGAGGGAGGGUUCUACCUCCUACGGCGGCGAGCAUGCCCGUCGGCGAUGUCGACAAAGGCGACGGGGUUGCGCGAGAUCCAUCAUUAUCGAGGGACGGGGAGGCGAGCGAGGAGAGCGGCCUGAAUAAGAGCAUCUCCAACAAAGCUCGGUAGCGCGGUGCGUUAAAAAAAUUGCAGUGUCGAAAUAAUGUUUUUGCGCGCGGGAGCGACGAAGAGGUUUUCCAGAUGCAUAAAAACACGACGCCCAAUUCAAUGGUCCCACCUGCAGCAGUCAACGCGCACAAUCUAGUGCCUCAGAUUUGCAGUCCGGCACCCAACGCGUUCAAAAUUUACAACGCGUGCACUAAAGUUUUUUGUCUGCGCUCAAUUUUACAGCGUUUGGUGGAUCGUUGUUUUUGUCUCCGACAGAAAAAACGACGGUUUUUAAUGCGUGAGGUCUUUUUUAACACUUGUUGGAGAUGCUCUAACAUCGAGAAUAUUACCUUUCACAAAAUAGUUAAAAACAUCUAGAAUAUUGCACGGGGUGCGAGCGAGGUGCGAGGCAAGGAACUAAUCACGCCCUUUAUUCUUGAAUUGGGUGUGUGAAUUUUGUGAUGUGGUUGAAUGUUUAGUAUGUAAAGAAAAACUAUUUUAACAUUCACGGAAGAAACUUUAGAAUAUGAAUAAUGGAUAAUGGAUGAGAACUGGCCAUCGUAUAAUAACCCCAUUCUUCAAAAUGCAACGUCAAAUUAUGUCACUGAAGACAUCGCAUUUUUAAAGCAACUCAUCAUCGCCUGAAGUUACUACAACGAGAAGUUGAAGGAGUGUCUUGUGUUGAUCAAGAAUGAUUAGGUUUAAGAUUACUAGAAGUUCUUUGAGAUCGAUUCAGUUGAAGAAGGAUGAACCUUAGAUUCUGACCACCACUACCAUGUUAAUUUAGAUAAACGAUAUGCGUGUAGUAUGAUGAGCUCAUAUCUUUUGUGGAUAUGACCUUACCUGUAGAUUUUGCUUGUGUUGUGUGACUUUUGUGGUUUUUAUUAAUUGAUGGCUGGUAUUUAUUUUACGUAUAGAAUAAGUUUGAAAUGCAUAGACCCCUAUAUAUUUAUUAUGCUUCAAGAUUCGGGAAGAGCAAUCUACGAGAAGACUUGGCGUUCUGAAGAUUUAUUCGUUGAUGCAAGACAGAAGCUGCCAAGACUGAAGACUUUGAAGAUUGAAGACCUCUAUAUUUCGUUAGACGCGUUUUGUGAGCACUCAUUGUGGUUGUUUUUACUGACAACUGCAUAUCAAAAUUAUUUUCAAAACUAGAGUGAUGCUUGUAUGGUUAUCUCUCUCUCUACAUUCUAUCUCGCCCUAAAUCCAAGACCUGCACUCAAGGAGUUACUACAAUGGUUGCAUAUGUCGAGAAUAGAAUGAAGAUGGAUGCAACCCAAUGUUGAGUUCAAGCUUAACCACAUUCGCCAAGAUCCGAUAAGAAGCAAGUAUAAUCUUGAUGAAGGAUGAACCCUGGAGGGUUCUACAAUUCAUCAAUAGAUGUUUUAUAAUAGCUGUCGCAAACCCGAGACAUGAAAGGAACGAUAGAAUGUUUUGUUGCCAUGCAGAACAAAUGGAUUUAUCCGAACUUAGUUCGUGAACAAGAGAAAAAAUCUGCAAUGCUUAUGAGGAUGCCUGAAUGUUAGAAUGUGAAACCUUAUACAAGGUAAUGAUUUUGGUGCGAAUGAAUUGAUCACCAUGUUGACUUACUCUUAUUAUUCACUCGUGCUAUGUGGAAUAGUUAAUCUAGAGUGACUUACCUAUGGUAGAGAGACAACAAUGUUAAGCAUAUAAACGUUAGACUGGUAUGACAUAUGCCCCUUGUAAAAGGCAGUCGUUGCCAAUAGUAGGUUAUGCGGUGAGAAUAAGUUAAGACCCGUUUUUCUACAAGAACCCCAAAGAAAUUUCUUGAUGGCCACCAUGAGAGAAUCGAUAUUUGUUUAGUAUUGGUGCAUGCAAGUCCUAUCAACCAUGAAGGUCCAGUAAUUGCAAGACCACUCCUUUUAUAGAGGAUUCAAAAUUUCAAAGGAGUGCGGUGCUUAUACUUGAAGAAUUUCAUCGCAGGAGAAAGGUAUACGAAAACAUAUGACUCUAAUUCUAAGGGUGGUAGCACCCCACACUCUCCGAUGAUCAAUGUGUAUUCAAGGAGAUCCUCGAACUUAACCUUUUUCUUUCUAGCCUUUCGAAUCUCAAGGACAAGAUUCAUUUUAAGGGUGGUAGAUUUGUAAUAUCCCAAAAAUCUAAAUUUUGGAAUGUUAAUUAUUUAGAUAGGACAAAUUAAAAACUUGCUUGGGUUGAUUGAUCUUAGCUAAAAUUGACUAGGAUUUGAAAUUUUGGAGUUCAUCGAUGAUUCAAAUGAGAGGGAAGGAAAUGACUUUCACAAAUAUUCAUUUUGGAUAUUAUUUGGAUUUUCAAAUUUGAAACAAGGCCAAUUCAAAAAUAAAUUUAAAUGAGGGAAGGUAAUAUGACUCCUUCAAUAUAUUUUUGUUUUACAAAUUCUUUAAUUGUUAUUUUCUUAUUUCUCUGGAGUUCAAAAAUGUUUUGUGGAACAUUUAUAAAGCAUACAUAUUAUUUUUUACAAAACAAUAUUUUUUUUUAUUUUGUAUUCAAUAUGGAAAAAUGUUUGGUGUUCUAUAGGAUAAUAAAAAUAUUUUUUCUGUAUGUUCUCGAGAUUUAGAAAAAAAAUGGAUCAUUUUUAGAGCAUAAAUGUUUUCUAAAAAUUAAAUAAACGGGAAAUCCUAGACCUAAUCCUAACACAGCCUGUGUGGUCCACUAGCUAAGCACCGCUCGCGCACCAACCACACCAGCAGGCCGAAGCCAACGCAACCGAGGCGAUAGCCGCCUCCGUACGUCAGCACAACGUGAGCAUCACCCCACCUCAUAGCCUCUGUGCUCUCUCUCAUUUCACAAACAUGUGGGACGCACUCCCUUCCCCUUCCCUAAGCUGGACUCCUCCUCGCGCAAGCACCACACCGAGUAUUUCACCUCGGCUUCGCCCGAUCUCCCUGAUUCCACUGUGAUUCCUCCGAACUCCAACUAAAUCACACACACCCUCGGCCCCUUGUGUUGGAAAUAUGCCCUAGAGGCAAUAAUAAAUUAGUUAUUAUUAUAUUUCUUAGUUCAUGAUAAUCGUUUAUUAUCCAUGCUAUAAUUGUAUUGAUUGGAAACACACUUCAUGUGUGGAUACAUAGACAAAACACUGUCCCUAGUAAGCCUCUAGUUGACUAGCUCGUUGAUCAAAGAUGGUCAAGGUUUCCUGACCAUAGGCAAGUGUUGUCACUUGAUAAACGGGAUCACAUCAUUAGGAGAAUCAUGUGAUGGACUAGACCCAAACUAAUAGAUGUAGCAUGUUGAUCGUGUCAUUUUGUUGCUACUGUUUUCUGCGUGUCAAGUAUUUGUUCCUAUGACCAUGAGAUCAUAUAACUCACUGACACCGGAGGAAUGCUUUGUGUGUAUCAAACGUCACAACGUAACUGGGUGACUAUAAAGAUGCUCUACAGGUAUCUACGAAGGUGUUCGUUGAGUUAGUAUAGAUCGAGACUGGGAUUUGUCACUCCGUGUGACGGAGAGGUAUCUCGGGGCCCACUCGGUAAUACAACAUCANNNNNNNNNNCCGAAGGUGUUAGUGGAGUUAGUAUGGAUCGAGACUGGGAUUUGUCACCCCGUGUGACGGAGAGGUAUCUCGGGGCCCACUCGGUAAUACAACAUCANNNNNNNNNNNNNNNNNNNNNNNNNNNNNNNNNNNNNNNNNNNNNNNNNNNNNNNNNNNNNNNNNNAGACGUUGUUUUAUGCGUAUUUAAGUUAUAUGGUUGGUUACCGAAUGUUGUUCGGAGUCCCGGAUGAGAUCACGGACGUCACGAGGGUUUCCGGANNNNNNNNNNGUAAACGAGAUUGAAAUAGGUAUGCGGAUACUGACGAUCGAAUCUCGGGCAAGUAACAUACCGAAGGAUAAAGGGAAUGACAUACGCGAUUAUAUGAAUCCUUGGCACUGAGGUUCAAACGAUAAGAUCUUCGUAGAAUAUGUAGGAUCCAAUAUGGGCAUCCAGGUCCCGCUAUUGGAUAUUGAUCGAGGAGUCUCUCGGGUCAUGUCUACAUAGUUCUCGAACCCGCAGGGUCUGCACAUUUAAGGUUCGACGUUGUUUUAUGCGUAUUUGAGUUAUAUGUUUGGUUACCGAAUGUUAUUCGGAGUCCCGGAUGAGAUCACGGACGUCACGAGGGUUUCCGGAAUGGUCCGGAAACGAAGAUUGAUAUAUAGGUGACCUCAUUUGAUUACCGGAAGGUUUUCGGAGUUACCGGGAAUGUACCGGGAAUNNNNNNNNNNCCUAUGCGCCAUAGGAAGAAAAUCAAAGAGAAAAAAAAAGAGGAGGUGGGAAAAGGGGGAAGGACUCCUCCUUCCAAACCUAGUUGGACUCGGUUUGGAAGGGGAGGGUUGCCCCCCUUGGCACGGCCGAACCCCUUGGGGGUCCUUGGACCCCAAGGCAAGGCUCCCCCUCUUCCCCCUAUAUAUACGGAGGUUUUAGGGCUGAUUUGAGACAACUUUGCCACGGCAGCCAGACCACAUAUCUCCACGGUUUUACCUCUAGAUCGCGUUUCUGCGGAGCNNNNNNNNNNGACGAAUGGGUUCCGGGUGUUCACCGGGGGGGAACCCACCCCCGGGGAAGCCCAUAGGCCUUGGGGGUGGCGCACCAGCCCUUAGUGGUCUGGUGGGACAGCCCAAGAAGGCACUAUGCGCCAUAGGAAGAAAAUCAAAGAGAAAAGAAAAAAAAGGAGGAGGUGGGAAAGGGGGGAAGGACUCCUCCUUCCAAACCUAGUUGGACUCGGUUUGGAAGGNNNNNNNNNNUUGCACACUUAAGGUUCGACGUUGUUUUAUGCGUAUUUGAGUUAUAUGGUUGGUUACCGAAUAUUGUUCGGAGUCCCGGAUGAGAUCACGGACGUCACGAGGGUUUCCGGAAUGGUCCAGAAACGAAUAUUGAUAUAUAGGAUGACCUUAUUUGAUUACCGGAAGGUUUUCGGAGUUACCGGGAAUGUACCGGGAAUNNNNNNNNNNNNNNNNNNNNNNNNNNNNNNNNNNNNNNNNNNNNNNNNNNNNNNNNNNNNNNNNNNNNNNNNNNNNNNNNNNNNNNNNNNNNNNNNNNNNGUGUCAGUUUCUCCAACUUUAGUUGAAUCGGAUUUGACCGAGGAGGUCCUUGGAUGAGGUUAAAUAGCAACUCAUAUAUCUCCGUUGUGGUGUUUGCGUAAGUAAGAUGCGAUCCUACUAGAUACCCAUGGUCACCACGUAAAACAUGCAACAACAAAAUUAGAGGACGUCAAACUUGUUUUUGCAGGGUAUGCUUGUGAUGUGAUAUGGCCAACGAUGUGAUCUAAUAUAUUGGAUGUAUGAGAUGAUCAUGUUGUAAUAGAUAAUAUCGACUUGCACGUCGAUGGUACGACAACCGGCAGGAGCCAUAGGGUUGUCUUUAAACUAACGUUUGUGCUUGCAGACGCGUUUACUAUAUUGCUAGGACGUAGCUUUAGUAGUUAAAGCAUGAGUAGCACGACAACCCCGAUGGCGACACGUUGAUGGAGAUCAUGGUGUGACGCCGGUGACAAGAAGAUCGUGUCGGUGCUGUGGUGAUGGAGAUCAAGAAGCACGUGAUGAUGGCCAUAUCAUGUCACUUAUGAAUUGCAUGUGAUGUUAAUCCUUUUAUGCACCUUAUUUUGCUUAGAACGACGGUAGCAUUAUGAGGUGAUCUCUCACUAAAAUUUCAAGACGAAAUUGUGUUCUCCCCGACUGUGCACCGUUGCUACAGUUCGUCGUUUCGAAACACCACGUGAUGAUCGGGUGUGAUAGACUCAANNNNNNNNNNUUUUUAGGGCUGAUUUCAGACAACUUUGCCACGACAGCCCGACCACAUAUCUCCACGGUUUUACCUCUAGAUCGCGUUUCUGCGGAGCUCGGGCGGAGCCCUGCUGAGAUAAGAUCACCACCCACCUCCGGAGCACCAUCAUGCUGCCGGAGAACUCAUCUACUUCUCCGUCUCUCUUGCUGGAUCAAGAAGGCCGAGAUCAUCGUCGAGCUNNNNNNNNNNNNNNNNNNNNNNNNNNNNNNNNNNNNNNNNNNNNNNNNNNNNNNNNNNNNNNNNNNNNNNNNNNNNNNNNNNNNNNNNNNNNNNNNNNNNCCUUGUUCAAUUCUCCGCCUCGUAUUGCUAAACCGAGCUCGAGAUCGAGCACGUGGACCUCGCAAAGCUCCGCCGAUCGAGCUUACUUCCACGGCCAAAUCCAGCAACAGUAAACCACCCAAUGCCCCUCUAUUCAUUCUUGCUUUUUUCCUUGAUGUCCCGCCUCUCCCUGAACAUCUUCCACCUUUGCACAUGCUCGGAUUCGAGCUCCCCGACCAAACCGAUCUCGCUGGAGCAUACCAUCGAUGCCCUUUGUCAUCAUCUGUUGUCGUGGCUAUAGGAUGCACCGGAACGCCCUCACGACACCAAAGGACUCUUCAUGAAUUGCCUCAUUCUCCAGCAUCCUUGAUGAUUCCCUAAGGUCAUCAAAGCGAGCUGCAGGUCGACGGUUGGAGCUUGAUAACCCACAAGUGUAGGGUUCGUUUGUAGCCUUUUUGGAUAAGUAAGAGUGUUGAAGCCAACGAGGAGCUAAAGGUAGAAUUAAUAUUCUCUCAAGUUCUAUCGACCACGGGUACAACUCUACGCACGCUAAUGCUUACUUUACUUACAAUAAGUAUGAAGCUACUUUGCGGGAAGGAAACUAGAAGUGCUUAGUAGGUAUAGUAGAUAGGUUUUUGUGUAACGCAAGAGAAAGAUUGUUCAUGGGCAAUCUAAUAUAACCUGAUAGAUACUUAUCAUAUGCAAUGAGGGAGAGUCAUAUGCUAACACACUUUCCAUACUUGGAUCAUAUGCACUUAUGAUUAGACCUAUAGAAAGCAUUCGCAACUACUAGAAAUCAUUCAGGUAAAAACAACCAUAGCAUUAAACAUCAAUUCCUGUUUACUCACAUACGCAAACAACUCCCUUACUGGGGUGUAAACGUCUAUCACUCUAGCCACCCACUAUAAGUGAAUCAUGAACAUAUUGCAAACCCUCCAGCGUGAAUCCUUCAUGUGUGCGCCUCACGGAAGGCACCCUAGGACAGCACCAUAUCAACAUACAACUCAUAUCAAUAACAUCAUACCACAAUUGACCCAUAGGACAAAAUAGAUCUACUCAAACAUUAUAGGAUAGCCACAAACCAUUGGAUAAUAAUAUAUAGCAUUAAGCACCAUGUUUAAGUAGAGAUUACAGCGGGGAGACGAGGGUUUAAACCGUUGCACAGAGGUAGAGAGAGCUGGUGGUGAUGGCGGCGAAGUUGUUGGUGUAGAUCGUCGUCACAAUGGUUGCCCCGACGACGCUCCGGCGCUACCAGGAGAGAGAGGGGGGGAGAGCCCUGAUACGUCCCAAACGUAUCUAUAAUUUCUGCUUGUUCCAUGAUCUUUUGGGUGACAUUGUUAUAUGUUUUGCUACAUUUCAAUAUCAGUUUACACAUAUUUGGACUAACCUACUAACUCAGUGCACGUAGUGCCAGUUUCUGUCUGCUGAUGUCUAUUUUGCAGGGGCUUUUACCCAAUUUUCCGAAGCCCGAAAAAAUCCAGAAAAAAUAUAUAAAAAAUCAGCGAAACAAAGGGGGCCCAGGGGCCUCCCAAGCGGCCUGCUGGCGCGACCAGGCCCUAGGUCGCGCCAGGAGGUCGUCUGGGUGGGUCCCACCUCCUCCGGUGCCCUCCUUUGGCCUAUAUUUAGAGUUCUAUGAGGAAACCCUCGCAGACUUUCUGGAAUCAUGAAUUUCUCCAUCGUUCUGCCACCGCAGCGCUUCUGAGAUCGGGAGCAUCACGAGAUCUCUUCCCGGCACCUGAUAUGUCUCCAACGUAUCUAUAAUUUUUGAUGGUUCCAUCCUAUUAUCUUGUCAAACUUUGGAUGUUUUGUAUGCCUUUUAUAUCUUUUUUGGGACUAACUUAUUAACUCAGUGCCAAGUGCCAGUUCCUGUUUUUUCCGUGUUUUUGACCCUUUUCAGAGGAGAAUUUUAAACGGUGUCCAAACGGAAUAAAACUUCCGAAAAGCUUUUUUCCGGAACAGAAGAUACGCACGGUACGUGAGAACCAAGGUAGAGGCCACUAGGGGACACCACAAGCCCCCUAGGCGCGGCCAGGGGGGCGCGCCUAACAGGCUUGUGGGCCCCCUGUGGCUCGUCUGCCCUACCUCUUUCGCCUAUAAAUUCCCGAAAAAUCCAAAACUGCGAGAGAGAUCCACGAAAAUACUUUUCCACCGCCGCAAGCUUCUGUCUCCGCAAGAUCCCAUGUGGGGCACGUUAUGGUGCCGUGCCGGAGGGGGGAUUCGGAUACGAAGGGCUUCUUCAUCAACACCAUGACCUCUCUAAUGAUGCGUGAGUAGUCCACCAUAGACCUUCGGGUCCAUAGCUAGUAGCUAGAUGGCUUCUUCUCUCUCUUGGAUCUUCAAUACAAAGUUCUCCAUGAUCUUCAUGGAGAUCUAUCCGAUGUAAUCUUCUUUUGCGGUGUGUUUGUCGAGAUCCGAUGAAUUGUGGAUUUAUGAUCAGAUUAUCUAUGAAUCUUAUUUGAGUUUCUUCUGAUCUCUUAUAUGCAUGAUUUCAUAUCCUUGUAAUUCUCUUCGAGUUGUGGGUUUUGUUUGGCCAACUUGAUCUAUGAUUCUUGCAAUGGGAGAAGUGAUUGGUUUUGGGUUCAUACCGUGCAUGACCUCGCCCAGUGAUAGAAGCGGUAGCGAUGCACGCAUCGUGUUGUGGCCAUCAAGGGUAAAAAGAUGGGGUUUACAUCAAUGGUUUGAGUUUAUCCCUCUACAUCAUGUCAUCUUGCUUAAGGCGUUANNNNNNNNNNNNNNNNNNNNNNNNNNNNNNNNNNNNNNNNNNNNNNNNNNNNNNNNNNNNNNNNNNNNNNNNNNNNNNNNNNNNNNNNNNNNNNNNNNNNCCCCCCUCUCGCACUUCUUCGGCCCAGUAUUUUUGAUAAAUCAAAAAAAAAUCCUCAUUGAUUUUUACGGCGUUUGGAGUUGCGCAUAAUAGGUAUCUCAACUUUGCUCCAUUAUUAGGCCAGAAUUCCAGUUGCCGGCAUUCUCCCUCUUCAUGUAAACCUUGCAAAAUAAGAGGGAAAAGGCAUAAGAAUCGUACCGUGAAGUGAAAUAACAGCCAAAGAAGCGAUAAAUAUCAACAUGAAAACAUGAUGCAAAAUGGACGUAUCAGGCUAUUUCGGCCAAGGAGAAAAAACAAUGCAAAAGGGAAAAAAAGAGGAGGUGGGAAGGAAGGAAGGGACUCCUGCCUCCAAACCGAAUUGGAGGAGGAUCCCUCCUCCUCCCACUUCGGUCCACGCCCUAGAGGUUCCCUUGAGCCUCAAGGCUAGCCCCUCCCCUCCUCCUAUAUAUACUAGAGGUUUUAGGGUUUUUGAGACACAACUUUGCCACGUGCAACCCUAAACCUCUACUUCGUAGUUCUUCCUCUAGAUCGGAUUUCUGCGGAGCUCGGGCGGAGCCCUGCAGGUAUAAGAUCAUCACCAUCACCGGCGCGCCGUCACGAUGCCGGAGAACUCAUCUACUUCCACGUCUCUCUUGCUGGAUCAAGAAGGCGGAGAUCGUCAUCGAGCUGUACGUGUGCUGAAUGCGGAGGUGUCGUUCGUUCGGUGCUAGAUCAGGACGGAUCGUGGGACGACGAUGAUUUGAAUCUCGAAGUUGUUCCACUACAUCAACCGCGUGUCUUAAUGCUUCCCGCUUAGCGAUUUACAAGGGUAUGUGGAUCCGACCUCCCUCUCGUAGAUGAACAUCACCAUGAUAGGUCUUCAUGUGCGUAGGAAUUUUUUUAUUUUCCAUGCAAUGUUCCCCAACAGUUUCAUCCAGCUCAAAGUUAAUACCCAAUGUCCAUCGUGUCAGCGACCUGCCAGGUGCCGCUCCUUUAGGAAUCCCGGAGCCGAUUGUGUUGACCUUCCUCCUUAUAUGUUGCUCGCAGUUAUGGAGGCAUUGAAACUAUGUUGUCUUCAACUCGUUGGCGCCCUCUCUUGCCAGGUUGCAACGACCAUGCCUAGAGGAUGCACUCCACUGGGAGUGUAAGAGCAUUUACAGUCGGACCCCUCAAAUGACCGCUCAUAUGUCUGCGGACGCGACCAGUGAGUGAUCGAUCAGGAGAGAGAAGGAAAAAAGUGAUCCAACCAACCCCUCGUAUUGUCCCUANNNNNNNNNNUAUGCCUAGAGGAUGCACUCCGCUCGGAGUGUAAGAGCAUUUACAACCGAACCCCUCCAAUGAGCGCUCAUAUGUCCGCGGACGCGGCCGGUGAGUGAUCGAACACGAGAGAGAAGGAAAAAAGUGAUCCAACCAACCCCUCGUAUUGUCCCUAUAUGUCUGUAUUGUCCGCGAACCCUCAUAUCCAUCUCAAAUGUAAGGAGGAUAUGAGGUCUCGCGGACGCGCCCGGUCGCGCUCGGUCAGUCCGUCACAUAGGACGCGACCACACCCCGAACCAUCUUUUUCUUUUCUUUAUUCAUUCUUUUCUUUCNNNNNNNNNNNNNNNNNNNNNNNNNNNNNNNNNNNNNNNNNNNNNNNNNNNNNNNNNNNNNNNNNNNNNNNNNNNNNNNNNNNNNNNNNNNNNNNNNNNNCUGGACACUGAGAAAGAUAGGGGCUUAUAGUUUUGCCUCCCAACUGCUUACCUCAAGGGUAAUGUCAACAAUAAUACUUCAUGAAUGCUUACCUCCAAGUUGACAUAUGAAUAUAGAUCUUUCCCAAGCAUAUGAUGUUAGCCAAGACAAAGGCGAAAUAGGGAAUUGGUGAAGAUCACCAUGACUCUUUCAAGGGCAAAACGUCAAGGUACAAUAUAGGCCCUUCGAAGAGGGAAGCAGAGGUUGUCAUGCGCUUUUGAGGUUUGGAUGUGUGUCCUCUUAGUGCGGAGGAACGUCACUUUAUAUUGCCUCCUGUGAUAAAGAACUUUAUUAUGCAGUCUGUCGCUUUUAUGUCUUCCUCAUCACAGGUUCGUGUAAAGCUUAUUUUCCACACCCUAAUAGAUCAUACAUAUUAGAGAGCAAUUUUAUUGCUUGCACCGAUGACAACUUACUUGAGGGAUCUUAUUCAAUCCAUAGGUAGGUAUAGUGGACACUCAUGGCAAAACUGGUUUGAAGGUUUAUGGAUGCACAAGUAGUAUCUCUACUUAGUGCGGGAGUUUUGGCUAAUAUGAGGUAGAAGCAAUCGUCACAUGCUAAGGGAUCUCUAAUCAUAUAACAUUGUUCAGAGCCAAGCAAACACAAUUCAUUACGUUGUCUUCCCUGUCCAACAUCUACUUCUAGUCAUGCAAUAGUUUGGUGAGUGUUCACAAUCAUAGAUGGUGUCAGAGAUGAUAUAUUUAUAGGUGAACCUCUCCUUCUUUAUCGCUUCCUAUUAAUUGCUACAAUGACCAAGGUCUACAUUUUCUUACCCUCAACAAGUUUCAAUCCUCAUUCUUUUUAUAUGUGAAGCCAUCACUUCCCAUAAGAUCANNNNNNNNNNNNNNNNNNNNNNNNNAACCAUGACCAAGGUCUACGUUUGCCUACCCUCAAGAAGUCCAAUCCUCAUUCUUUUUAUAUGUGAAGCCAUCACUUCCCAUAAGAUCAUUACAUGAUCUUUCAUGCUUUUGUUCUAUUCUCACUCUUUUGACCAUGGCAAGAGGCAAAGCCCUUCAACUAAGACACUCUUUAUUAUAAAGCUCACGAGCAAGAUAAAAUCGGGGGUGACACAAAGCAAAACUCAAGACUAAAACACUAAGACUUUUAAACNNNNNNNNNNNNNNNNNNNNNNNNNNNNNNNNNNNNNNNNNNNNNNNNNNNNNNNNNNNNNNNNNNNNNNNNNNNNNNNNNNNNNUUCAAAACUAAAACACUAAGACUUUUAAACUACUAGAGAAAAAGAAAACUGAAAAGGAAAACUAAAAAGGAAAACUAAAACAAAGGUAAAGGCAAAAGAUGUGAUGGUGAUACGAUACNNNNNNNNNNACUCCCCCAAGCUUGGAAAAAGCCAAGGGGAUUGCCCGUACCAAUGCUCAGUUGUCUUCCUUUGGUGGUGAUGGUGGUGGAGUUGUUGCAACAUGAGUUUGAUCCUCUGUCUUCCAAGGCAUUGCUCCACCAUGGAAAGAUGAACGAGUCUCCGGAAUCCUCAAAUGCAGCCAACCUUAUUGAUUUAAAUCUAUACUCAUACUCAUAGUUUUGGUUGUGCAGGUCAUAGAUCUGGCCCUGGAGUUGAUCAACCCUGUCAUAGAGCCUGGAGAGGUGCUUCCCAAUGUCAUUGGCAUCAAUCCUAUGCUUGUUGGUGAACUCCGUGAUCAUCAUGUGGUUGGCGUUGAGUCCACGCUCCACCAUCCCUUGGCACUUGAAGACUUGUUGCUCCAUUGCUUCGAGCCUCGUAUCCACGCUUCCGGUCUUCUUAGGCCCCUCAACAUCACGGAUGUGCAACAUCCCCUCACGCAUCUCGAUAGAUUGAGGGUGUUGAAGCACUCCCGUGAGGUAGGGAUUGAUGACCUUCUCGAAGAUCUUGUCCUUUGGAGCUUUUGGGGAAGUCAUAGCAAUCUAGAUCUGCAACAGAAACAGGCGCGAAACGAAAAACACAGGAAAUCUGCGUGAUGCAGGGGUCAGACCAAACGGGAGAAUAUAUAAUGAUUUUUUCAGACUAGAAGGAGUACCCUCCAUGAAAACGGAGUCCGGGAGGCGCACGGGGUGGCCACAAGUCCUCAUGGCGCGACCAGGGGGUGGGCCCGCGUCGUGCAGGCUCGUCGCCUCCUCGCGCACUUUCGGGACUACUUCCAAUUUUUGUAUUUUUUUCAAAUAUUCCAAAAAGGAUAAAAUUUCCUAUUGGAAAAGUUUUGGACUCUGUUUUCUUACCGAAUCACAUACUCUUCGUUUUUGGAGUCUGAAACAGGCUGAUAAAUAUCCCUUAGGUAUUCUUCCGGAGUUAUGGUAUUGAUGAUAUUGCUUUCAACAUUUGUGGGAGUACGUGAGAUAUAAUGCUUGAUUCUCUGCCCAUUUACCACUCUCGGACAAUUACCUUCCGUGUUGUUGAUCUUGNNNNNNNNNNNNNNNNNNNNNNNNNNNNNNNNNNNNNNNNNNNNNNNNNNNNNNNNNNNNNNNNNNNNNNNNNNNNNNNNNNNNNNNNNNNNNNNNNNNNCUUAGGUAUUCCUCCGGAGUUAUGGUAUUGAAUAUUGCUUUCAAUAUUUAUGGGAGUACCUGAGAUAUAAUGCUUGAUUCUCUGCCCAUUUACCACUCNNNNNNNNNNNNNNNNNNNNNNNNNNNNNNNNNNNNNNNNNNNNNNNNNNNNNNNNNNNNNNNNNNNNNNNNNNNNNNNNNNNNNNNNNNNNNNNNNNNNNNNNNNNNNNNNNNNNNNNNNNNNNNNNNNNNNNNNNNNNNNNNNNNNNNNNNNNNNNNNAUAGCACCGGAACGAUAUACUUCCUCAACAACAUAGGGACCUUCGCAUUUAGAGAGAAGCUUGCCUGCAAAGAAUCUUAAACGAGAGUUAUAUAGCAAGACAUAAUCACCUACGUUGAACUCACGCUUUUGUAUCCUCUUAUCAUGCCACCUCUUAAUCUUCUCUUUGAAUAGCUUGGCAUUCUCAUAUGCCUGAGUUCUCCACUCAUCAAGCGAGCUAAUAUCAAAUAACCUCUUCUCACCGGCAAGUUUGAAAUCAAAGUUGAGCUCUUUGAUUGCCCANNNNNNNNNNCCUUCUCUUUGAAAAGCUUGGCAUUCUCAUAUGCCUGAGUUCUCCACUCAUCAAGCGAGCUANNNNNNNNNNNNNNNNNNNNNNNNNNNNNNNNNNNNNNNNNNNNNNNNNNNNNNNNNNNNNNNNNNNNNNNNNNNNNNNNNNNNNNNNNNNNNNNNNNNNNNNNNNNNNNNNNNNNNNNNNNNNNNNNNNNNNNNNNNNNNNNNNNNNNNNNNNNNNNNNNNNNNNNNNNNNNNNNNNNNNNNNNNNNNNNNNNNNNNNNNNNNNNNNNNNNGAGGUAAAUGACAUGCUUUCCCAUACACCAUUUUGUACGGAGACAUGCCCAUGGGAUUCUUAUAGGCAGUUCUAUAAGCCCACAAUGCAUCAUCGAGCUUCUUAGACCAAUUCUUUCUAGACCUGUUGAUAGUCUUUUGCAUAAUUAGUUUAAUCUCUCUAUUGCUUAGCUCUACUUGACCACUGGACUGAGGGUGAUAGGGAGACGCAAUUCUAUGGUUGACAUCGUACUUAGCAAGCGUUUUAUGGAAAGCACCAUGAAUAAAGUGUGAACCACCGUCAGUCAUUAGAUAUCUAGGGACUCCAAAUCUAGGGAAGAUAACUUCUUUCAGCAUCUUGAUAGAGGUGUUGUGAUCAGCACUACUAGUGGGGAUAGCUUCUACCCACUUAGUAACGUAAUCAACAUCAACUAGGAUAUGAGUAUACCCGUUGGAUUUUGGAAAAGUUCCCAUAUAAUCAAAGCCCCAAACAUCAAAUGGUUCAAUGACAAGUGANNNNNNNNNNNNNNNNNNNNNNNNNNNNNNNNNNNNNNNNNNNNNNNNNNNNNNNNNNNNNNNNNNNNNNNNNNNNNNNNNNNNNNNNNNNNNNNNNNNNUGUUUGCUAAUAUUACAUAUUCUUUGACAUUCGUCACAAGACAAGGCAAACUUACGAGCAUCCUUGAAGAGAGUGGGCCAAUAGAAACCUGAUUGCAAUACCUUGUGUGGAGUUCUAUCUCCCGCAUGGUGUCCUCCGUAGGCCUCGGAGUGACACUUCUGUAGGAUUUGUCCCUGUUCAUGUUCAGGUACACAACGUCUAAUAACACCAUCUACUCCUUCCUUAUAAAGGUGAAGAUCAUCCUAAAAGUAAUGUCUCAAGUCAAAGAAGAAUUUCUUCUUUUGCUGGUAUGGGAAACUAGGUGGUAUAUAUUUGGCAAUGAUAUAGUUUGCAUAAUCAGCAUACCACGGUGCACUACGUGAAGUAUUGAUGACAUUCAAUUGCUCACCAGGAAAGAUAUCAUCAAUAGGUUGUGGGUCAUCAAGAACGUUCUCCAACCUAGACAAGUUAUCUGCUACUGGGUUAUCAACACCCUUUCUGUCGACAACGUGCAAAUCAAAUUCUUGUAGCAAUAGAACCCAUCUGAUAAGUCUAGGUUUAGCGUCUUUCUUCUCCAUGAGGUACUUAAUAGCAGCAUGAUCAGUGUGAAUAGUGACUUUGGAAUCAANNNNNNNNNNNNNNNNNNNNNNNNNNNNNNNNNNNNNNNNNNNNNNNNNNNNNNNNNNNNNNNNNNNNNNNNNNNNNNNNNNNNNNNNNNNNNNNNNNNNCUUGACUCUGAGAUAGUAGCUUCAUUGUGUGAAUACUUUGCUGCUCAUGUUGAUCUUCCCAAAGAGAAGUGGUUUAAAUAUCAUCCUCCUGUAGAAAGCAACAUAGCCAAAACCAAUCUAGUUGAGGAGAAAGUCAUUGCUUUUAGUGAUCCUGUUGUUCCUUGUGCUUACACUGAGAAACCACCAUACCCUGCUAGGAUAAAGGAUUAUUCUAAAGGUCCAACUGUGAUACGUAGGGAUUACAUUAGACCACUUGCACCCCCUGAGGAGAUUAGAGUUGAACCUAGUGUUGCUAUUAUCAAAGAUCUCUUAACCGAAGACAUAGAUGGGCAUGUUAUCAAAUUCUGUGAGGACUCCGCUAGAAUUACUAAACCUCACGCGAAACACAAAUAUGGACCUGUAGUUGACCUGCCCGUUGUUUCUGUCAAGAUAGGAGAUCACUGUUACCAUGGUUUAUGUGAUAUGGGUGCUAGUGUUAGUGCAAUACCCCGUUCUCUAUAUGAUGAAAUCAAAGAUGAGAUUGCACCUGCUAAGUUAGAACCCAUUGAUGUCACUAUUACGCUAGCUAAUAGAGACACUAUCUGCCCUCUGGGAAUUGUGAGAGACGUAGAAGUCCUGUGUGGUAAGACGGAGUAUCCUACUGAUUUCCUCGUCCUUGGUACUGCACAAGUUAGCUUUUGUCCCAUCAUAUUUGGUAGACCCUUUCUCAACACUUUCAAUGCUCACAUUGAUUGCAUUAAGCAGACUGACACAGUUUGUUUCGAGGGUGUGUCUCAUGAAUUUAACUUCUCCAAGUUUGGAAGACAACCUCAUGAAAGAGAGUCGUCUGGUAGAGAUGAAAUUAUUGCUCUUGCCUCUAUUGCCGUACCUCCUACGGAUCCUUUAGAGCAAUAUCUUCUUGAGCAUGAAAAUGAUAUGCAUAUGGAGGAGAGAGAUGAGAUAGAUAAAAUUGUCUUAGAACAAUAUCCUAUUCUCAAGAAUAAUCUGCCUGUUGAACUGCUUGGGGAUCCUCCCCCACCAAAGGGUGAUCCUGUGUUCGAGCUUAAACAGUUGCCUGAUACUCUUAAGUAUGCCUAUCUUGAUGAGAAGGAGAUAUAUCCUGUCAUUAUUAGUGCUCUCCUAUCAGAGCAUGAAGAGAAGAAGUUACUAAGAACUCUGAGGAAGCACCGUGCUGCUAUUGGACAUACUCUUGAUGAUCUUAAGGGUAUUAGUCCCACUCUAUGUCAGCACAAGAUUAAAACCGAUCCUGACUUUAAACCAGCUGCUGAUCAUCAAAGGAGAUUAAAUCCUAAGAUGAAAGAGGUCGUUAGAAAAGAAAUAUUAAAGCUUCUGGAAGCAGGAAUCAUUUAUCCUGUUGCUCAUAGUGAUUGGGUAAGUCCAGUACAUUGCGUACAUAAGAAGGGAGGUAUCACCGUCAUUCCUAAUGAUAAGGAUGAACUAAUCCCACAAAGGAUUAUUACCGGCUAUAGGAUGGUGAUAGACUUCCGGAAACUAACAAGGCAACCAGGAAAGAUCAUUAUCCUUUGCCGUUUAUCGACCAAAUGCUAGAAAGGCUAUCAAAACACACACACUUGUGCUUUCUAGACGGUUAUUCAGGUUUCUCGCAAAUACCUGUCGCAUAAUCUGAUCAAGAGAAAACCACUUUCACUUGCCCUUUCGGUACCUUUGCUUAUAGACGUAUGCCUUUUGGCUUAUGCAAUGCACCUGCCACCUUCCAAAGAUGUAUGAUGGCUAUAUUCUCUGGCUUUUGUGAAAAGAUUGUCGAGGUUUUCAUGGAUGACUUCUCCGUUUACGGGUCUUCCUUUGAUGAUUGCCUCAGCAACCUUGAUCGAGUCUUACAAAGAUGCGAAGAAACCCACCUCGUCUUGAAUUGGGAGAAGUGCCACUUUAUGGUUAAUGAAGGUAUCGUCUUAGGACACAAAUCUUUGAAAGAGGCAUUGAAGUUGAUAAGGCUAAGGUUGAUGCAAUUGAGGAAAUGCCUUGCCCCACAGAUAUCAGAGGUACACGAAGUUUCCUAGGUCAUGCUGGUUUCUAUAGAAGGUUCAUUAAAGACUUCUCUAAGAAUUCUAGGCCUCUUACCAACCUCAUGCAGAAGGAUGUUCCUUUUGUUUUUGAUGAGGAUUGUGAGGAAGCCUUCGAAAUACUUAAGAAGGCUUUGAUAACCGCACCUAUUGUUCAACCACCAGACUGGAACUUGCCCUUUGAAAUCAUGUGCGAAGCUAGUGAUUAUGUUGUUGGUGCUGUUGUAGGACAAAGAGUUGACAAGAAGUUGAAUGUCAUUCAGUAUGCUAGUAAAACUCUAGACAGUGCCCAAAGAAACUAUGCCACUACGGAGAAGGAAUUUUUAGCAGUCGUGUUUGCAUGUGAAAAGUUCAGAUCUUACAUAGUUGACUCCAAAGUCACUAUUCACUCUGAUCAUGGUGCUAUUAAGUACCUUAUGGAGAAGAAGGACGCUAAGCCUAGGCUGAUCAGAUGGGUUCUCCUGCUACAGGAAUUUGAUUUGCACGUCGUUGACCGAAAGGGUGCUAAUAACCUUGUAGCAGAUAACUUGUCUAGGUUAGAGAAUGUCCUUGAUGACCCACUACCAAUUGAUGACAGCUUUCCUGAUGAGUAAUUAAAUGUCAUCUGUACUUCACAUAGUGCACUGUGGUAUGCCGAUUAUGCAAACUAUAUUGUAGCCAAAUACAUACCACCCAGUUUCACCUAUCAGCAAAAGAAGAAAUUCUUCUUUGAUUUGAGACACUACUUUUGGGAUGACCCUCACCUUUAUAAGGAAAGGAGUAGAUGGUGUUAUUAGAAGUUGUGUGCCUGAACAUGAACAGGGACAGAUCUUGCAGAAGUGCCAUUCCGAAGCCUAUGGAGGACACCAUGCUGGAGAUAAAACUGCCCAUAAGGUAUUGCAAUCAGGUUUCUAUUGGUCCACUCUCUUCAAGGNNNNNNNNNNGGAGUAGAUGGUGUUAUUAGACGUUGUGUGCCUGAAUAUGAACAGGGACAGAUCCUGCAAAAGUGUCAUUCCGAAGCCUACGGAGGACACCAUGCUGGAGAUAGAACUACCCAUAAGGUAUUGCAAUCAGGUUUCUAUUGGUCCACUCUCUUCAAGGAUGCUCGUAAGUUUGUCUUGUCUUGUGACUAAUGCCAAAGAAUAGGGAACAUCAGUAAGCGUCAGGAAAUGCAUAUGAACUAUUCACUUGUCAUUGAACCAUUUGAUGUUUGGGGCUUUGAUUAUAUGGGACCCUUCCCGAGUUCCAAUGGGUACACUCACACCUUAGUUGAUGUGGAUGACGUUACUAAGUGGGUAGAGGCUAUCCCCGCUAAAAAUGCUGAUCACCAUACCUCUAUUAGGAUGCUUAAAGAAGUCAUAUUCCCAAGAUUUGGAGUCCCUAGAUAUUUGAUGACUGAUGGCGGUUCACACUUCAUUCAUGGUGUUUUCCGCAAGAUGCUAGCUAAGUAUGAUGUCAACCAUAGAGUUGCAUCUCCUUAUCAUCCUCAGUCUAGUGGUCAAGUGGAGUUGACUAAUAGGGAGAUCAAGUUGAUCCUACAAAAGACCAUCAAUAGAUCUCGAAAGAACUAGUCUAGCAAACUUGAUGGUGCACUAUGGGCUUAUAGGACUGCUUAUAAGAAUCCCAUGGACAUCUCACCGUAUAAAAUGGUUUACUGUAAAGCCUGUCAUUUACCUCUUGAGCUGGAACACAAAGCUUAUUGGGCAAUCAAAGAGCUCAACUUUGAUUUCAAACUUGCCGGUGAGAAGCGGUUGUUUGAUAUCAGCUCGUUAUAUGAAUGGAGAGCCCAGACAUAUGAGAAUGUCAGGUUGUUCAAGGAAAAGGUUAAGAGAUGGCACGACAAAUGAAUACAGAAAUGAGAGUUCAAUGUAGGUGAUUAUGUCCUUCUAUACAAUUCUCGUUUGAGAUUCUUUGCAGGCAAGCUUCUCUCUAAAUGCGAAGGUCCCUAUGUUGUCGAGGAAGUAUAUCGUUCCGGUGCCAUCAAAAUCAAUAACACGGAAGGAAAUUUUCCUAGAGUGGUAAAUGGGCAAAGAAUCNNNNNNNNNNGGAAGGCCCCUAUGUUAUCGAGGAAGUAUAUCGUUCCGGUGCCAUCAAAAUUAAUAACACGGAAGGAAAUUUUCCUAGAGUGGUAAAUGGGCAAAGAAUCAAGCAUUACAUCUCUGGUACCCCCAUAAAUGUUGAGGCCAAUAUCAUCAAUGUCAUAACUCCAGAGGAGUACAUAAGGGAUGUUUAUCAGCCUGUUUCAGACCCUGAAAACGAAGAUGUAUCUGUUUCGGUAAGAAAUUGGACUCCGAUGCUUUUCCAAUAGGAAAUUUCCUCCGUUUUGGAAUUUUUGGAAAAAUAGAAAAAUAAAGAGCAGUCCGGAGAGCGAACGAGGCGGCCACAAGCCCUUCCACCGCCCCCUACCCCCUGGUGGCAGAGGNNNNNNNNNNNNNNNNNNNNNNNNNNNNNNNNNNNNNNNNNNNNNNNNNNNNNNNNNNNNNNNNNNNNNNNNNNNNNNNNNNNNNNNNNNNNNNNNNNNNGGAGGUGGGAAAGGAGAGAAGGACUCCACUUUCCAAUCCUAGUUGGACUAGGAUUGGAGGAGGACUCCUCCUCCCCUUGGUGCGCAGCCCUUGGGGCUCCUUGAGCCUCAAGGCAAGACUCCCCUCCCUCCUCCUAUAUAUAUGGAGCAAUUAGGGCUCAUUUGAGACAACUUUUCCAAAGCAGCCCGACCACAUACCUCCACGGUUUUACCUCUAGAUCGCAUUUCUGCGGAGCUCGGGCGGAGCCCUGCCGAGAUUAGAUCACCACCAACCUCCGGAGCGCCGUCACACUACCAGAGAACUCAUCUCCCUCUGCGUCUCUCUUGCUGGAUCAAGAAGGCCGAGAUCAUCGUCGAGCUGUACGNNNNNNNNNNUGUCACGCUGCCGGAGAACUCAUCUACCUCUCUGUCUCUCUUGCUGGAUCAAGAAGGCCGAGAUCAUCGUCGAGCUGUACGUGUGCUGAACGCGGAGGUGCCGUCCGUUCGGCACUAGAUUGUGGGACGGAUCGCGGGACGGUUCGUGGGACGGUUCGCGAGGCGGAUCGAGGGACGUGAGGACGUUCCACUACAUCAACCGCGUUCACUAACGCUUCUGCUGUGCGGUCUACAAGGAUACGUAGAUCGGAAAUCCCCUCUCGUAGAUGGACAUCACCAUGAUAGGUCUUCGUGCGCGUAGAAAAAUUUUUAUUUCCCGUGCAACGUUCCCCAUGAGUGGUAUCAGAGCUAGGUUCAUGCGUAGAUGUAAUAUCGAGUAGAACACAAAAGUUUUUGUGGGCGGUGAUGUGCGUCUUGCUGCCCUCCUUAGUCUUUUCUUGAUUCCGCGGUAUUGCUGGAUUGAAGCGGCUUGGACCGACAUUACUCGUACGCUUACGAGAGACUGGUUUCAUCGCUACGAGUAACUCCGUUGCUCAAAGAUGACUGGCAAGUGUCGGUUUCUCCAACUUUAGUUGAAUCGGAUUUGACCAAGGAGGUCCUUGGAUAAGGUUAAAUAGAAAUUCAUAUAUCUCCGUUGUGGUGUUUGCGUAAGUAAGAUGCGAUCCUACUAGAUACCCAUGGUCACCACGUAAAACAUGCAACAACAAAAUUAGAGGACGUCUAACUUUUUUUUGCAGGGUAUGCUUGUGAUGUGAUAUGGCCAACGAUGUGAUGUGAUAUAUUGGAUGUAUGAGAUGAUCAUGUUGUAAUAGGUAAUANNNNNNNNNNNNNNNNNNNNNNNNNNNNNNNNNNNNNNNNNNNNNNNNNNNNNNNNNNNNNNNNNNNNNNNNNNNNNNNNNNNNNNNNNNNNNNNNNNNNAAUGCGACAACACAGACCUGCAACACACCUUAGCUAGCUUCGGAGGGAAAGUUGUCGCUUUCCCGCUGACUUACCUAGGGCUUCCGAUCACUUUGUCGAGGCUUAGGCUAGUCCACAUUCAGUUCAUCUUAGACAGGAUCACAGCUAGGCUAGCUGGAUGGAAGGGAAAACUACUUAACGUUGCCGGCAGGCGAGUCCUGGUCCGUAACGUCCUCUCAGCCCUACCCACCUUCGCACUCUCUGUGCUAAGGGCGCCAAGGAAGUUUUUCGACGAGGUAGACAAAGCUAGACGACGUUUUCUGUGGGCACAAGACGACGGCGAGCUCGGUGGAGGCAAGAGUAAAGUAAAUUGGCCUACAGUCUGCUCCCCUAUGGAGAAUGGGGGUUUGGGCAUCCUUGACCUAAACCGCUUNNNNNNNNNNNNNNNNNNNNNNNNNNNNNNNNNNNNNNNNNNNNNNNNNNNNNNNNNNNNNNNNNNNNNNNNNNNNNNNNNNNNNNNNNNNNNNNNNNNNNNNNNNNNNNNNNNNNNNNNNNNNNNNNNNNNNNNNNNNNNNNNNNNNNNNNNNNNNNNNNNNNNNNNNNNNNNNNNNNNNNNNNNNNNNNNNNNNNNNNNNNNNNNNCGAAGCGGACAGAGACCUGUUCAACGCAUCAACAACUGUGACCCUAGGCAACGGCGCAACGUCAUCCUUCUGGCAUUGCUCGUGGACGGGAACAGACACCCUCAAGACGACGUUCCCNNNNNNNNNNAACGUUUUCUGUGGGCACAAGAAGACGACGAGCUCGGUGGAGGCAAGAGUAAAGUAAAUUGGCCUACAGUCUACUCCCCUAUGGAGAAUGGGGGUUUGGGCAUCCUUGACCUAAACCGCUUCAGUCGAGCCCUCAGGCUAAGAUGGCUUUGGCUGGAAUGGACGAGCAAUGACAGGGCCUGGCGGGGCAUGAAUCUGCCUUGUGAUGAAGCGGACAGAGACAUGUUCAACGCAUCAACAACUGUGACCCUAGGCAACGGCGCAACGGCAUCCUCCUGGCAUUGCUCGUGGACGGGAACAGACACCCUCAAGACGACGUUCCCGUCCCUUUUUAAGCACUCCAGGAGGAAAUACAGAACAAUGCAGGAGGCACUUCGGAACAACACCUGGUUAGCAGACUUAGCGCAUGNNNNNNNNNNNNNNNNNNNNNNNNNNNNNNNNNNNNNNNNNNNNNNNNNNNNNNNNNNNNNNNNNNNNNNNNNNNNNNNNNNNNNNNNNNNNNNNNNNNNAGAUAGGAAUUUUCAACUCCAUGUAGAAACUGCUGACACUAUCACAUGAAACCUUGAGGCCUCACAAACGCAUACGGCUAGAUCGGCGUACAAGGCACAAUUCCAAGGAAUGAUGAAGUCCGAUUUCAAGAAAAUAAUCAGGAACACUUGGGCACCCCCUAGGCUCAAGAUCUUUGCCUGGCUCCUCCUGCGCGACACGCUAUGGUGCAAUGACCGGCUGCAACGACGAGGAUGGCCAAACGGCUAUUUCUGUCAGCUAUGCCUGCGGAACCUAGAGACAUCAACUCAUUUGUUCUGGGAAUGCCCCAUGGCACUGCAAAUCUGGACACACGCUGCCUCGAGGGCCGAAUGCGCCUCUUUGUACCCUCCCACAUGGGCAACAAAGAGGGGGUCAGCCGAAAAAAUAGCCACAAUGAUAGAAACGGCCCAACCAGUACACAGCAAGGCUACCAGGACGAUGAUCGUCCUGAUCCUAUCGGAGAUUUGAAAGCACAGAAAUGAUUGCACCUUCACAAAUAAGCAGGCGCAUAUGCAAGAUAUAAAGAGCGCAAUCACGAGAACCGUCGAGCUAUGGAGANNNNNNNNNNNNNNNNNNNNNNNNNNNNNNNNNNNNNNNNNNNNNNNNNNNNNNNNNNNNNNNNNNNNNNNNNNNNNNNNNNNNNNNNNNNNNNNNNNNNGGCGCUGACGACGGAGGCGACGGGGCAUGGCCGAUGGGCGACAAGGCGUGGGCGGCGAGGUUGGGCGCGACCGACGGGCGACGGGGUGCGGCCGACAGGGUUGGACGUGGUCGGCGUGGCUGGCACGGCCGGUUGGAGGAUGGGGCGACGAUCGCCAGACCGAAGAAAGAAGCACUUUAUCGCAGUUUCACAGUUUGUGUUCGGGCGUAGCUAAAAUGGACCCUUAAAAUACCUUUUUUGACCCGUAUCCGAGUUUUAUGAUUUGAUUUUUAUGGGGUGUGCUAGAUAUGCUCUAAGGGGGGCAAAUCCCCCUUUGUGGACCCCCAAACAGACUCCACACCAGCCCUGCGAAGAAAGAAUUGGAGGUGGCGGCGGCUCCGUCUCGUGAAACGUGGUGAAAAUUUCUCUCUGAUUUUUUCCAAAGAUGAGAUUUUACAGGACUAAAAUUAGGGUCGGAGGAGCCACGUGGGCUACACAAGCCAUCAGGGCGUGGCUUGGGGGCGUCCUGUUGGCUUGUGGCCCCGUGGCAGCGUUUCUCCAGCAAUUAUUUGCUCCAUAAUUCCUUAUAAAUGCCAGAUAUAAUUCACAAAAAAAAUCGUCCAAUUCCGAAAGAUUUUUAUUUCUGUAUAAUAAUAACACCAAAGUAAUUCUGCUGAAAAUAACGCUAGUCCGAGCUAGUUUCAUUCAAAUCAUGUAAAUUAGAAUUCAAAAUCAGAGGAAAAGUGUUUGAAAAAAUUGAUACAUUGAAGAUGUAUCACAUGCCCGUACAAGACUAUUGCCGACCGAUCCUAUUGAGGAAGGUCCCUGCCUGUCUGAAUCUCUGAUCUCGAUGGUUCAAACGUGAUAGCAUGACUCUAAUCUGGCCUGAGCCCUAAGGUAUACUACAAUGUAGUAAUUUUGCACGUAUCAUACAAGUCAUCAGUUCAAAUUAUUAUUUUUAUAGAUUACGAACUACUCCCUUCAUUCCUAAAUAUAAGUCUUUUCUAGAGGUUUCAUUAAUGGACUAUAUACGGAUGUAUAUAGAAAUACUUUAAAGCGUACAAUUAAUCAUUUUUGUUUCAUAUGUAGACCCUAGUGAAAUCAUUUAAAAGACUUAUAUUUAGAAAUGGAGGGAGCAUAUAUUUAAGGGUUCGAUAGUUGAGUAACUAGACAUAAAGCACGGAACAAGAUACCACAAAAUUAUUCAAGUCGAUUGUUCUGCCCUCCAAUUAUGCCACUAAAAAUGCAAAUCAAUGGUAUAUACAACGAGGAAAUAACUACAAACUUUGUUUAGAUUAUUGGCGACUUAUUGGAUGGACCUUGUUCACAUUGAUCAUUAGCUAAAAAAUCAUACUAUUUUUAGUUGCAAAACAUAUAGUCACGGCAUUUUAACAUCGAUAGUUUAUUAAGAACAAAUAUACUUUUUAGGUUACAUCCCUUAUAUAAUCUUGGUCUUUUCGCCUCCUUUAUACUCAAAUCCUUGCUCCGUCCCCGGCAUGGCCGGGUUCAUACCUCCCGCAACUUCAACGGUAUUCUCCCUCAUUGCCACAGGUUGCACUAGGACAUAUUGGUGGAUCCUUCGAUCUCUCCAACGCCUUAACAGGGCCAACCACAUCUAUCUCCUAUCUAUCAACUUUAGCUCCCACUAUACAUUUUUUACGAGACUUGGUGUGCAAUGCAUGAAUACUAACAGAACACACUCUAGGAUCGAGCCAAAACUAGUAGUCAAUACGUACUUUAACUGCCUAAUAUCCAGUCUUUCUAGGUCUAGAAUUGCCAACGGACUGCUUUUGUACUUGCUAAGAUCAACCCCCAACUCAUUACAUCGGACAUUACCACAGCCAUAAUAAACAUUCAAAUGAACUGAUUCACACAUUUUCAUCUAUCACACAUUAUUAUCUUGCCAUCAAUCACAACCUUAGUAGAAAAAUGACUAGCCACAACUUCAACUAAUGGCGUCUCAUUUUCAAUCCAAGUCACCACCAUUUUUUUUAAAUAGUGGUGGUGUUGGAAUAUUUGGUAUGUCACUAGUAGUAGGUUACUCGUGACGUUUCGUCUAAAUUCCACGCCAUCGGUAUUUGGGAUCCAAAAGUAUGGCCCGGCGCAAGUUAUUGAUGGCGUGUGAAAAUAUACCACACCAUUGAUAUUUUAAGCAGUGGUGACGUGAGUGAAUAAUGCCACACCAUCAAUAAUCACACCGUUUGUUUAAAUUUUGAAUUUUUAACCACUCAUUGGUGGCAUGAGUGAAUAGUGUCAUGCCACUACUAAUAAAAACCGUGUCAUGUCCGUCCAUGCCACCAAUAAAUUAUAACAUUUUUAGUAGUAAUAAUAAAAUUGUAGCUGAAAUCGCCACGAGACCCAACCCAACCACCAGAACACAUAUUUCCUUUCUCUCUCUCAUUAGCUCUCGUCUCUCUCAAUCGAAUGGUAUGUCUCCAACUCCCAAAAUCAUCACCACCAACUAGAUCGCUACCCACAUCGCAUCCCUCUCUCCUUCUCUGCCUCAUCCCAAGCCACACAAUUCAUCCACACCAAGCACCUCACCCAGCCAUCUCCUUGUGAUCCUUCUCUAUCUCUCCCGCAACCCCUCAAUGUAGCCACCAACGUCGGCCGAUUCUGACGAGCCUCGACGGCAAUGGACGGGGCAUGGACCUCGCAUGCCUCGAUGUUGGAAUUAUGCCCUAGAGGAAAUAAUAAAUAUAGUUAUUAUUAUAAUUCCUGUAUCAAGAUAAUCGUUUAUUAUCCAUGCUAUAAUUGUAUUGAAUGAAGACUUAUAUACAUGUGUGGAUACAUAGACAAAACAUUGUCCCUAGCAAGCCUCUAGUUGGCUAGCCAGUUGAUCAAAGAUAGUCAGAGUCUUCUGAUUAUAUACAAGGUGUUGUUGCUUGAUAACUGGAUCACGUCAUUAGGAGAAUCACGUGAUGGACUAGACCCAAACUAAUAGACGUAGCAUGUUGAUCGUGUCAUUUUGUUGCUACUGUUUUCUGCGUGUCAAGUAUUUGUUCCUAUGACCAUGAGAUCAUAUAACUCACUGACACCGGAGGAAUGCUUUGUGUGUAUCAAACGUCACAACGUAACUGGGUGACUAUAAAGAUGCUCUACAGGUAUUUCCGAAGGUGUUCGUUGAGUUAGUAUGGAUCGAGACUCGGAUUUAUCACUCCGUGUGACGGAGAGGUAUCUCGGGGCCCACUCGGUAAUACAACAUCACACACAAGCCUUGCAAGCAAUGUGACUUAGUGUAAGUUGCGGGAUCUUGUAUUACGGAACGAGUAAAGAGACUUGCCGGUAAACGAGAUUGAAAUAGGUAUGCGGAUACUGACGAUCGAAUCUCGGGCAAGUAACAUAUCGAAGGACAAAGGGAAUGACAUACGGGAUUAUAUAAAUCCUUGGAACUGAGGUUCAAACGAUAAGAUCUUCAUAGAAUUUGGGGAUCCAAUAUGGGCAUCCAGGUCCCGCUAUUGGAUAUUGAUCGAGGAGUCACUUGGGUCAUGUCUACAUAGUUCUCGAACCCGCAGGGUCUACACACUUAAGGUUCGACGUUGUUUUAUACGUAUUUGAGUUAUAUGGUUGGUUACCGAAUGUUGCUCGGAGUCCCGGAUGAGAUCACGGACGUCACGAGGAUUUCCGGAAUGGUCCAGAAACGAAGAUUGAUAUAUAGGAUGACCUCAUUUGAUUACCGGAAGGUUUUCGGAGUUACCGGGAAUGUACCGGGAAUGACGAAUGGGUUCCGGGUGUUCACCGGGGGGGCAACCCACCCCGGGGAAGCCCAUAGGCCUUGGGGGUGGCGCACCAACCCUUAGUGGGCUGGUGGGACAGCCCAAGAAGGCCCUAUGCGCCAUGGAUAGAAAAUCAAAGAGAAAGAAAAAAAAGGAGGUGGGAAAGGAGAGAAGGACUCCACUUUCCAAUCCUAGUUGGACUAGGAUUGGAGGAGGACUCCUCCUCCCCUUGGUGCGCAGCCCUUGGGGCUCCUUGAGCCUCAAGGCAAGACUCCCCUCCCUCCUCCUAUAUAUAUGGAGCAAUUAGGGCUCAUUUGAGACAACUUUUCCAAAGCAGCCCGACCACAUACCUCCACGGUUUUACCUCUAGAUCGCAUUUCUGCGGAGCUCGGGCGGAGCCCUGCCGAGAUUAGAUCACCACCAACCUCCGGAGCGCCGUCACACUACCAGAGAACUCAUCUCCCUCUGCGUCUCUCUUGCUGGAUCAAGAAGGCCGAGAUCAUCGUCGAGCUGUACGUGUGCUGAACGCGGAGGUGCCGUCCGUUCGGCACUAGAUUGUGGGACGGAUCGCGGGACGGUUCGUGGGACGGUUCGCGAGGCGGAUCGAGGGACGUGAGGACGUUCCACUACAUCAACCGCGUUCACUAACGCUUCUGCUGUGCGGUCUACAAGGAUACGUAGAUCGGAAAUCCCCUCUCGUAGAUGGACAUCACCAUGAUAGGUCUUCGUGCGCGUAGAAAAAUUUUUAUUUCCCGUGCAACGUUCCCCAUGAGUGGUAUCAGAGCUAGGUUCAUGCGUAGAUGUAAUAUCGAGUAGAACACAAAAGUUUUUGUGGGCGGUGAUGUGCGUCUUGCUGCCCUCCUUAGUCUUUUCUUGAUUCCGCGGUAUUGCUGGAUUGAAGCGGCUUGGACCGACAUUACUCGUACGCUUACGAGAGACUGGUUUCAUCGCUACGAGUAACUCCGUUGCUCAAAGAUGACUGGCAAGUGUCGGUUUCUCCAACUUUAGUUGAAUCGGAUUUGACCAAGGAGGUCCUUGGAUAAGGUUAAAUAGAAAUUCAUAUAUCUCCGUUGUGGUGUUUGCGUAAGUAAGAUGCGAUCCUACUAGAUACCCAUGGUCACCACGUAAAACAUGCAACAACAAAAUUAGAGGACGUCUAACUUUUUUUUGCAGGGUAUGCUUGUGAUGUGAUAUGGCCAACGAUGUGAUGUGAUAUAUUGGAUGUAUGAGAUGAUCAUGUUGUAAUAGGUAAUAUCGACUUGCACGUCGAUGGUACGGCAACCGGCAGGAGCCAUAGGGUUGUCUUUAAACUAACGUUUGUGCUUGCAGAUGCGUUUACUAUUUUGCUAGGAUGUAGCUUUAGUAGUAAUAGCAUGAGUAGCACGACAACCCCGAUGGCGACACGUUGAUGGAGAUCAUGGUGUGGCGCCGGUGACAAGAAGAUCGUGCCGGUGCUUUGGUGAUGGAGAUCAAGGAGCACGUGAUGAUGGUCAUAUCAUGUCACUUAUGAAUUGCAUGUGAUGUUAAUCCUUUUAUGCACCUUAUUUUGCUUAGAACGACGGUAGCAUUAUGAGGUGAUCUCUCACUAAAAUUUCAAGACGAAAUUUUGUUCUCCCCGACUGUGCACCGUUGCUACAGUUCGUCGUUUCGAGACACCACGUGAUGAUCGGGUGUGAUAGACUGAACGUUCACAUACAACGGGUGCAAAACAGUUGCACACGCGGAACACUCGGGUUAAGCUUGACGAGCCUAGCAUGUGCAGACAUGGCCUCGGAACACAUGAGAUCGAAAGGUCGAUCAUGAAUCAUAUAGUUGAUAUGAUUAGCAUAGGGAUGCUUACCACUGAAACUAUACUCAACUCACUUGAUGAUCGGACUUGAGAUAGUGUAAGUGGGACAUGAACCACUCAAAUGACUAGAGAGAUGUACUUUUUGAGUGGGAGUUUAGCAAGUAAUUUGAUUAAGUUAAACUCUAACUAUCUUGAACAUAGUCCAAGUCCACUUUGAAUAUAUUUGUGUUGUAGAUCAUGGCUCACGCAACAGUCACCCUGAAUUUUAACACGUUCCUAGAGAAAGCUAAGUUGAAAGAUGAUGGAAGCAACUUUGUAGACUGGGCUCGUAAUCUUAAGUUGAUCCUACAAGCUGGGAAGAAGGAUUAUGUCCUUGAUGCUGCGCUAGGAGAUGAACCACCCGCUACGGCUGACCAAGAUGUUAAGAACGCUUGGUUAACACGUAAGGAGGACUACUCAGUAGUUCAAUGUGCAGUCUUGUAUGGCUUAGAACCGGGACUUCAACGUCGCUUUGAGCGUCAUGGAGCAUAUGAGAUGUUCCAGGAGUUGAAAUUUAUCUUUCAGAAGAACGCCCGGAUCGAGAGGUAUGAGACCUUCGAUAAAUUCUAUGCUUGCAAGAUGGAGGAGAAUUCGUUUGUGAGUGAACAUGUGCUCAAAAUGUCUGGGUACUCAAACCGUCUAGCUGAGCUGGGGAUUGAACUCCCACAAGAGGCUAUCACUCACAAAAUUCUUCAAUCACUGUCGCCAAGCUAUAAGGGCUUUGUGUUGAACUACAACAUGCAAGGGAUGAACAAGUCACCCGACGAGUUGUUUGCGAUGCUGAAAGUCACAGAGUCUGAACUUCGUAAAGAGCAUCAAGUGUUGAUGGUGAAAAACACCACUAGUUUCAAGAGAAACGGCAAAGGCAAGAAGGGUAAUUCAAAGAAGAGCGGCAAGCCUGUUGCCAAUCCGACGAAGAAACCCAAAGCUGGACCAAAGCCUGAAACAGAGUGCUACUAUUGCAAGGGUAUGGGUCACUCGAAGCGCAACUGCCCCAAGUAUCUGGCUGAUAAGAAGGCGGCCAAAGAAAAAUCAGGUAUAUUUGAUAUACAUGUUAUUGAUGUGUACUUAACCGGCUCUCGUAGUAGUGCCUGGGUAUUCGAUAUCGAUUCUGUUGCUCAUAUUUGCAACUCGAAACAGGAACUGCGGAAUAGGCGAAGGCUGGCGAAAGAUGAAGUGACGAUGCGCGUAGGAAAUGGUUCGAAGGUUGAUGCAAUCACCGUCGGCACAGUUUCACUUCAGUUACCAUCAGGAUUAGUUAUGAACUUGAAUAAUUGUUAUUUAGUGCCUGCGUUGAGCAUGAACAUUAUAUCUGGAUCUUGUUUAUUGCGAGACGGUUACUCUUUUAAGUCAGAGAAUAAUGGUUGUUCUAUUUCUAUGAGUAACAUCUUUUAUGAUCAUGCACCCAAUGUGAGAGGAUUGUUCAUAUUGAAUCUUGAUAGUGAUGAUACACAUAUACAUAACAUUGAGACCAAAAGAGUUAGAGUUAACAAUGAUAGCGCCAUGUUUUUGUGGCACUGCCGCUUAGGUCAUAUUGGUGUAAAGCGCAUGAAGAACCUCCAUACCGAUGGACUUUUGGAGUCACUUGACUUUGAUUCACUUGACACGUGCGAACCAUGCCUCAUGGGCAAGAUGACUGAAACUCCGUUCUCCGGAAAAAUGGUACGUGCCAGUGACUUGUUGGAAAUCAUACAUACCGAUGUGUGCGGUCCGAUGAGCGUGGAGGCACGCGGCGGAUAUCGUUAUUUUCUCACCUUCACUGACGAUUUGAGUAGAUAUGGUGAUGUCUACUUAAUGAAGCACAAGUCUGAAACAUUUGAAAAGUUCAAGCAAUUUCAGAGUGAAGUUGAAAAUCAUCGUAACAAGAAGAUCAAGUUCCUACGGUCUGAUCGUGGGGGUGAAUAUCUGAGUUUCGAGUUUGGUGCUCACUUAAGACAAUGUGGAAUUUUUCACAGUUGACACCGCCUGGAACACCACAGCGUAAUGGUGUGUCCGAACGUCGUAAUCGUACUUUAUUAAAGAUGGUGCGAUCUAUGAUGUCUCUUACCGAUUUGCUGUUAUCGUUUUGGGGUUAUGCAUUAGACAUAGCUGCAUUCACUUUAAAUAGGGCACCAUCAAAAUCCGUUGAGACGACACCAUACGAACUGUGGUAUGGCAAAAGGCCAAAGUUGUCGUUUCUUAAAGUUUGGGGAUGUGAUGCUUAUGUCAAAAAGCUUCAGCCUGAAAAGCUGGAACCCAAAGCGGAAAAGUGCAUCUUCAUAGGUUACCCAAAAGAGACAGUUGGGUACACCUUCUAUCUCAAAUCCGAGGGCAAAGUGUUUGUUGCUAAAAACGGAGCUUUUCUCGAGAAGGAGUUUCUCUCGAGAGAAUUGAGUGGGAGGAAGAUAGAACUUGAUGAGGUUGUCGAACCUCUCAUCCCUCUGGAUGGUGGCGCAGGGCAAGGGGAAACCCCUGUCGUUGCGACGUCGGUUGAGGAGGAAGUUAAUGAUGAUGAUGAGGAAACUCCGGUUCAAGUUCCUAUCGAACCACGCAGGUCGAUGAGACCACGUGCUGCUCUAGAGUGGUACGGUAAUCCCGUUUUGUCAAUCAUGUUGUUAGACAACAAUGAACCUGCAAAUUAUGAAGAAGCAAUGGUGGGCCCAGAUUCCAACAAAUGGCUGGAGGCCAUGAAGUCCAAGAUAGGAUCCAUGCAUGAAAACAAAGUGUGGACUUUGGAAGUACUACCUGAGGGCCGCAAGGCUAUUCAGAACAAAUGGAUCUUUAAGAAGAAGACGGGCGCUGACGGCAAUGUGACUGUUUAUAAAGCUCGACUUGUGGCAAAGGGUUUUUCACAAGUUCAAGGAGUUGACUACGAUGAGACAUUCUCACCCGUAGCGAUGCUUAAGUCCGUCAGAAUCAUGUUAGCAAUAGCUGCAUUUUUCGAUUAUGAAAUCUGGCAGAUGGAUGUCAAAACGGCGUUCCUUAACGGUUUCCUUAAGGAAGAGUUGUAUAUGAUGCAACCCGAAGGUUUUGUCGGUCCUAAGAAUGCUAACAAGGUGUGCAAGCUCCAGCGAUCCAUUUAUGGACUGGUGCAAGCAUCUCGGAGUUGGAACAAACGCUUUGAUGAGGUGAUCAAAGCAUUUGGGUUUAUACAAGUGGUUGGAGAAUCUUGUAUUUACAAGAAAGUGAGUGGGAGAUCUGUGGCGUUUCUAAUAUUAUAUGCGGAUGACGUAUUGCUGAUUGGAAACAACGUAGAGUUUUUGGAGAGCAUAAAGGAUUACUUGAAUAAAAGUUUCUCUAUGAAGGACCUAGGAGAAGUUGCUUACAUUCUAGGCAUUAAGAUCUACAUGGAUAGAUCGAAACGCCUGAUAGGACUUUCACAAAGCACAUACCUUGAUAAAGUUUUGAAGAGGUUCAAAAUGGAACAGUCCAAGAAACGGUUCUUGCCAGUUUUACAAGGUACGAGAUUGAGUAAGACUCAGUGCCCAGCAACUAAUAAAGAUAGAGAGCAUAUGAGCACCGUCCCCUAUGCUUCAGCCCUAGGAUCUAUCAUGUAUGCAAUGUUCUGCACUAGACCGGACGUUAGCCUGGCCAUAAGUAUGGCAGGCAGGUUCCAGAGUAAUCCAGGAGUGGAUCACUGGACGGCGGUCAAGAAUAUCCUGAAGUACCUGAAAAGGACUAAGGAGAUGUUUCUCGUGUACGGAGGUGGCGAAGAGCUCGCCGUAAAGGGUUACGUCGAUGCAAGCUUUGACACAGAUCCGGACGACUCUAAGUCGCAGACCGGAUACAUAUUUAUUCUUAAUGGGGGUGCGGUAAGCUGGUGCUGUUCCAAGCAAAGCGUCGUAGCUGAUUCUACAUGUGAAGCGGAGUACAUGGCUACCUCGGAGGCGGCUAAGGAGGGUGUCUAGAUGAAGCAGUUCAUGACGGAUCUUGGAGUGGUGCCAAGCGCACUGAAUUCAAUAACCUUGUUCUAUGACAACACGGGUGACAUUGCCUUAGCAAAGGAACCACGGUUUCACAAGAAGACCAGACACAUCAAACGACGCUUCAACCUCAUCCGCGACUACGUCGAAGGGGAGGACGUAAAUAUAUGCAAAGUGCACACGGAUCUGAAUGUAGCAGACCCGCUGACUAAACCUCUUCCACGGGCAAAGCAUGAUCAACACCAGAACUGUAUGGGUGUUAGAUUUAUUACAAUGUAAUUCACAUGAUGAUGUGAGGGCUAGAUUAUUGACUCUAGUGCAAGUGGGAGACUGUUGGAAUUAUGCCCUAGAGGCAAUAAUAAAUAUAGUUAUUAUUAUAAUUCCUGUAUCAAGAUAAUCGUUUAUUAUCCAUGCUAUAAUUGUAUUGAAUGAAGACUUAUAUACAUGUGUGGAUACAUAGACAAAACACUGUCCCUAGCAAGCCUCUAGUUGGCUAGCCAGUUGAUCAAAGAUAGUCAGGGUCUUCUGAUUAUAUACAAGGUGUUGUUGCUUGAUAACUGGAUCACGUCAUUAGGAGAAUCACAUGAUGGACUAGACCCAAACUAAUAGACAUAGCAUGUUGAUCGUGUCAUUUUGUUGCUACUGUUUGCUGCGUGUCAAGUAUUUGUUCCUAUGACCAUGAGAUCAUAUAACUCACUGACAUCGGAGGAAUGCUUUGUGUGUAUCAAACGUCGCAACGUAACUGGCUGACUAUAAAGAUGCUCUACAGGUAUUUCCGAAGGUGUUCUUUGAGUUAGUAUGGAUCGAGACUGAGAUUUGUCACUCCGUGUGACGGAGAGGUAUCUCGGGGCCCACUCGGUAAUACAACAUCACACACAAGCCUUGCAAGUAAUGUGACUUAGUGUAAGUUGCGGGAUCUUGUAUUACGGAACGAGUAAAGAGACUUGCCGGUAAAAGAGAUUGAAAUAGGUAUGCGGAUACUGACGAUCGAAUCUCGGGCAAGUAACAUACCGAAGGACAAAGGGAAUGACAUACGGGAUUAUAUGAAUCCUUGGCACUGAGGUUCAAAUGAUAAGAUCUUCGUAGAAUAUGUGGGAUCCAAUAUGGGAAUCCAGGUCCCGCUAUUGGAUAUUGACCGAGGACUCACUCGGCUCAUGUCUACAUAGUUCUCGAACCCGCAGGGUCUGCACACUUAAGGUUCGACGUUGUUUUAUGCGUGUUAGAGUUAUAUGGUUGGUUACCGAAUGUUGUUCGGAGUCCCGGAUGAGAUCACAGACGUCACGAGGGUUUCCGGAAUGGUCCGGAAACGAAGAUUGAUAUAUAGGAUGACCUCAUUUGAUUACCGGAGGGUUUUCGGAGUUACCGGGAAUGUACCGGGAAUGACGAAUGGGUUCCGGGUGUUCAUCGGGGGGGGUGGGCAACCCACCCCGGGGAAGCCCAUAUGCCUUGAGGGUGGCGCACCAGCCCUUAGUGGGCUGGUGGGACAGCCCAAGAAGGCCCUAUGCGCCAUGGAUAGAAAAUCAAAGAGAAAGAAAAAAAAAGGAGGUGGGAAAGGAGAGAAGGACUUCACUUUCCAAUCCUAGUUGGACUAGGAUUGGAGGAGGAAUCCUCCUCCCCUUGGUGCGCACCCCUUGGGGCUCCUUGAGCCUCAAGGCAAGCCUCCCCUCCCUCCUCCUAUAUAUAUGGAGCAAUUAGGGCUGAUUUGAGACAACUUUUCUAAAGCAGCCCGACCACAUACCUCCACGGUUUUACCUCUAGAUCGCGUUUCUGCGGAGCUCGGGCGGAGCCCUGCCGAGAUUAGAUCACCACCAACCUCCGGAGCGCUGUCACGCUGCCGGAGAACUCAUCUACCUCUCUGUCUCUCUUGCUGGAUCAAGAAGGCCGAGAUCAUCGUCGAGCUGUACGUGUGCUGAACGCGGAGGUGUCGUCCGUUCGGCACUAGAUCGUGGGACGGAUCGCGGGACGGUUCGUGGGACGGUUCGCGGGGCGGAUCGGGGGACGUGAGGACGUUCCACUACAUCAACCGCGUUCACUAACGCUUCUGCUAUGCGAUCUACAAGGGUACGUAGAUCGGAAAUCCCCUCUCAUAGAUGGACAUCACCAUGAUAGGUCUUCGUGCGCGUAGAAAUUUUUUUGUUUCCCAUGCGAUGUUCCCCAUCACUCGAUGAGUCCCUGCCUCCGACCAGAUCCACCGCGCACGGUCUAUAGUGCUCGUGCCCAAGCCCUCCCUGCAAUUGGGUUUCGGGCAUGGCUUCACCUUCAUCGACGGCGUGGCUCUAGUGUCCGUGGCGGCUCCUCUCUAUUGGCGGAUGUGCACGACAUGUGCUACAAAAUUUUCAUGGUGAGCGUAUCUUUUUCCUUUGUUCUCCGACAGUGUGUGUACACCAUGUAGUUCUUCUCAUUGUCAUGUUGAUGUUCAUGUAAGCGUAGAUGUGCGUACACCAUCUCAAAAAAAUCAUCUUGCUUCCUUCUUGGUUUUGCUUACCUUACUACUAGUAGUUAAUUCUAUAAAUGAGAAAAAGUGCCACAUCAUCAGUAUGUGAAAUACCGAUGGUGUGGCGGUACGAGCAUCAUCGUUAUUUUGGUAACAAUGGCACUAUAUUAAUGACGUCGGAUGCCUACGCCAGCAAGGACUUUUUUAGAACGCUAACAUUAGGCUUUUCUACACUAGUGCAAUGAAAAAAAAUCUCCGCUAUCGGAUCUUUUCCCGACAAGAUGGUUAUAGCUUUGACGCUUGAGUUGCCGGCUGCGAGCUUCUCUUCGCGAAGCUCGUGCAUGCACCACUGGCGCUGACCACAACCACCAUCGCCUCCCCUCGGCUCUUGGAGGUUGCACUACCACUACUCCCCACGAAGCCGCCCCAGCCACACCUCCUUCCCCCAACAACACCUUCUCCCCAGCAUGUCUCCUCACCACAGCUUCAAAAUGACUACCACGCUGGAUGGAUUGGAGCUUAGGUUGUCGAAAUGGGUAUACUUUAGUGAAUUUGAGGAAAGGAUGCAAGAAUGGGUGGAAAUGGACUAGAUCAAGCGAAAAACAAGAAGAGCAGAGAGAGACGCGAGCAAGCACUCGCGUCGUGAGGAAGAAGACAGUCGAUCUUAUCCCCACCUCUUCGGACUCACGUUGGCCGAAGACUACUCUUCGGUCGCAGGCUGAUCGAAGUUACUCUCCUCGACUUACGACCCACCAACAACGGCUCGUCGCCUAGUUAUACCACUCUUCGGCCCAACUUAAACCCCAAAAAUCCCUUUUUUGCGAUCUAGUAUAAGGUUUUUAUUCCAUAAUAACAGAGUUACAACCUUCAGCGAGUAAAUCGCUAAUGCAUGGGGGAGGAUGACCCAGUCAACAGGCUAUGCUAUCACCACAUCUAUCAUAGUUCGUUAAACAAUGUGCAACUCUAUUUUGUUCACGAAUAAUUUUGACAGGAAUAACCACCCUAGUACUGAAGUAAGAUUUGAUCUCCGAAACCAAAUGGCCAUACGCCGAACUAUCAAUGGAAGCCUCAGAAAUCGUCUUGAGAGCCAUCGCACAAUCAGACUGGAGCAAGAUUGUGGAAUUCGUGUGUUCCAACGACAGCUUGAGACCUUCCAUCAUAUAUUGCAAUUCUACUUCGAGGGCUUCAUUGCAAUGAAAGAGUUUGCGAUACGAAGCAAAGAUAACCCCUCCUUUCUCAUCUCUUAGAAUCAUGCCUGCUCCUGCCGAAUGGUCUGCAGGAUUGAAACAACCGUCUACUCACAGUGCGAACUCGCCCAUAGGUGGAUUAGGCCAUCGCUUGCAAGGCGCAAAUGGUUCUAUGAAUCUGUUCUUGUUUGUGCAUAUAAGUUGUUAGAGGAGUUUUCCCUUUGAUAAUAUCCUCAACACUCAACGAAAUUUGAUUGAAAGUGUUGAAAUAACUGGUCAGAAACAAUCGAGAAACUUCCAACGGUGGGAUUGGUUUACCAUGUUAGAGCUCGUUUCGGAGGUGCCAACUUGGCCACAGAACCAUAAUAAUCCUACUUCUGACUUGUUCAUGUGAUUCAGCCAGUAGAUGAAGAAGCCAUUCAUCCCGUGUACAUGCGAUAUCCAGUUUGUUCGGCAAAGGCCAGACCGAACCCAUCGAGUCCCAUAAGAGAGCAGUUGUAGGACACGCGAGUAGGGCAUGAAAAGAAGAUUAUAUGUCCCGGUCACACGGACUGCACUACGCGAAAUCUCCUAUGUGUCUCCUGAACUUCUCUGCAUUAGCUGGAAGAGAGGCAGAAGUAACUUGCCAAGCAAAGUGUCGCUUCUUGGGAGGGACAGUCGCGCCCCAAAUCAACCUCCAUAUGGGGCGCCCUGAGAGGGGAGGAACUAGACGCCCCUAUACCCUCAUGGUCGCUGGACACUACAAAAUUGUAGACACUCUUCACAGUCAGGUUGCCUGAUCUAUCCCAUUGCCAUGAUACGAAAUCCUGAUGUUGCCGCGGAGACGUUCGGAUCAUCAUAAUUGAAUCAAUGUCUGCUUGGCAAAAGAAUUGUUGCAGCAGGUCCAUUCUCUAGUUACCCCUAACAUUGAGGAAAUCUGAGACUCGUUGAGACGGCAAUUUCGCUUAGGCAGAAUUGAAGUAAACGGCGGGCCUUGGGGUCCAAAGGUGACCGGAAAGCUCAUCUUCGGCCUAACAAACAACAAAUACUCACUCUACGACAUAAGUGUGGUUGACGGGGUUAUAGUUUUCCUUUCCUGGAAUUAGGGCAUACAUAUUUAGGUCAUGUUUGGAAUAUCAUUUCCACGAGCAAUACACCUGCAAAUAAUACAGGUGUCCCUUCGUCGUUUUGCUUUCAGGCGGGAAUCACUACUGGCCCUGUAAGUUACACAUGUAAAUUAAAUACAGACGUAUUUAAAUACACCCAAUUCACACACGCCUUUAAAAUAUGUUAUAAAAAAAUAUUUACUCCGUCUUAAAAUUAUUGUCUUAGAUUUGUUUAGAUGUGAAUGUAUCUAAUCAAGUUUUAGUACUUAAAUACAUCUAUUUCUAGACAAAGCUAAGACAAAAAAAUAAAACGGAGGAAGCAAUAUUAGGAAAAUCAUCAAGCCGGCCAGAAAAUGCCACAUCAGGAACGACCGAACACGAUACCAUCCAGUGCCGGUGCUAGGCUGCUGCUAGCCUAUGGUAACUCCUUGCAAUUGCUGUCGAUACUGGGAGCUUUGGAAGUACCCCUACAGCUUCUAGAAGGAUGGAAGGAAGGACCCAAGAAGGUGUGCUCCGCUCGGGACGUGGACUCUGAAAGCAUAUCCUGCACGCAACGCAAGGCAAGGCAGGGCAGCGAGACUUUUCUUCCUUCCGGCUCCGUUGCAUCCGUGCGUGGCGAGACCGCGACCCGCGUGAUUGAUCGGCCGAUCGACCCACCUUGUGGGACCCGUGAUCCUCUCCUGGUCCACGGUCAAAGUCCGGCUUGACCUUUGACCAGUCCAACUCCCUUCGUUAUUUUAUUUUAUCUUUAAGCCGGUAACCUGUGUGGCUUGUGGACGUUGUGUUGGAAAAUGGGAACAGACGGCGGAACUGCGGGACAGCUUGGAUCGUGGCCUAGCUGUGAGGUUUUGCAGCGUGGUAUGAAAACGUGAGGUUCUAGAAUCCGGAGCAAAUCUUAGCACCAACUUGUUCCCUGUAUAUAAUGUCACUCAAAGAGACAAAAGCUUCCAUUAUAAGGACCUAGGCAAAGUUUGAUAUGCUCGCGAAGCAUUGAAAAAAUCCCAAAGUAUUGAAGAACUACUUCGGCUGCUCAUAAAUGUAAGAUGUUUAAAAUAUUCUAAUACAAACUAUACAUACGUCCUGGAAUGAGUACGGACUAAAAUAGUUAAAGAAAACACAUCAAAACAUGUUUAAAUACUACAUUCGAUUAUAAAACAAUUAAAAAAUAGAACAACAUCUUAAUAGUGAACAGAGGGAGAGUAAUUUAACUUGUUGGUAUUGAAGAGUAAUGCUAUCACCACACUUUUCAUCCAAUCUUCGUACGACACAUAUAAUCAAACCGUUUUGUGCAUGCAACCAAGUGCAUCAGAGCAUUGGAUUCUAGACCAUUCGUCACCGUACACACACUAGUUUCGGCUACGAAAAUGCUAUGUGUACGACCCUUCGCCUUCUCGUGUGUGAAGAAAUUAACGAACUGUACUAUUCGUCGUACAUUAGAGCAUCUUUAACAACCGCACUCCGACGCACUCGUAUGAAAUGUUCCAAAAGCUCAUUGUGAGGAUAGUUUAGAUUUUUGUCACGCCCAUUCUCGAUGAUCAUGUUAUGCAUCAUCAUACAAACGUGCAUGAUGUACUAAAGAAUCUUUUGAUCGCAAAAUCCAGCCGGUCCUUUCAUAAUAGCAAGUUGGGCUUGUAAAAUCCCAAAAGCUCCCUCCACAUCUUUUUGAGCCGCCGUUUGAGCAUUGUGAAGAUCUAGAUUUUUCUUACCUUCUGGUUUUCAACGGCUUCACAAAUGUUUGUCAUUUUGGGUAGAUACCAUCCUCAAGACAGUAGUCAUAAUUGUAUGUAUUGCCAUUUGCUACAAACUCCACCGAUGACGGUUCACCAUUUGCAAUCUUAUUUAUAAGUGUUGAGCGGUUAACCACGUUGAUGUCAUUCAAAGAUCGAGACUAUCCCAAAAAAGCAUGCCAAAUCCAAGUUUGUUGACGGGCCACCGCUUUAAGGAUUGUAGUAAAACUCUUUUUCUCGUCGUGGAAUUGCCCAUGCCAUGCCUUAGGACAAUUCUUCCAACUCCGGUGCAUGCAAUCUGUUGAGCCAAGCAUACCUGGGAACCCGCGAGCUUUGUUCAUCUCCAAUAACCUUGCGAUGUAUCCAGCAUUUGAAUCUCAAAUACUCUCGGCCAAACACUUGUUCAAUUCCGACUGUGAAGCGCUUGAAACACAUGAUGGCCUGACUCUCAUCCAUGGCGAGAUGGUCAUCAACUAGAUCACCCAGAAUACCGUAUGCCAACAUACGCAAAGCGGUUGUCACCUUUUGAAAGGUGUUAUGUCCGAGUUCUCCAGCGACAUUCCUCCUUUGCUGAAAAAAUCGAUCAUGCAUCGUCAGUUUAUUUUCAAGCCGUGUGUGAGUCGUCGUUGUCCAGCACGCGGGAGCGGGCGCUCGAAAUAAACGACGUACGAGUCGUUCCGUCCCGCACACUGAAUCAAUUAUGCCGCGCACGCAUUUUGUAUGCCUUCAUUGUAACAUCUGAAGCGGUUGCGCACGUAAAAAAAAAGAUGCCUUUUUUCAACACGACGUUUAUAUAACAUGGUUGUUAGAGAUGCUCUUAGAAUUUUGACCAGUCUGAUUUUAUCGUACCUGAAGCAUCGUUCAGUCUGCUAGGAUCAACGUCCCACUAGAAAAAAAAAAACAGAGUACGAUCGACCCUUCGAUAAGCACGAUAAGGUGCGGGAUCAUUAUCAGCGCACCUAACAUCCCGUCAAUGGCAUGACCGCUCGAGCUGUAGAAAUGCAAGUUUGAAAACACAAUUGCUGAUCUUAUCUAGGCUGGAAGGCAUCCUAAACGACAGAGACAGGCUUGUCACGGUCGAACGCCACCAAGCCGUUUCUCCAUUUCACUUUGAUGACUUCUACGGGCAGCAAGCUCGUUCAUCCGCCGUAGUCAAGAUCCCAAGAAAAUCACGUGCUCUAACGGCACCUUAUUUUAUCCCCUCACAUACCCGUGAUGAUAAACAGAGAUUUUUCUCGGCGUGUCAAAGUUAAACCGGCGACUUCUAAAGUUCAGUCUGCGUGAAAAACACUGAACCCGAAGAGACAUGGUUAAAUUUGGUUGUGGUGGCAAACCCUACUCUUGGCACUGAAGAAAAAGUAGUACCCCUCGUCCUCUUGCAAGUAUAAAAUUCACACCCGCAAAAAGAAAGUAAUACAAAACUUCACGACGAUUUUUUUUAACGGGAUCGGGCCCUACAAAACCGUCUUUAUCGUCAUGUGCGCGAGCGAAAGGAGCAUUGUCCAGAAGCAUUGCACCGCAUGACUUCUACGCAAUUUCUUCCUCCGAUGGCAAGCCUGAGGUCCACUCGCAUUCAAUACGGAUCCAUCGUUUUGUCAGGGUUCAGACGGUCGACCUUUUUUCCUUCCGGCAAAGGCAGAUCAAUUCGGAAACGAGGACAAUGAACAAUCACGUAGCCUAGCCCGUGCCGAGCAAGCAGGUGCUAUUCCAAGUCCUGAAGUUGAUCAGUGUGGUGUGGGAGUGAACAAAGGUGCGCGCUGGGGUGCAAGCAGCCGUCAGAUAGCAAGGUGACAAGAGAAGUGAAUUGCAGAUACUCCUAUCCUACUGCACGAGAGGGAAUAAAGCAAAAGCGGGGGGAUUUCCCGACGUGAAAUGCAGUUGACAAGAGAAGCGAUUCCGCAGAGAUUUCGACCGAACAAUGAUAGAGGAGCAUAUAUAAAAGAACAAGUCCAUCGUAGUAUGAAUAAUGAAUCCGAGAAUAUGGGCAGAGGCCAGAGCAACGCAGCGGUUGCACCGCCACUGCAAUUCUAGAAUAAAGCAUGGGAAUAUGAAUAUCAAUCGCGCCCGCGCAUGCAUGUCCCCGCCUCACGAUCGAUCGCGCCAACGCUCUAACUCCAACGGUGGCGGCCUGGAGGGCCGACGACGUCAGCACUGACGUCACCCCCACCUGCACGGGGCUACCCAACAAAAAACGAAAACAAAACAAAACAUGAUGAGCAAAAGGCGAGGGCAGCGGCAGCCGCUCCGUAAAAUACUCCUCCCACUAAACUAAAUUAUUAUUUUUUGGCUAAAAACUAUCUGGACCCUCGCUGCCUCUUGUUCUAGAUCACUGUAAGUAUUGUUAUUAUUUUGCUGGUGGAAACAGACCCAUUCCGUCACGUGAAUCCGGGGCGGGAAAGUUCAACGAACCAGGACCGGGAGGGGGCGAGCACGUCUCCACUUAUAUAUAACCCGCGACCCCGGCCCGAUCACACCAUUCGACUCCACGCAAUCGCCUCGUUCACACACAGUGAUCAGCUCACCCACAGACCAGACCACCCCGGAACGCAACAGAGCAGAGGAUGCUGCUGAACCCGGCAUCGGAGGCGCUGGUGCUGGACAGCAUCAGGCAGCACCUCAUGGAGGACACGGCGGCCGCGGCGCCGGCGCUGGCGGAGGCGAGGAGGCAGAGGCCGGCCUACUGCCGGAGCGCCAGCUUCGGAAGCCUGGUGGCGGACCAGUGGAGCGAGUCGCUCCCGUUCCGCGCCGACGACUCGGACGACAUGGUCGUCUACGGCGCCCUCCGCGACGCCUUCUCCUGCGGCUGGCUCCCCGACGGCUCCUUCGCCGCCGUCAAGCCGGAGCCCCUCCCUUCCCCGGAGUCCUGCUACGGCGGUUUCCUCUACCCGGACACGCCUCCGGCCACGUCUGCCGGCGACGGCNNNNNNNNNNNNNNNNNNNNNNNNNNNNNNNNNNNNNNNNNNNNNNNNNNNNNNNNNNNNNNNNNNNNNNNNNNNNNNNNNNNNNNNNNNNNNNNNNNNNUUUUAAGACGUAUUAGCCGACCCGGCUUACGAAUUUAUACCAACUAUCAAGGAAUUCCUAAAGUUUUGGGUGGAAUGGAGACACUUAAUUUGGGACGUAGGGUAUUUACAUGUGUACAUGAUGAUUUAUUGUGAUGACUAUGAUCGGGUUUCGAGUCAAGGGGUGUGCUUCCAACUUGUAUGGCGAGAACACCUACGGGCAUGUUGCAACUCGAUUUAUGACUUGCAAGUGGGACAACACCUUCUACGAGCCCAGUUGUGAUUGAAGUAUGGACUUGCAAGUGAGUCCAAAAAAUGGUGAGCAUAGUUGUGAGUCGGGGGUGGACUUGCAACUAGUGUGAAAAUAAAGGAUUGAGCGUAGUUGUGAGUCGGGGGUGGACUUGCAACUAGUGUGGAAAUAAAGGAUUGAGCGUAGUUGCAACUAGAAGGUGAACUUGCAACUAUGAAAAAACUUUGAGCCCCGGUGUGGGUCGAGGGUGAACUUGCAACCGAGACAGAAUAAAGACCAGGCUGAGUUGCAAGUUAAGAGUUACUUCGCAACUAAUACAAAAAAGUUGGGCCUUAAUCAAGCGUAGUUGCGAGUUGAUGAUAGACUUGUAACUAAUGUAAAAAAAAGGGUCAUGCCCAGUUGCAAAUCAAGGAUCUGCUUGCAAUUGGGUCAAAAAAGGUCGAGGGUGACCUUGCAACUAAAGAGAAAAAAGGUAGGGCACUAGAUCGAGCCCAGUUGCAAGUCAAUGGUGGACAUGCAACAGACACAACAAGAAACUUCAGCCUCAAUUACGAGUCGAGGAUAUAUUGAAAACUUGGACAAGUAAAAAUUAGGCCGAGUUGCAAGUCAAUAGUAGAUUUGCAACUAGGACAAAAAGAAAGUUUGACCCCAAUUACGAGUCAAGGAUAUACUUGCAAUUGGGUAAAAAUGGUUGCCCCCCGCUGCUCCGUUGAAAAAUGUUGCGUGUCGAGGACAAACCUGCAAUUUAGGACAAUAAAAAAAGAGCUGAUAAUUGCAUAUCGUGGUAUGGAGUUGCAACUCGGAUAAAAAAGGGUCGGACAUCUUAGUUGCAUGUCAAUAGAAUGCACUUGCAAAAAUGGAACAAAAAUGGAUCAGUCAAAGUUUAGUAUAGACGGAUGGACUUGCAAAUGGUACACAAAAGGCAGCUCAGCUGCAUGCCGGGGCUAGAGUUACAAUUAAGACCAAAAAAAUUCACUUUAUAAAAUAAAGAAUUAUAAAAAUGCAAAAUCAUAAAAUACAAAAUGUCAAUAGGGUGGCCGACUAGUGAACACCAUACAUAUAAUGAGACAUGGGAGUAUGGAUAGGCGUGACACAUAGCCCGUGACCAACAUUUGCACAACAUUUCGAAACAAUGAGGAAUUUAGAUGAGACACUUUCCAGUUUGUUUAAAAAGUUCAUGGAUAUAAAACAAGUAAAUAAAGAGGGGGGAAAUAAGUAAAUAUAUGAGACACUUUUGAGGUUUUAGCACCGAGUGUUCUUAUCUAUUUCAUCCGUUCCUAAAUAUAAUUCUUUCUAGAUGUUCAACUAAUGGACUACAUACGGAUGUAUAUCGACAUAUUUUAGAUUAUUAAUUCGUUCAUUUUGCUUCGUAUGUAGACGUCUAGUAAAAUAUCUUAAAAGAUUUAUAUUUAGCUAGUACGGAGGGAGUAUGAGAAAUGUUUUUCUCUAUAAGGGCAUGGCCAUCGCUCCAGGGUGGACCGCUGCCUCAUGAAUCCACGUCGGAUGAGCUGCUGCCGUGGAGGAGAAUAGGUAAAAGGCAGUCGCUUGCAGAGCCAAACGGGCUCUUGCAGAGGAGUCCGCUUCCUCGUUGAAAAAGGCAGAAGGAAAGCACAGACCGGAGGAGAGAGGGGAGAAAGAAUGAGCUAUGAAGUAAAAAAGUAGUGACGGAGAGAGAGAUAGGUGGACCACUAGAAGAGGUGCUGCUUGUGAUGGAUGUGAGAUAAUCAUACGGUGGUUUCAUUAUUAUUUUUCUUAGGUGAAGGCUGGAACCACAGCGAGGUGAUGCCCCCAUGGAUCAUCCCCUAAUGACCUGCAAUCACUCACCCAGUCCACGUUUCUCUGUGAAAAAAGAACGUAUGUCCCCAUCUUCGCCACGUCACGGAUCCGCACCACCAGCCUCCCACCGCAUCCCACGUUCUGAUCACAAUCCAACGGCCCGACUCCACCAUCCCACGGAUCGACCCAGCACACACCUCCCGCCUCCGACCCCCAAAAUUUCGGGCCUCCCUCCCAACUCCUCCCCAUAUAAACCGCUCACCACCGAUUCCCCAAUCCAUCACUAGCUUCAACAUCCGCGCCACUCCCUUCUUCUCCCAAAUCCAGCGACGAUGUCAGGGCGCGGCAAGGGCGGCAAGGGGCUGGGAAAGGGCGGCGCCAAGCGCCAUCGGAAGGUCCUCCGCGACAACAUCCAGGGCAUCACCAAGCCGGCGAUCCGGAGGCUUGCCAGGAGGGGCGGCGUCAAGCGCAUCUCCGGCCUCAUCUACGAGGAGACCCGCGGCGUCCUCAAGAUCUUCCUCGAGAACGUCAUCCGCGACGCCGUCACCUACACCGAGCACGCUCGCCGCAAGACCGUCACCGCCAUGGACGUCGUCUACGCGCUCAAGCGCCAGGGCCGCACCCUCUACGGCUUCGGAGGCUAGAUCCGUUGCGUAGUGGAGCAACUUCCUCGUUUGCUCUCUGUGAUCUGUGCUGUGGUGGAUGAGAUUUACUGAUUUUGUGUGCGUCGUUGUGUUCUGCCUUGGGUUCAGUAGGCUGUGUAAUACCAUGUUCUGUUCAAUGCAAUCAGUUCGGUUCUGAAUCCUGACGAAAUGCUUCACUGUUGAAUUGCGUUUUGUUUUUUCUAAUACUGAUUGGCUCUAUCUGUUUGGACACUGCAGCUGCACUGACUUAAGUACUUGACACUCAUUUCUUCCCAGAUUAGAUUGUACUGCUACUGAAUCCGGCUUUCGUUUGUUCAGUUAUUUGGCGCUAAUUGUUUCUCACUGAAAAGUUCUCUGUUUAGAUCGCUUAUCUGUACUGAAUCAACAUUCGUCUAUCUGGCACUCGUUGCAAUCUGUAGAAGAGAUGGAAUUCUUCCGCUCAGGCAAGUACAGGGUCCGGUGUUUUGGUUUGGCAUCACUGCGGAAUGAACCUCGAAUGUUUCUGUUGUUUUCAGUGGUAUGAAUACUCAAAAAUUUGGCUUCUGUUCCUGAAGGUCUUCACCAAACACAUUUCUUUGUCCUAACUGUACUGUUCCUUUGAGAAAUAAACAGUAGAGAUUAUAUCCUUUUCUUAAAAAUUUUGCUCCUCAUCAGUGCAACCAAUUCAUAGGUGUUGUUUCUCAGUUCCUUUUGAGAUAUUGUGUGGCAUUAUUGUUCAUUCUCUAGGGUAGGAAUUGUGUGACUCAGUUCCUUAAUCUUCAUUAAUCAAGCUAAAAGAAAGAAGAUCCUCACUGAUGUGAUAUCGCCAGGGCCACCUAUGAUUACUGAUCAGGACUGUUAUGACUCAAGAAUAAGCUAUCUUGAAGGUCCAAGAUACGAAGAAGCUCUUCCCGGGGAGUGGGAAUACACUCGUUUAUUUGUUCUCGAAGAACAUUGACUGCCACCACACCUUUCUCACUUCUUUUUUUUACAACGAGCCUCCUAGCCAUUAAAAAAACCAGACAAGGCCAAUUCUAGUUUACUACAUACUCCCUCCGUUUUUAAAAAUCUUGUCUUAGAUUUAUCUAGAUAUGAAUGUAUCUAGUCAUAUUUUAGUAUUUUGAUACAUCCAUUCCUAGACAAAUUUAAAACAAAUUUUUUGUGACGGAGGGAGUAUAAAAUAUGCACAUGUUAAUAACUUAAUAUUACGAAGGGCAAAAGAUAAGUAAUACUUUGGGUCUAUUAACCCCUUUUAUUUUGGGUUCAAAUUUGACCGUAAAAUUAACUUGGAAAAUACUCCCUACAUUUUUAAAUGUAAGCUUUUUAAAUAUUUAACUAGGAAACUACAUACGGAUAUAUAUAAACAUAUUUUAGAGUGUAUAUUCAUUCAUUUUGCUCCGUAUUUAGCCCCUUAGUGAAAUCUUAUACUCCCUCCGUCCCAAAAUUCUUGUCUUACAUUUGUUUAGAUGUAAUUGUAUGUAGUCAAGUUUUAGUAUUUUGAUACAUUCAUUUUUAGACAAAGCUAAGACAAGAAUAUGUCACAAAAAGUGUAUUAUGGGAAGACUCCAUUAAAUACGAAUCCAACAAUAUGUUUUUAUAUCAUAUACGUAGUUUAUAUUUAAAAAAAAAACCUGAUAGCUGAAACAAACUCCCACUAAUCAUAUUCGGCGCCACGUCAUCGAUCCAGUCCACCACCGUCCCGCCCAUCCCACCCUUCUGAUCUGAAUCCAACGUCCCAUCCCCACCCUCUCACGGAUCGACCCAGCAAAACCUCCCGCCCGAAGCCCCCCAAAAGUUCGCGCUUCCCUCCAAAAUCCUUCCCAUAUAAACCAGCCCCCACCCUGAAAUCCCCAAUCCCACCACAAGCUACAGCCCCCAAAGGAGUUCCUCUUCUUCCUAAUCACACACUCUCUCGGAGCGGAGCGGAGCGAAGCGGCGAUGUCAGGGCGCGGCAAGGGCGGCAAGGGGCUGGGCAAGGGCGGCGCCAAGCGCCACCGGAAGGUCCUCCGCGACAACAUCCAGGGCAUCACCAAGCCGGCGAUCCGGAGGCUGGCCAGGAGGGGAGGCGUCAAGCGCAUCUCCGGCCUCAUCUACGAGGAGACCCGCGGCGUCCUCAAGAUCUUCCUUGAGAACGUCAUCCGCGACGCCGUCACCUACACCGAGCACGCCCGCCGCAAGACCGUCACCGCCAUGGAUGUCGUCUACGCGCUCAAGCGCCAGGGCCGCACCCUCUACGGCUUCGGAGGCUAGAUUCUUGCCGUGCUGUGCUGUUGGCAGCUGUAUGCCCUGUGUGAUAUGCGCC
rnacentral:lncRNA from 1 species